AACUAUUUCCCUUAAAGAUCUUGUUACAAAACAGGAUCCACGAAUCUUCAAAGGACAGUGGCUCCAUUCUGUAGAUAUAACCUAGAGAUUCUGUACAAGAGGCAGAGGCUACAUCAGCUUUCCGAGUUGUUAGCAUGACACGGUUGCCGUGGCUACUCUCGGGCAGCGCAAACUUGAUGGUAUUCCAAAAUUCCACGUCCCAUACAUCAUCAAAAACAAUCGCAUACCUUUCAGCUUGUUGAAGAAAAUAUUUGAUAAUUUCUUUCAGCUCGGUGGUAGUCAUGGAGUCGAUCAAUUGUGGGACUGGUUUCUUCCCGUCCUUGUGUAACUGCAGAAUCAAGUCUUUCAGGAGGUACUGAAAGUCACAUGUUUGAGAGACAGUUACCCAAGCACGGACUGGGAAAUGCCUUCUGACUUCAGGAUCCUCAUGGACUUUUUUCACUAGGGUAGUUUUGCCAAGUCCUCCCAUACCAACCACUGAAACAACUUUUAGUUGGUAAUCAUCCCCUUGGAGGAGCUGAGAAAUUAGAUGUUUCUUGGGCUGGUCAAUGCCAACUAAUUUAGCUUCUUCCACAAGCAGCGCAUCAUCUCUGCUAUAGCGCCAUGUUGUGUUGUUCACAGCAGAAAGUGAGUUGGACGCUUGGGCAGAGAUACCAUAUUCAGAUUGGUAUCUUUGAUGAGCUUCGGAAAUACUUUUUAUUCUGGACUUGAUGCCUUGUAUUUCGCUAGCAACUCGAUGACGAGCUCUCAAAUUCUUGAUGGAGCUGAAAAUUCUCCGAACAGAGCCGUAGAAUCCUGUUGCGGGAUGCCGAGCAAAGCGAGCUACAAAUUCAUCAAGAAUGUCUUCAGUGUCAUAAGCAGCAUCUCGCACUUGCUUGAUCCAUUGUUGGAGAGUGGGUUGAGCAUCUUCUUCUUUUGCUUCUGCCUCUCGCAGGAAAGCUCUCAUUUGCUCCAACUCAUCCAUGAUGAAUUGAACCUCUUGCUGAAGCCCCCCCAAUAGUCGUCCCUCCUCGCGCAGAAAAGUUGAGAGUUGUCGCAGCACAAAAGAGAGAACUGUUUCUGCCAUUUUCAGUGUUUCUUUCUAACUUAAGAAUGUUGGGGAAGGCGGCUUCUGGUUUAUAGGACAGUCCACUUGCAGUGUCUUGAAAGGAAGAAAGAAGGGUAGGCUAUAGAUUCAUAAGCUGAUGAACUUUGAAACUAUAUGAUGCAGUAUAUAUCAAAAAGAAAAACCGCGUCAAAAAGAAAAAGAAAGAAUUAACAAAUUAGAAGAAACUAAAGCAAGAAACAUGAUGGAAAUUGAAGACAAGAAGAUAGGCAGCAACGUUAGUUUGAAAGACGAAGCUGCCUCUUACCUGCUUACUAUACAAAAUCAUGGAAGCUAUUAAGAAGACUGUGCAAAUGGUGGGGUGAUCAGCCUUCAGGACCUUCUUUCAACUGUGGGUCCUUUGGUCGGAUAAAGAUAAAAGGAGUGACUACCGCAGCAUCGUGCAAAAGCAAUGAUGUCGAAUUAUUUAACAAGGGAAGGAAUAAAGUUAAAACGCGGUUGGACUGGACAUUAUUUAUUUCAUUGACGAAGAAAUAAAACUACCACUGCAAAGUCUUUGCACCUCCUCCUCCUAUGGAACUAAUUUCUGCAUUUUUUUUAGCCCCUUGGACCAACUAGUAUUUUUGUAAUAAAAACGGAUGGAAUAUCAAAGAAACCUUGGGAACAAAUCUCUGACCAAAUUUUCGGUAUAGACAUGCAUGUGCGUUUAAGUAGUUAAAGAGGAAAGAGCACGAGAAUGAGAAUGAGAAUCUAUUUAAUGGUGUGCUUGAUAAAAUUGAAGUUUAAAAUCUGAAUUCAUUAAUUUAUUGAAUUGUUAAUCUAAUAUAUUUGAAUGCAUAUCACGUUCAGUGAUAAGUGAAUAGCAUAUCACUUAAUUUUGGGAGUAAAUUUUAUUUAAAAAUUCAGUAUCACUUAAUAUAUAUAUAUAUAUAUAUAUAUGUAUCUGUAUGUAUAUGUAUGUAUGUAUAUAUGUAGGUAGAUGAUAGACAUUUGCAUAGGCUUAUUUGGUACCUAAUCUAGAGCGAUAUCCGCAAAGCCAACGAGGCAACCGCAAAAUUAAAAAAAAAUAAAAAUAAAACGCCAAGUGAUCGUUAACCAUGGCAUUCCAAAAGAAAAGGAAAACAACAAAUUAAAGAGGAGAAUCAUCGAGGACAUUGAAAAUUAAAACCCAAUAAAUUAACUUUCUUAUGUUGAAAUAAUGAUCAAGUGAAAGGCAUCACAACUCCAAAACAUGAGUUCAAUGUUAUUUUUUGUUAAUAACAGCUCAUAUAAGUGUGAAACCUGUGGAAGAUAGAAGCAUAAAUCAGCAUAUCGACAAUGUUUUAAAAACCGGACCGUUAAUCGAACCGGUGAAGUGAAAGGGUCGAGGUUCAACCGAUCGGACCGGUUCAACCUCGGUUCAAUGAAUUUUUUAAAAAAUAAUUUAUAUAAAUAUAUAUGUGCACAAAAUAAGACAUGUAAUGGAUAAUUUAAUACUUUAUAUGAUGAAAAGUUUACUAUUUUUGAAUAACUUGGAUUUUUAAAAAUAAAUUUUUUAAAUUAUAAGUCAAAACAAAUAAAUUUCAUCUCAAUUUUAAUUAUAUCUACCAAAAAAAUCUUAAAUAUAAUCCAAAAAUAUCACAAUAUUUGAAAUUAUACAAAAUUCACGUCUAUGAGAAUUUAGACAUUGUGAACUUAAAUUUUAAUUUACAUUUUGGAAUUUAAAUUUACAAUUUAAAAAAGGAAGUUUGGAGUUCGAAAAAAAUCAAGAGAAUUGAAAAUAGAAAUGCAAAUUUGAUAAGAAACAAGAAAUGAGAUAAAAGUGAGUGGUUGUGGUAUUAAAUAAAUUGGGUUAAAGAAAAAUAAUUCUUUUUUAACUUUUUUAAAUUUAAUGGACAAAAACAAAAUUAAAAUAUGGAAGAAAACAUCAAUAAAUUAAAAAUAAAGAGGUUUGAUUAUAAAAUGAGUGGCAAAAGAAAAGAUGAUAGAGAGAGAGAGAGAGGGUGUGUGUGUGUGUGUGUGUGUGUGUGUUGAAGAUUAAAAAGAAAGAGUCAUGAAAAGAUGAUAUUUUGUAAAAAAAAUGGAACAAAAGAAAUAUGAGUGUUUGUUUUAUAUAAAUAAGUUAUCAAAAGAAACCAAUAAGAUGUGAUAGUGCAAUGGUUACUACAUUGGUCUUCUAAUACAAAGGUCUUGAGUUCGAAUCUUGAUAACUACAUUUUGCAAAAAAAAAAAAAAAAAAAAAAAAGGAAAACUCAAAAACCGGAAAUAACCGGUUCACAUCCGGUUCAGCGGUUUCGCGGUCCAACCGGUUUUUGACCGGUUUCUUGACAAGUCAAACCUGGCAUUGAACCGGACCGGAGCCAUGGCCGGUUCGCGGUUCAACCGGUCGAACCGGCCGGUCCGGUCCGGUUUUCAAAACACUGCUCAAAUAUCGAGAAGAAAAACUUAGGAUCCAUGAGCUACUAAUAACUUGGCCCAGGUAUUUUAAACCAGUAAUUUAACAGACUUCGAAAGUUUUAUUGAGCUGGAUAGGACGAAAGGCGGCUCUUUUUACCAAUUAGAAUCGUCCUAUGCAACAUACAUCAUCAAACAACAUAAAGAAAUUGUGUAUUUUAAUUCAUAAAAAUGUAGCCAACCACCACUGCCCUUACUAUUACUCUCGACCUUAUAUUUUCAGUUUUGUUGAAGAUGAGAUAAAAUUCAUUCUAUAUUUACCUCUUUUUAUUACUCUUGACCUUAUAUUUUCAACUUUACUAAAGAAGUAAAGAUAGGACAAAUUUAAUUCUAUAUUGCCUUUUUUGAUUAAAAAGGACCAGAUCAAAUAAUAAGCAACUCAAGUAAAAAAAUUUACUUAUGCUAUUCUAUUCUUCAAUCCUUUCAAAAUUAUUACCUUGUGAAAUAAUGCAAUUUUAUUUUUUUAAAGAUAAUUUGAUGGAUGGAUAAUUAUUACUUUUGGUUCUGUUAGUUAUUCAAAAAGGAGAAAAGAGGUAAACAAUAAUGUUUGAACUCGGAGGAAACUGGAAUGAUCUCCAGUUGUUCUCUUCGUUUGCUGUUCCUAGCUUUGAAGUGUACAGUUUUACUUGUAGGAAACUGGAAAGCUUUUCUUUUUUCUUUUUGUUUUUUCCCCUGGUUUUGUAGACAAAGUUGGAUGUGAAGAAAGAAGUGGGAAUGAAAAUAUUGGAGAUGGCUAAAUUAUUUUUUAAUGCUCAGCAUAAGGCAAUUAAGGUAAACCCUUAACCACGCAGCCAAAUCCGAUCACCACCAUCUUCUGAUGUCUAAUUUUUCUUUUAGUUUAUUAUUGUAAUGUGUAAAGAAAAAAAGUUAGAUAUACUCGACAAAGUCAAAUCAUAAUUUUGCGUUUCUUAUGUUUCUUCUUUCUUCUUUCUAAAAUGAAUGACUUUGGAUCACCAAUGUAAUCUUUCAUCUCAGUUCUUUUUCUCCAGCUGUGAAAUUAUUACAACUAAGACUAGAUUAGGAAUAAGGGACAAGAAGUGGCUCUUUUGACCAAUUAGAAUUAAAUUAUGCAUUAUACAUGGUCAAACAGCAUGAAGAAAAUUAUGCAUGCUAUAUAGUAUAUAUUAUACUCGACCUUUAAUUGCCAAUAAUAUUGAAGUUGGCAUAUGUUUCAUUCUAUAAUUUUCUCUUCAAUUUUUUCUUUUGAAGUUUGUCUUUUUUUUUCGUUGAUUAUAUUCACCUUUUAUCAUCGAAUUGAAUUUUCAACGUUCCGAGGUUUUCUCAAAUCGCUUCGUACAAGAUGCACGAUAUUUGUUCUGAUUUACCAUAUCGUCUUAGCAUGGGAUCUUACUGUUUACCUUAUUGUAAUGAUAAAUGGUUAAAAUGGAACCAGAUGGGAGCAUAGUUAGCGGAAGCCCGAGCUUGGAAUCUGUCCUUUUGCAGUUUUACUUGUGCAAGAAUAAUUAAUUUAUUGGAAAAUUUUGCUACAUAUCUGCAAGGACUAAACAAAUAUUGGCCAUAUAAGUUAGUGAGAAUGUAUCCUUGUAAAGCAGAUUUUUUAUAUAGGGAUAUUGUUAUGAAGAAGAGAAAUUUGAGACAUAUAUGUAGUUAGAUUUGUUGUUCCUGAAUUUAACGGGUCAUAGGCUAUAAAAGUAUUAGAGUUCGAUUUUUUUUCCCCAAAUCCUAAUACGAAGCCCCUACUUGAGCUAAUGAAUUGAAAUUCACUAUUAAAAUUGACUAUUGUAGAGUCAUAAUUUGGACUCAAGUGUGACAAGGUGCAUUACUCGAGCUACUUGAGUGCUGUAUUUUGGAAAAGCAAUUUCGAAAGCAAAAGAAGAAGCAAAGGCACAAAUUUUUCAUAGUGAUCAUAACACUAGUUCCUAGAAACAGCAUAAGAAAGGUGACAGAAACACAUUAUCGACAUUAUAAAAGUCUGUCAUUAUUUAUCAUUUUUAUAUAGUAACUUGCUAUAGAAGAAUUGUCAAAGCCGCGUGAGAAAAUUAAGAACGAAAUACGAGGAAAAUUCUUACUCGUCACAACGAAACUGCAGCCAAAAAAAAGAAAAAAAAAAUGGAGUGGAGCCAUUAAAGUCAGUCAAAGAGAAAAAGAAAGAUGUAACUAAUUAAUUACAAGAAACUAAAGCGAAGAUAGACAGCAACGGGAUUUUGAAAGGCGAAGCUACCUUACCCGCAGCACUACAAAAUCAUGGAAAUUAUUAAGGAGACUAUGCGCAGUUGGUGGGGCGUAUGCGUUCACUCUUCAGUCUUCAGGAGGCUACCAGCGUACAACACCAUCUUUCAAAACCAACGAUGUCUAAACCUAAAACCUGGUGGCCUGGACAAUGACUUCAUUGAUGAAUAAAUAAAAGGAAAAUGAGUUCUAUAUUGAUGAACUGGGCACUUCAACUAGUUUUAAUUUAAAAUUUUUACUAGUUAAUUAGUUAGCAUAUGAAUUAUUAGUUCUUAAUUUUGUUGUUUAAAGUUAACUACUAACUAUUUUGUUUCUUUGUUUUGAAAUGUAAUUUAAUCGACACAUAACUAGAUGUGACAAAGUUAUGUCAGUAAUUAGGGAAAAUUCUUCAUAUGUCCUAAAUCUGCUUUAAAAUGGAUACAUUGAGGAUCAGAUUUGCUCUUGCAAAAACUCUGGGAACAAAAACUAAACAUGGGAUAAAGAUUGACGACCAAAUUUGCUUUUACCAAAACUUUAAGGACUAAACCUUCACAUGAGAUAAAAAUUAGGUACCAAAAUUGCAUUUUUGCCAGAAAUAAAACUACUACACUCCUCUUGCCGACACGAACUGUCUUCAGUUUUUAGCUUUAUUCGUAUUGUUUUUGCCCCUUACACCGAUUAGUAUUUGUACUGGAAACGGAUGGAAUGUUAAGCAACCUUAGGAAGAAACAAAUUCCAGUACAAUAUCUGACCAAAUUUUCGGCAUGAACAUAAUGUGUGUUUAAGUAGAAAUGAGGAAAGAUCAUGAGAGAACAAGAAUCUACUACUGUCAAUAAAGAAAAACCCAACUCAAAAUGAAUUAUUCUAUCAAAGUUACAGGAGAGUAGGGGUGCAGCUAGGACUGCAAACGAGUCGAGUCGAGUCGAGUUUUGGACUAAUCGAGUCGAAUCUCAACUAGAUUUUACCGAGCUCGACGAGUCGGCAAUUUAAAGCUCGAGCUCGAAAAAAAAAAUAAUUAUUUUAUUUUUUAAAAAAUAAAUAAAAUAAUAUUUUUUCUUAAUAAAUAAUAAAAUAUUAAGGAUAUAUAUGUAAUUUUACUAUUAAAAUAAGAAAAUAAGAAAAUAUAUAUAUUUAAAAUAAAAAAAUAAAAAAUAUUAUAUUUAUAUACUUGAACUCGCGAGCCGAGCUUAAUAUUUUGAGCUCGAUUUCGACUCGAGCCAGCUCGAGCUCGACUCAAGCCGCUCGCGAGCGGCUCGAUUCGUUUGCAGCCCUAGGUGCAGUUGAGUUUUGAGCAUUUUGUGGGUUAAAGUUGGUUUUAAAUUUUUCUCCUUUCGCGUCAGUUGAAGAAUGGACGACUGAGAAAAGUGAGAUUUCAAUUUCUGUUAAACUCGGGCAGUCGGGGAUUGAUUAAAGAAGACAAUAGCAUUUAGACAUUAAUGUUGGUAGUGAUCACAAGAGAGUGUUGGUAGUGCUACUAUUGAUGGACUAAGCCAUGGGCGAGUUAAGAACAGAAAAUUAUACGUGAAAUUUUUAGAAAUCCACCUAGAAAUAUGUUGGCACAGCGUUUUUUUUUUUUCCACCUAAGCUUUUUACCACUUUUUACCUGGAAUCUCACUGGGAUUUAACUCACCCCAUUCCCUUUGUUUUCCUUAACAGAUCGGGAAAGGAUUUGAUCGAGGGCUUUCUUAGCUUUAUUUUACCGUUCUUGCGUUUUGAGGUUGUAACUUUCGUUUAAGCAGACUUGUAAGCUUAAAUUCUUAAGGGUGAUUUAUAUUAUGUAAUUUUGAGUGAAACAUGGUAAGUUGGCAUGCGAUGAUAUAUGUACUAAGUUGAAUUGUUGAAUUAGUGAUUAUGUUUGAGUUAGUGUUUCAAUCCCCUGCAUUGUCAAAUGUUACAUUCGUUUCAUUGAUGAUAUUAGUACUUUGAACGACUGAGUCCUGGCGAGAGUUGGGCAGGCAGUCCGCUGAUACCCUAGGGUUUGCCCUAGGGAAAGGUGGGGCUGUCACUCUCUCUCUCUCUCUGGGAAGAGAAGAUGUGAUUUUGAAAACCUAUGCUUUGGCGUACAAAAUCUUAAUUUUCUCCAAAUAUAAAAGAGAUGGAAGAAAAUAAAAAAUAAAUAAAUAAGAAACAAAAAGAAUGGAAGGGAAAUAUAAAAAGGGUAAAUGAGAAACAAAAAUUAUCAAAUCUUUUUUUACUACAAAUAUCAUUAUAGGUUUCUAAACCAAAUCUUUAAUGGCAUUUUCUAUUUCUUAUUUAUCUAUUUUUUUAUUUAAAUUUCUUCAAGUAAUGAAAAGAUAAAUUUGUCAAUUUAUUAGUUUGAUUUUGACCUUUUGCUAUUGAUCGUUAGUUUUAAUGAAAAAAAUUAAAGGUGACACUUUAACUCAAACCAUGAGGGGAUUAUAUAUAUGUUUUUAAACUAUAGAGAGAUUAUGUGAUAAAUUACCUAAUCAUAGGGGAUAAAAUGUAAUUUAUCAAACAUAAUAUUAGCUAGCCCUUACAUUGCUAAAGCAAAUGGGUCAAUGGUUGCUCUUGAUUGCCAACAUACAUAUGCGUAGAUCAUCUGCAGUUUGGUUCCUAAUUGCCAGCGUAAACCACAUAUUUUGAUUUUCCAAUAAAUACUGCAAAAAAAAAAAGAGUAACGAGUCCAUCUAUACUACUUGAAGAUAAUUGAUUGUUCACCCAGAUUCGUCAAGUUUUGAAAAAAAAAUCUUUAGAGUGAAUUGAAUCAAAUUCAAAUUUUGUGUUUUGUGAUAAUUCCUAAAAGAGAACGAAAUGCAGAUUUUGAGUGUAAAAAUAUUUUAAGAGGUGAUACAAUCAAGACACAAAAAGAUAAAAACAUCGAAGAUGAUGAAAAAAAUUACUAAUAAAAAAUAAAAACAAAAGAAGAGAAAGCCGUGUUGUCCACAAACUAGACAAAGGGAAGCCACAGCGGCUGCUGCUAGGAAAGAUUAUAUGUUUUCUUCUUCUCUGCCCACAGGUUGCGGUGUCUCCAUUUCCUAUCAUCUGUAUAGUAACCAAUGAGAAUUUCAGGAAUGUGUGCGAUUCUUCUGUAAUCUUCACUUUCUUCCUUCUGAUUCUCUAACAGCUUCUCUCUCAAUUGAGAACUCAUCUCAUACAGAGACAGCCGUUGAAGAUGGAUCAAGUGCUGGAUACCCAAUGGUAACUCCUCUAGUAAUGGAAGUUGCUGCAAAAAUAGUUCCCGGAGACGUGGUAAUGCACCCUCCUCCACUCUCAUCCAUCUCAACCCUUCCAUUCUCUUUAAGUGCAUCCACUUCAGAUUUAGGAACCCUCCAGCCUUGAAACACAACCCUUCUCCCUGGUAAGAUCCGCAGAAAUUAAUUCUACCCAAAUUGGGCAAAUGUUGGAGGGAUUCAAGCGGAUCCUCCUCGACCCUUAACCUACUCCAAUUCAUAUCUAUUCUUACCAAGCCGUGAAGAUGAGCUACCCAUUGUGGCAUCUUUUCUAAGGGGCCGUACAUAAUCAGCAGACGAAGAGAUUGAAGAAACGAAGAAGAAGAAGAAAGAGAAGGGUGAUUUAGAUCGAUUAUCUCAUGAUCAUCAUCUUUACCAAUUGAAUCAACGCUUAAUUCCCGAAGACUGGUGAGAUUGGCAAGGGAGGAGCAGAGCUCUUUUCCAUCUUCUCUUCUUAACUUUGUAAUACCUAAUUCUCUUAAUUGGGUCAACUUUCCUAUCUCCUUGAUUAUUGUGGAUCCACUACUUGCAUCUAUGCUGUCUAAUACUUCUAAGGCAAGAAGCCCUCCCAUAUUUGAGGGAGCUUUAAAUCCAUGAUAUCCAUAAUCAUCAUCGGAAGAAUCAACUUGUUGAUAUACUCUGAGAACCCGAAGUUUUUGCAGCUUCAGGAUUUCCACAGGUAGUUCCCUAACUCUGGUGUUACCCAAAUCCAGAAACUCCAAAUGUUGAAGCUUUCCAAUGGCUUUCGGGACUCUCUCCACUCUUGUAUCGCAUAGGUCCAGAUGCUUGAGAUGAAACAUCUUGAAAAUCUCAUUUGGUAUUUCCUCUUGUGUCUCUUGACCAUCCAAAUCCAAAACCUUUAACAGCUUACUACUCCUUGAAAUUUCAGAUAACAACGUUUUGGAUAGUAGCGGGUCGGUGGAUCCAACUGUAACGAACGACCGAAGGUGGUCAAAGCAAUAAAUUCGUCUUUGGUGGUGGUGCUGGGUGUUGUUACUGCUACUACUACUAUGGACUGCUAGACGGCGUACCUUCUCGGACGGCCACGUCAUUGGUUGUCCAGUAGUGGCUGUGACCAUGUUUUGUUCCCUUGACUUGAGAAGAAUAACUUCUCUCAAUAGGUCAUGGAUUCGACAUCUUUGGGGUAUUCCUUCAUAAAACACCUUAGACACUUGAAUUAGACUUCUAUUGACGAGUUCACUGAGAUAAUUCCAGGCUACAUCUUCAAUACUCAUUCCUUCUCUCCCUUCUACAAACCUUUCAGCAAUCCACAAAUUAACUAGUCUAUAGCAGUCUAUUUUGUGAUCCUCUGGGUAGAUGCUUGUGUACAACAGACAUGCCUUUAGAUGCCAAGGCAAAUCAUUAUAACUAAGAAAAAGUAUCCUUUUAACUCUGUCUAACUUACCAGUGCCUUCUAAUUCACCCCCAAGACUGCGUCGAACCAUCUCCCAUUCCUCUGUUCUGUUUACAUCUUUCAAAGCCAAAAGCCCACUGAUUGCAAGAAUCGCAAGGGGCAAGCCCUCACAUUUACCCAGUAUAACUUUGGCAACAUCCAUCAAAUGGCCAGGGCAACUAUUUCCCUUAAAGAUCUUGUUACAAAACAGGAUCCACGAAUCUUCAAAGGACAGUGGCUCCAUUCUGUAGAUAUAACCUAGAGAUUCUGUACAAGAGGCAGAGGCUACAUCAGCUUUCCGAGUUGUUAGCAUGACACGGUUGCCGUGGCUACUCUCGGGCAGCGCAAACUUGAUGGUAUUCCAAAAUUCCACGUCCCAUACAUCAUCAAAAACAAUCGCAUACCUUUCAGCUUGUUGAAGAAAAUAUUUGAUAAUUUCUUUCAGCUCGGUGGUAGUCAUGGAGUCGAUCAAUUGUGGGACUGGUUUCUUCCCGUCCUUGUGUAACUGCAGAAUCAAGUCUUUCAGGAGGUACUGAAAGUCACAUGUUUGAGAGACAGUUACCCAAGCACGGACUGGGAAAUGCCUUCUGACUUCAGGAUCCUCAUGGACUUUUUUCACUAGGGUAGUUUUGCCAAGUCCUCCCAUACCAACCACUGAAACAACUUUUAGUUGGUAAUCAUCCCCUUGGAGGAGCUGAGAAAUUAGAUGUUUCUUGGGCUGGUCAAUGCCAACUAAUUUAGCUUCUUCCACAAGCAGCGCAUCAUCUCUGCUAUAGCGCCAUGUUGUGUUGUUCACAGCAGAAAGUGAGUUGGACGCUUGGGCAGAGAUACCAUAUUCAGAUUGGUAUCUUUGAUGAGCUUCGGAAAUACUUUUUAUUCUGGACUUGAUGCCUUGUAUUUCGCUAGCAACUCGAUGACGAGCUCUCAAAUUCUUGAUGGAGCUGAAAAUUCUCCGAACAGAGCCGUAGAAUCCUGUUGCGGGAUGCCGAGCAAAGCGAGCUACAAAUUCAUCAAGAAUGUCUUCAGUGUCAUAAGCAGCAUCUCGCACUUGCUUGAUCCAUUGUUGGAGAGUGGGUUGAGCAUCUUCUUCUUUUGCUUCUGCCUCUCGCAGGAAAGCUCUCAUUUGCUCCAACUCAUCCAUGAUGAAUUGAACCUCUUGCUGAAGCCCCCCCAAUAGUCGUCCCUCCUCGCGCAGAAAAGUUGAGAGUUGUCGCAGCACAAAAGAGAGAACUGUUUCUGCCAUUUUCAGUGUUUCUUUCUAACUUAAGAAUGUUGGGGAAGGCGGCUUCUGGUUUAUAGGACAGUCCACUUGCAGUGUCUUGAAAGGAAGAAAGAAGGGUAGGCUAUAGAUUCAUAAGCUGAUGAACUUUGAAACUAUAUGAUGCAGUAUAUAUCAAAAAGAAAAACCGCGUCAAAAAGAAAAAGAAAGAAUUAACAAAUUAGAAGAAACUAAAGCAAGAAACAUGAUGGAAAUUGAAGACAAGAAGAUAGGCAGCAACGUUAGUUUGAAAGACGAAGCUGCCUCUUACCUGCUUACUAUACAAAAUCAUGGAAGCUAUUAAGAAGACUGUGCAAAUGGUGGGGUGAUCAGCCUUCAGGACCUUCUUUCAACUGUGGGUCCUUUGGUCGGAUAAAGAUAAAAGGAGUGACUACCGCAGCAUCGUGCAAAAGCAAUGAUGUCGAAUUAUUUAACAAGGGAAGGAAUAAAGUUAAAACGCGGUUGGACUGGACAUUAUUUAUUUCAUUGACGAAGAAAUAAAACUACCACUGCAAAGUCUUUGCACCUCCUCCUCCUAUGGAACUAAUUUCUGCAUUUUUUUUAGCCCCUUGGACCAACUAGUAUUUUUGUAAUAAAAACGGAUGGAAUAUCAAAGAAACCUUGGGAACAAAUCUCUGACCAAAUUUUCGGUAUAGACAUGCAUGUGCGUUUAAGUAGUUAAAGAGGAAAGAGCACGAGAAUGAGAAUGAGAAUCUAUUUAAUGGUGUGCUUGAUAAAAUUGAAGUUUAAAAUCUGAAUUCAUUAAUUUAUUGAAUUGUUAAUCUAAUAUAUUUGAAUGCAUAUCACGUUCAGUGAUAAGUGAAUAGCAUAUCACUUAAUUUUGGGAGUAAAUUUUAUUUAAAAAUUCAGUAUCACUUAAUAUAUAUAUAUAUAUAUAUAUAUAUGUAUCUGUAUGUAUAUGUAUGUAUGUAUAUAUGUAGGUAGAUGAUAGACAUUUGCAUAGGCUUAUUUGGUACCUAAUCUAGAGCGAUAUCCGCAAAGCCAACGAGGCAACCGCAAAAUUAAAAAAAAAUAAAAAUAAAACGCCAAGUGAUCGUUAACCAUGGCAUUCCAAAAGAAAAGGAAAACAACAAAUUAAAGAGGAGAAUCAUCGAGGACAUUGAAAAUUAAAACCCAAUAAAUUAACUUUCUUAUGUUGAAAUAAUGAUCAAGUGAAAGGCAUCACAACUCCAAAACAUGAGUUCAAUGUUAUUUUUUGUUAAUAACAGCUCAUAUAAGUGUGAAACCUGUGGAAGAUAGAAGCAUAAAUCAGCAUAUCGACAAUGUUUUAAAAACCGGACCGUUAAUCGAACCGGUGAAGUGAAAGGGUCGAGGUUCAACCGAUCGGACCGGUUCAACCUCGGUUCAAUGAAUUUUUUAAAAAAUAAUUUAUAUAAAUAUAUAUGUGCACAAAAUAAGACAUGUAAUGGAUAAUUUAAUACUUUAUAUGAUGAAAAGUUUACUAUUUUUGAAUAACUUGGAUUUUUAAAAAUAAAUUUUUUAAAUUAUAAGUCAAAACAAAUAAAUUUCAUCUCAAUUUUAAUUAUAUCUACCAAAAAAAUCUUAAAUAUAAUCCAAAAAUAUCACAAUAUUUGAAAUUAUACAAAAUUCACGUCUAUGAGAAUUUAGACAUUGUGAACUUAAAUUUUAAUUUACAUUUUGGAAUUUAAAUUUACAAUUUAAAAAAGGAAGUUUGGAGUUCGAAAAAAAUCAAGAGAAUUGAAAAUAGAAAUGCAAAUUUGAUAAGAAACAAGAAAUGAGAUAAAAGUGAGUGGUUGUGGUAUUAAAUAAAUUGGGUUAAAGAAAAAUAAUUCUUUUUUAACUUUUUUAAAUUUAAUGGACAAAAACAAAAUUAAAAUAUGGAAGAAAACAUCAAUAAAUUAAAAAUAAAGAGGUUUGAUUAUAAAAUGAGUGGCAAAAGAAAAGAUGAUAGAGAGAGAGAGAGAGGGUGUGUGUGUGUGUGUGUGUGUGUGUGUUGAAGAUUAAAAAGAAAGAGUCAUGAAAAGAUGAUAUUUUGUAAAAAAAAUGGAACAAAAGAAAUAUGAGUGUUUGUUUUAUAUAAAUAAGUUAUCAAAAGAAACCAAUAAGAUGUGAUAGUGCAAUGGUUACUACAUUGGUCUUCUAAUACAAAGGUCUUGAGUUCGAAUCUUGAUAACUACAUUUUGCAAAAAAAAAAAAAAAAAAAAAAAAAGGAAAACUCAAAAACCGGAAAUAACCGGUUCACAUCCGGUUCAGCGGUUUCGCGGUCCAACCGGUUUUUGACCGGUUUCUUGACAAGUCAAACCUGGCAUUGAACCGGACCGGAGCCAUGGCCGGUUCGCGGUUCAACCGGUCGAACCGGCCGGUCCGGUCCGGUUUUCAAAACACUGCUCAAAUAUCGAGAAGAAAAACUUAGGAUCCAUGAGCUACUAAUAACUUGGCCCAGGUAUUUUAAACCAGUAAUUUAACAGACUUCGAAAGUUUUAUUGAGCUGGAUAGGACGAAAGGCGGCUCUUUUUACCAAUUAGAAUCGUCCUAUGCAACAUACAUCAUCAAACAACAUAAAGAAAUUGUGUAUUUUAAUUCAUAAAAAUGUAGCCAACCACCACUGCCCUUACUAUUACUCUCGACCUUAUAUUUUCAGUUUUGUUGAAGAUGAGAUAAAAUUCAUUCUAUAUUUACCUCUUUUUAUUACUCUUGACCUUAUAUUUUCAACUUUACUAAAGAAGUAAAGAUAGGACAAAUUUAAUUCUAUAUUGCCUUUUUUGAUUAAAAAGGACCAGAUCAAAUAAUAAGCAACUCAAGUAAAAAAAUUUACUUAUGCUAUUCUAUUCUUCAAUCCUUUCAAAAUUAUUACCUUGUGAAAUAAUGCAAUUUUAUUUUUUUAAAGAUAAUUUGAUGGAUGGAUAAUUAUUACUUUUGGUUCUGUUAGUUAUUCAAAAAGGAGAAAAGAGGUAAACAAUAAUGUUUGAACUCGGAGGAAACUGGAAUGAUCUCCAGUUGUUCUCUUCGUUUGCUGUUCCUAGCUUUGAAGUGUACAGUUUUACUUGUAGGAAACUGGAAAGCUUUUCUUUUUUCUUUUUGUUUUUUCCCCUGGUUUUGUAGACAAAGUUGGAUGUGAAGAAAGAAGUGGGAAUGAAAAUAUUGGAGAUGGCUAAAUUAUUUUUUAAUGCUCAGCAUAAGGCAAUUAAGGUAAACCCUUAACCACGCAGCCAAAUCCGAUCACCACCAUCUUCUGAUGUCUAAUUUUUCUUUUAGUUUAUUAUUGUAAUGUGUAAAGAAAAAAAGUUAGAUAUACUCGACAAAGUCAAAUCAUAAUUUUGCGUUUCUUAUGUUUCUUCUUUCUUCUUUCUAAAAUGAAUGACUUUGGAUCACCAAUGUAAUCUUUCAUCUCAGUUCUUUUUCUCCAGCUGUGAAAUUAUUACAACUAAGACUAGAUUAGGAAUAAGGGACAAGAAGUGGCUCUUUUGACCAAUUAGAAUUAAAUUAUGCAUUAUACAUGGUCAAACAGCAUGAAGAAAAUUAUGCAUGCUAUAUAGUAUAUAUUAUACUCGACCUUUAAUUGCCAAUAAUAUUGAAGUUGGCAUAUGUUUCAUUCUAUAAUUUUCUCUUCAAUUUUUUCUUUUGAAGUUUGUCUUUUUUUUUCGUUGAUUAUAUUCACCUUUUAUCAUCGAAUUGAAUUUUCAACGUUCCGAGGUUUUCUCAAAUCGCUUCGUACAAGAUGCACGAUAUUUGUUCUGAUUUACCAUAUCGUCUUAGCAUGGGAUCUUACUGUUUACCUUAUUGUAAUGAUAAAUGGUUAAAAUGGAACCAGAUGGGAGCAUAGUUAGCGGAAGCCCGAGCUUGGAAUCUGUCCUUUUGCAGUUUUACUUGUGCAAGAAUAAUUAAUUUAUUGGAAAAUUUUGCUACAUAUCUGCAAGGACUAAACAAAUAUUGGCCAUAUAAGUUAGUGAGAAUGUAUCCUUGUAAAGCAGAUUUUUUAUAUAGGGAUAUUGUUAUGAAGAAGAGAAAUUUGAGACAUAUAUGUAGUUAGAUUUGUUGUUCCUGAAUUUAACGGGUCAUAGGCUAUAAAAGUAUUAGAGUUCGAUUUUUUUUCCCCAAAUCCUAAUACGAAGCCCCUACUUGAGCUAAUGAAUUGAAAUUCACUAUUAAAAUUGACUAUUGUAGAGUCAUAAUUUGGACUCAAGUGUGACAAGGUGCAUUACUCGAGCUACUUGAGUGCUGUAUUUUGGAAAAGCAAUUUCGAAAGCAAAAGAAGAAGCAAAGGCACAAAUUUUUCAUAGUGAUCAUAACACUAGUUCCUAGAAACAGCAUAAGAAAGGUGACAGAAACACAUUAUCGACAUUAUAAAAGUCUGUCAUUAUUUAUCAUUUUUAUAUAGUAACUUGCUAUAGAAGAAUUGUCAAAGCCGCGUGAGAAAAUUAAGAACGAAAUACGAGAAAAAUUCUUACUCGUCACAACGAAACUGCAGCCAAAAAAAAGAAAAAAAAAAGGAGUGGAGCCAUUAAAGUCAGUCAAAGAGAAAAAGAAAGAUGUAACUAAUUAAUUACAAGAAACUAAAGCAUGAGAGAUGAUGGAAAUUGAAUAGAAAGACGAUAGACAGCAACGGGAUUUUGAAAGGCGAAGCUACCUUACCCGCAGCACUACAAAAUCAUGGAAAUUAUUAAGGAGACUAUGCGCAGUUGGUGGGGCGUAUGCGUUCACUCUUCAGUCUUCAGGAGGCUACCAGCGUACAACACCAUCUUUCAAAAGCAACGCUGUCUAAACCUGAAACCUGGUGGCCUGGACAAUGACUUCAUUGAUGAAUAAACAAAAGGAAAAUGAGUUCUAUAUUGAUGAACUGGGUACUUCAACUAGUUUUAAUUGAAAAAUUUUUCAAAUUUUUACUAGUUAAUUAGUUAGCAUAUGAAUUAUUAGUUCUUAAUUUUGUUGUUUAAAGUUAACUACUAACUAUGUUGUUUCUUUAUUUUGAAAUGUAAUUUAAUGGUCACAUAACUAGAUGUGACAAAAUUAUGUCAAUAAUUAGGGAAAAUUCUUCAAAUGUCCUAAAUCUACUUUAAAAUUAAUGGAUACAUUGAGGAUCAGAUUUGCUCUUGCAAAAACUUUAGGAACAAAAACUAAACAUGGGAUAAAGAUUGACGACCAAAAUUGCAUUUACCAAACCUUUAAGGACUAAACCUUCACAUGAGAUAAAAAUUAGGGACCAAAAUUGCAUUUUUGCCAGAAAUAAAACUACUAUACUCCUCUUGCCGACACCAACUGUUUUCAGUUUUUAGCUUUAUUCGUAUUGUUUUUGCCCCUUGCACCGAUUAGUAUUUGUACUGGAAACGGAUGGAAUGUUAAGCAACCUUAGGAAGAAACAAAUUCCAGUACAAUAUCUGACCAAAUUUUCGGCAUGAACAUAAUGUGUGUUUAGGUAAGAAUGAGGAAAGAUCAUGAGAGAACAAGAAUCUACCACUGUCAAUAAAGAAAAACCCAACUCAAAAUGAAUUAUUCUAUCAAAGUUACAGGAGAGUAGGGGUGCAGCUGAGUUUUGAGCAUUUUGUGGGUUAAAGUUGGUUUUAAAUUUUUCUCCUUUCGCGUCAGUUGAAGAAUGGACGACUGAGAAAAGUGAGAUUUCAAUUUCUGUUAAACUCGGGCAGUCGGGGAUUGAUUAAAGAAGACAAUAGCAUUUAGACAUUAAUGUUGGUAGUGAUCACAAGAGAGUAAGUGUUGGUAGUGCUACUAUUGAUGGACUAAGCCAUGGGCGAGUUAAGAACAGAAAAUUAUACGUGAAAUUUUUAGAAAUCCACCUAGAAAUAUGUUGGCACAGCGUUUUUUUUUUCCACCUAAGCUUUUUACCACUAUUUGUAAACCUUGAAUUCCAUAAUAAUGCAGUUACUUUAGCCUAAGCUUUAAGUACCCCCUACUCUUAUUUUAGGGUAAAUUAAACAUAAUGGUUUCACUCAUUGUCAUAUAACCCUAAUAACAUUACAAGUAUCUAUUUCACUCUCUUAGGUUCAAUGUAAACUUUACGAAAAAUAACCUCUGUAAAAUUGCCCUGUAUUUUUUUCUUCUAGUAAAACCCUUCUUCUCACAUUGUGUGCAAUUGAUUUCUAGUCAUUAUCAAAUUCUAUCAAUCACAAAAUUGCGCCAUUAGAUAUAUCAAUUGAUGUUAUUUAGUAAUUACAAGUAAUCGUUCAUCAUUAAAGAAAUUUUUAACAGUUUUUUGUGUUAAUUAGUCACUAAUAGUUAAUUAGUGCUCUAACUAUUUAACCGUUAGAUACUAGUAAAGGAGAAAAGAGGGAAAAGAAAGACAAAAUUCGAAAAUUAGUUUGUUCAAAAUCACAAGAAUCACAACAAACAUCAUGUUAAAAGAGAUGGCUAUUCUAUUUUAUUGAAUCUUGUCAUCAUUAGUGUAGUUUUAUUGUUUAUGUGUUAUCUAAUUUAUUGAUUGUGAAUUUUUUGAAUGGUGAAAUAUGUGUAUUAAUUGUUUCUAACUUUUAAUUAUGUUUAGUCUUUUACUAAUGCAAUUUAUAUACAUGCAUAAAGGGUAUUUAUGGAAUAUAUGUUUCAUCUCUCUCCUUAAAGUACUUUUUUAAUGUUACUUUUUCUAAUUAGAUUAAUUUUGUUAACAAAACCUUAACCUCAGAGGAGGUUUGGGUAAUUUUGUAAACCUUAGGGGAGUCUAGUGAAACUAUCAAAAAUUUCAGGCAAGGUUUCUGAAAUUAUCCCUUGAUUUUGACCUUUUAUUAUUGACCGUUAGUUUUAACGAAAAAAUUAAAGGUGACACUUCAAUCCAAAGUUAUUAUAUAUAAGUUUUUAAAUCAUAAGGAAUUAAGUGGUAAAAUACCAAAUCACAGGAGGUAAAAGGUAGAUUGCCCAACUUAAUAUUAGCUAGCCCUUACAUUGCUCAAGCAAAUGGGUCAGAGAUUGUUCUCGAUUGCCAACGUACAUAUACAUAGGUCAUCUGCAUUUUUGUUCCUAAUUGCCAGCAUAAACCACAUCUUUUGAUUUUCCAAUAAAUGCUGUAAAAAAAAAGUAAUGAGUCCUUCUAUACUACAGUCCUUCUACUCUACUAGAAGAUGAUUGAUUGUUCACCUACAUUUUGUCAAGUUUAAAAAAAGAAAAUCUUUAUAGUGAAUCGAAUCGAAUUCAAAUUUUGUGUUUUGUGAUAAUUCCUAUCAAAGAAUGAAAUGCAAAUUUUUAGUGUAAAAUUAUUUUAAGAAACAAUGAUACACAUUGUAGGUUUAUUAGCACAAAGUAAUUCUUACCAGUCAAUGAUGAAUGAUGUCAUAUCAUUUGCAAUGUGAAUUGAAACAUUGGCAAAUUGGUGAAGGAAAGAGCCGAUUGAAGGAUAUCUAUCACGUAAAAGGGGUCAUAUAAUAAAGGGUUAAUUUUAGAAACCUCCCCUGAGGUUUUUUGUAAUAACACCCAGCACCCCCAACUUUCAGAAAUCACACUUACCACCCUUAGAAUGAUAACUUUCAUCACAUUGUCAGCCCUUUUGUGUAAGAAUUGUAUUUAAAAAUUGUUUAUAGGAGAGAGACUAUUUUUCUAUUCCACUUUUGCCCUAUUGGAAGAUGAGUUUUGAAUUUACAAGAUAAAAAUAAAAACAAAACUAUGUUGUGAUAUUAUUUUAGAAGCUAAAGGGGUGUAAGUUUAAUAAGCACAAGAAGCUUCUUAACAUUGAUACUAUAAAGGACCGUUGGGCAAAACCAUUCCAACCUGUCUGAUGCUUAAGCUGUAUUAAACAGAUUGGAAACAAGAUAACAAUAUCAUUCACCAUCGAUUUUCUUUGGGCAAAUUGCAGCAACUAGUGCAUCAAUCUAACACUGAUUGCUAUCUACAUUUUUAUUCAGAUUACAAAGUCAAUUUGAUGAAGUCCAAGUACAACAUGCAAUGCUGUAAUUGAUUACCAACUGUUUUAGCCUUCAUAGUCAUAGGCAAUUCAAAGUAGAAAGCUGAGGAAGUUGAGCCUGUUUUGUAUGGUACUUGUGACAAUCCAAUCAGAUGUGUACUUGACACGGUCACAUGUUUAGCUAAGUCUAAGCCAAACUAAGAUUCCAAAAAAUGUGCUACUAUUCAUAUCUGUUCGUACAACUAGUGCAUCAACGUAUCUUUCCAAGCAACUAGUGCAUCAAUGCGUUGCUAUAUAUUAUAAGAUUAGUAUAUGGCAAUGCAUAUUCCACCAGAUGAAAUACACAAAAAAUACAAUAAGUCUUCUAUCAUACAUUUUGAUAAUAAAGAGUACUUGUACCACUUCAAAAACCAAGAGUAAGGAUUGCAGGGAGCCUUUAGCAUCUUUAAACACUCGGAAAUGCCCUGAUUCAGUGUGAAACAACCACUGGCUUGAAACAAUCAGUUUACACGGGGUGAUCUAUGAGAUACAAUCAGUUUACAAAAAUAUACGUUAUGUUAGAUGUUAGUUACUUGACUGUGUAUAUCUAUAAAAGGUAGUGUAAUGGUACGCAUAAAUUUGGAAUGAUUAUUUUGCCCUUUGAUCAAUUUGUGCAUCUCCCUAUAGUAGAAGUGUAAUUUUACUUGUAUGAGUAGUCCUUGCUUGUCUGUGAGUACUUUACAUGGGGUGAUCUAUGAGGUACAAUCAGUUUACAAAAGUAUACAUCAUGUUAGAUGUUAGUUACUUGACUAUGUAUACAUAUAAAAGGGACCAAAUUUGUUCUGAUAAUCAUGAAAUAUUAGCUAACUUGUGGGAGCUAGAUAAUUACAUGCUCAAUUUUGAAGUUGUUACAUCGCAGGGUGCUCUAAGGAGAGGAGAGCCUGGUAGAGGCAUAGCUAACACGGGAUUUUUAUUUUUGGUAGAGGCAUAGCCUCAAUUUUUUAAAUUUUUGCAGCAUUUUCCUGCACAAGAAUCACUUAAUAAUAGGGGGUAGCAUCGUAAUUUCUCCUCUACUGAUUGGUACAACAUGUCACGUCAUUCUGCCAAGGGUGGUAAGUGUGAUUUUUCAAAGUUAAGGGGUGCUAGGUGUGAUUAGGGGAAACCUCAGGGGAGGUUUCUGAAAUUAACCCUAUAAUAAACUUAGUGUACUAUAUUUACCAGACAAGCGGUAUUAAUGUAGGUUUGUACAAGCCGUAUUAACAUAUUUUAUUUGACCAAAAUUUAAAAGCUAUUAUUUGGAGUUUGAAUGAAAAUUUUCUGCUAGAUAUAAUUAAUACACUUUUAACCUGCCUACCUCUUGAUCGUUUGCUAAAUUAAUUAUAGGAAAGAUCAUCAAGAAACAAAAAGAUAAAAAGUAACUGUAUACAGUACAUUAACAACAUCAUCACGCAUUAUAAACGAUACAUGCCAUAAACAAGAAGGUAAGACACAGCAAAUGAUGAACUUCUCUCAUGGAUGUCGAAGGGAAAAAAACCAAGAAAAAAAUAAAAACAAAAGAAGAGGAAGCAGUAGUGUUGUCCACAACAGGGAGGGUAUAAACUAGAGAAAGGGAAGCCACGGCGGCAGCUGUUGCUAGGAAUGAUUAUGUUUUCUUCUUCUUCUUCUCCCAUAGCUGGUGCUCUCUCCAUUUCCUAUCAUCUGUAUAGUAACCAAUGAGAAUUUCAGGAAUGUGUGCGAUUCUUGUGUAAUCUUCACUUUCUUCCUUCUGAUUCUCUAACAGCUCCUCUCUCAAUUGAGAACUCAUCUCAUACAAAGUUAGCUCUUGAAGUUGGCUCAAGUGCUGAAUACCCACAGGUAACUCCUCUAGUAAUGGAAGUUGUUGCAGAAAUAGUUUUUGGAGACGAGGCAAUGCACCCUCCUCCACUCUCAUCCAUCUCAACCCUUCCAUUCUCUUUAAGUGCAACUCCUUCAGCUUUAGGAACCCUCCAGCUUUGAAGUACAAUCCUUCUCCCUGGUAAGAUCCACAGAAAUUAAUUUCACCCAAAUUGGGCAAAUGUUGGAGGGAUUCAAGCGGAUCCUCCUCACCCCUUAACCUGCUCCAGUCCAAAUCUAUUCUUACCAAGCUAUGAAGAUGAGCUACCCAUUGUGGCAUCUUUUCUAAGCGGCCACACAAAAUCAGCAUACGAAGAGAUUGAAGAAACGAACAAGAUGAAGAAGAAAGAUAAGGAUUAUGAUGAUUUAGAUCGAUUAUCUCAUGAUCAUCACCUUUUCCAAUUGAAUAAACGCUUAAUUUAUGGAGAUUGGUGAGGUUGGCAAGGGAGGAGCACAGCUCCUUUCCAUCAUCUCUUCUCAACUUUGUAAUAGCUAAUUCCCUUAAUUGUGUCAGCUUUCCUAUCUCCUUAACUGUUAUACAUCCACUACUUGCAUCCAUGCAGCUUAAUAUUUCUAGAGAAAGAAGCCCUCCCAUAUUGAAUAGGGCUUUAAAUCCGUGGCGUCCAUAAUCAUCAUCUGAAGGAUCAACUCGUUGAUAUACUUUGAGAACCCGAAGUUUUUGCAACUUUAGAAUUUCAAUAGGUAAUUCCCCAACUCCAGUGUUUCCCAAAUUCAGAUACUCCAAGUGUUGAAGCUUCCCGAUGCCUUUUGGGACUCUCUCCACUCCUGUACCAUAUAGGUCUAGAUGCUUGAGAUGAAACAUUUUGAAAAUCUCAUUUGGUAUUUCCUUCUGUGUCUUUUGACCUCUCAAAUCCAAAACCUUUAACAACUUACUACCCCGUGAAACUUCAGAUAACAACAUUCUGGACAGGAGUGGGCUCGUGGAUCCAAUUGUAACGAACGACCGAAGGUGGUCAAAGCAAUAAUUUUGUGUUUGCUCAUGGUGCUGGGUGUUGUUACUACUGCUAGUAUGGACUAUUAGACGGCGUACCUUCUCGGACGGCCACCUUGUUGGUUGUCCAGUAGUAAUUGUGACCAUGUUUUGUUCUCUUGACUUGGAAAUGAUAAUUUCUCGCAAUAGGUCAUGGAUUCGACAAUUUCCGGGCAUUCCUUCAUAAAACACACCAGUCACUUGAAUUAGGCUUCUAUUGACAAGUUCACUGAGAUAACUCCAGGCUACAUCUUCAAUGUUCAUUCCUUCUCUCCAUUCUACAAACCGUUCAGCAAUCCAUAAGUUAACGAGUCUUAGGCAUCCUAUUUUGUAAUCCUCUGGAUAAAUGCUUGUGUACAACAGACAUAUCUUAAGAUGCCAAGGCAGGUCACUAUAACUAAGAAAAAGUAUCUUUUUAACUCUGUCCAGCUUACCAGUGCCUUCUAAUUCAACCCCAAGACUGCAUCUAACCAUCUCCCAUUCCUCUAUUCUGUUUACAUCUUUCGAAGCCAAAAGGCCACUGAUUGCAAGGAUUGCAAGGGGCAAGCCCUCACAUUUGUCCAAUAUACCUUUGGCAACAUCCAUCAAAUGACCAGGGCAAGUACCUCCGUUAAAGAUCUUGUUGCAAAAUAGGGUCCACGAAUCCUCAAUAGAUAGUGGCUCCAUUCUGUAGACAAAACGCCGAGAUUCAAUGCAAGAGGCAGAGGCUACAUCAGCUCUUCGAGUUGUUAGCAUGACACGGUUGCCAUGGCUACUCUCGGGCAGUGCAAAUUUGAUGGUAUUCCAAAAUUCCACGUCCCAUACAUCAUCAAAAACAAUUGCAUACCUUCCAGCUUGUUGAAGAAAAUCUUUGACAAUUUUUUUCAGCUCAGUGGUAGUCAUAGACUCUAUCGAUUGUGGGACUGGUUUCUUCCCUUCCUCGUGUAGCUGCCGAAUCAAGUCUAUCAGGAGGUACUGAAAGUCACAUGUUUCAGAGACAGUUACCCAAGCACGGACUGGGAAAUGCCUUCUGACUUCAAGAUCCUCAUGGACUUUUUUCACCAGGGUAGUUUUGCCAAGUCCUCCCAUACCAACCACUGAAACAACUUUUAGUUGGUAAUCAUCCCCUUGGAGGAGCUGAGAAAUUAGAUGUUUCUUGGGCUGGUCAAUGCCAACUAAUUUAGCUUCUUCCACAAGUAGUGCAUCAUCUCUGCUAUAGCGCCAUGUUGUGUUGUUCACAGCAGAAAGUGAGCUGGACGCUUGGGCAGAGAUACCAUAUUCGGAUUGGUAUCUUUGAUGACCUUCAGAAAUACUAUUGAUUCUGAACUUGAUGCUUUGUAUUUGGCUAGCAACUCGAUGACGAGCUCUCAAAUUCUUGAUGGAGCUGAAAAUUCUCCGAAAAGAGCCGUAGAAUCCUGUUGUGCGAUGCCGAGCAAAGCGAGCUACAAAUUCAUCAAGAAUGUCUUCAGUGUCAUAAGCUGCUUCUCGUACUUGCUUGAUCCAUUCUUGGAGUCUGGGUUGAGCAUCUUCUUCUUUUGCUUCUGCCUCUCUCAGGAAAGCUCUCAUGUGCCCCAAUUCAUCCCUGAUGAAUUGGACCUCUUGCCGAAGCCCACCCAACAGUCGUCCCUCCUCGCGCAGAAAAGUUGAGAGUUGAUCCAGCACAAAAGAGAGAACUGUUUCUGCCAUUUUCAGUCUUUCUCUUUAACUUAAGAAUGUAGGGGAAAGCGGCUUCUCGUUUAUGCGACAGUCCACUUGUAGUAUCUUGAAAGGAAGAAGGAAGAGUAGGUUAUAGAUUCAUAAGCUGAUGAACUUUGAUGCUAUAUGUUGCAGUAUUUAUCAAAAGGAAAAACCGUGUCAAAAAGAAAAAGAAAGAAUUAACCAAUUAGAAGAAGCUAAGGCAAGAAACAUGAUGGAAAUUGAAGACAGGAAGAUAGGCAGCAGCGUGAGUUUGAAAAACGAAGCUGCCUUACCUGCUACAAUACAAAAUCAUGGAAGCUAUUAAGAAGACUCUGCAAAUGGUGGGGUGAUCAGCCUUCAGGACCUUCUUUCAACUGUGGGUUCUUUACAAGGGGAAGGAAGAAAGUUAAAACGCUUUUGGACUGGACAUUGUUGAUUUCAUUGACGAAGAAACAAAACUGCUACAAAGUCUUUCCUAUAUGGUACUAAUUUCUGGUGACCAAUUAGUAUUUGUAAUAAAAACGGAUGUAAUAUCAAAGAAGCCUUGGGAACAAACCACUCCAAUGCGGUGUCUGACCAAAACGUGAACUAUAUUGAUUUAAGAGGUCUGUGAAAAGCAUGCAAAUUUAGCAAAAAAAAAAAGAAAAAAGAAAAGCAGAAAAUGCUAAGGAGUGCAUUAAAAAGAAUCAAAUUUCUUUGCAAUUAAAGAUUGCAUACCACUCAAUCGUGUCGUGGCUUAUUUCUGUGCUCAGCAUAAGACAGUUGAUGUAAACCUUUAAUUGUAAUGCCGUUACAAGGCUUAGAAUUCAAGAAGUCGCAAACCUUUCAAGAAUUAAAAAAAAAAACCACAUUUGAUGAAAAUUUACUGCAAAAACAAAUAUUAAAUCAUUCAAAUCUCCGCGUUAUUAUUAAACCGUUACAGAACAAAAACAAAAAUCUUCAUAAACCCUAGUACUAAACAUUACAGCAGGUCAACAUUACCAGUAAAUGCAGCUCAGAAAUGGACGUAAAAUUCAAGGAAUUUUUGCAGUUAAAACUGCAAUUUUCAGAAGAACAUAAAGUAGAGAGUCAAACAGAGAAAAGUCAUAGUCAAAUCUAGAGAGUCACAUUCAUUCAUCUUUUCAGACAACCUCAAAAAUUUAAAUUAAAUUUUAAAAAAAACUGAAAAGGAAAAAGAAAAAGCUGAGACAAAAGAAGAUAAAGAGGAAAAACUCACCUGAAGUUCGAGACUUUAUCUUUUACAGGCAAGGUAGGACUCAGAAGUUAGAUCACAGGCAGCAGCAGCAGCAGCAAACUUUGUUGGAGUUAAGAGAAAGAAAAGGCGCAAAAAAGAAUGAAAGAGAAGAAAAAAAGGGGUUCAGAUUUGUUGAAGUAGACGUAGAACGACGUCGUAAAAGAGCUAAAAUGAACUACUAGUAUGGAAGUUGAGUUGAGAGUGUAGUUGCUCCUCCAUUAUUGUUCUGGUGGAGGGAGACAGAAGAGGGACAGAGGAAGGAAGAAGAGAGAGAGAGAGAGAGAAGGGAGAGAAUUUGUACGGGGGAAGAAUACAAUGUACAAAUGUAUCAGAAGAAGAAGACAAAUGUAAAAGAGGCGAGAUUUAAUCAUUUAAAUAAAAAGGAUAAUUGCACUAUUCACCGCUAAACUAAUCGGCUUUAGUAAUUUGCCCGUAGAACGAUAAAUUGUAGUUGUAGUUAGAGGUGAAAGACAAUCAAGUUAAUUACUCCAGUUGGGCUAGAUACGAGUUUUUUCGAAAUUGAUUUGUCAAUUAAUCAAAAUCAAAUUUUGUUCGAGUAGCAUAAGAUUAUUAGAAUUUAAAUGUAAAAUAAUCAAAGUAUUCGGACUGAACUACUCCUCUGAGCUUAGUCUAGUAAAUAAAUAGUAUAAAAAUUCGAAAACAAUUUCAAACCCAUUCACAAAUGUGCUAGCAGAAGACAAAUGUAAAAGAAGCUAAUUGCCAAAAACCCCAUUUUCUAGAAACCAGAAAUAAAUGAUUUUAGUCAUUCAAUAAGAAGUAGGUAUAGAAUUACAAGAGAACUAUCCAGCGAUAGUGUUCAAUGCAUUAGUUAAUAUUCACCAACAACUAUAAAUUAGAAGCGGCAAUUUGGAUUGAAAUCCAUUUAUCCAUCCAUAUAAUCCAUAAUUAAAUGGAUAAUGGAUUAUCCAUUUAUAGUAUUGGUUUUAAAUGGUUGAUCAAAGUAAAACCAUUAAAUUAAAUGGAUUUAUAUGAAUUAUCCACUAAAACCAUAUAUAUUCAUUUACUUAAAAACCAAAUAAAAAAGAGGAAAAGGAAAUGACUAAAAAAGGAGCCAUCCUAAAAUUGCAAUUGGGGUGUGAAAAAGCUGUCCCCGUGAAUAGUAACCAACCCUGAAACUGAAUGUUGGGGUUUACUGCUGAAGAGGUCAGGAAACAAGUGAGAUUCGGUUGGCUUUGAAGCAAACCCAUUACUUUUUCCCAACGAUUCCUUGUGGAGGAUUAGAGUGCAAGCCUGGCACCACAGAAUUUGCGGUUCAGCCUCCCUCCUUGGUACACCCAUGCACCUGAUUACUAGAUGUUGAGCUCAAAAGUCAUCCGUGGCUUUAGUAGUAGACAUUGCAAGUGUUGUGUGAGUACGAAUACAAGCUAGUGUUGGUAUUUUUGUGGAUACCCUACGUACGGUCUAUGCAGGACUUCUAUUGUUUGGGCUAGUUUGCAAUAUAUGGCUACUCUGUAAUAUGUAAUAUAUAUAUACAUAUAUAAUAAUAAUAAUAAUAAUAAUAAUAAUUUCAGAUAGUUUUUUAGUGAAAUGAAAGUUCAUUUUGCUUGAAUUUACAUCCGUGGUAUUUUUUGGCUUGAAUUUACAAGAAAUGGUAAUACAAAAAAAAAGUAACAAAAAUAUUUAAAUGGAUUAUAAAUGGAUAAUUGGUUUUUAUUUAAUCCAUUUAGAUCCAUUUAUUAAAUGGAUCUAAAUGGAUUGGAUAAAUUUUAUCCACCAUCCAUUAAGUCAAAACCAAUUAUGAACCAUUUAUCCAUAUUGCCACCUCUACUAUAAAUAAUAAACACACACUAUUUAAGGAAAACCCACAACCCAAUCCAAAAGGCAUACUGACUUUCAGAUUACACUGAGAACCUUUAAGUAAUACACACACACACCACUCACAAUCGAUGUGGAAUAGAGGGAAAGGGGGAGGGGAAACACCAAGACUAUUGCCAAAGGCUCACCAACAGCUUUUAACCACUCCAUGAUUUUUCUUAUCCACCAACAACCAUAAAUAACACACACACACACACUACCUAAGAAAAACCCACGGUCCAACCCAAAAGGCAUGCUGACUUUCAGGCUAUACUAAGGACAUUAGUUAUUAUUCGGCACGUUUAAAAUUCUAUACAUGCACAUUAUGCUGUUUUUUAUAGUAUUAUUUUCUCUUUUCUACUAUCAAAAUAUAAAUCUAAAAUUUGAACAGAUUAAGGUAUGAAAUAAACAGCCUGUAGUGAUUUAUUUUCGUCCUAUGAUCAACUACUCAGCAUAAGAGAAUUGAGGUAACCUUUAACUACUGAGCCAAAUCCCAUCACCACCAUCUUAUCAUGUCUAAUUAGUCUUUUAGCUCCUUGUAAUGUUAAAAAAAAAAACAAAAAUUGGAUACACUCGACAAAGUAAAAUCAUAAUAUUGUGUUUCUAUUUUCCUUCUUUUUUCUUUGCGGGAAAUUAGGUAUACUAUUAUACUUGAUCUUUAAUUGCCAAUAGUAUUGAAGUUGGCGUAUGUUUCAUUCUAUAACUAUUAUGUGUGUCUAGUGGUUCAAUUUUUCUUUUCAAGUUUGCCCUUUUUUGCUAGAUUAUAUUGACCUUUCUCAAAUCGCUUCAUACAAGAUGCAGGAUAUUUGUUGUAAUUUACUGUAUCAUCUCAGCAUUUGGUGUGGGAUCUUACUGUUUACCUCAUUGUAAUGAUAUAUCGUUAAAAUGGAACCAAAUGGGAGCAUGGAAUCUGUCCUUUUGCAGGCAUAAUUAAUUUGUGGGAAAAUCUUGCCACAUAUCUGCAAGGAAUAAAUAAAGAUUGACUAUAUAUAUAGGAAGCGAGAAUGUAUCCUUGUAAAGAACAUUUUUAUGUAGGGAUACGGAAAAGAGAAAUUUGAAACAUAUAGUUGGAUUGGUUUUUCUUGAGUUUAAAGAGUCAUAGGCUAAAAAAAGUAGUAGUAGUUCAAUUUUUUUUUUUAUCAAUACUAGUUCAAAGCCAUAAAUAACUAUUGUACAGUCAUAAUUUGGACUCAAAUGUGAUAAGGUGCAUUAUUCGAGCUAUUGUAAGUGAAACAAAAGAAGAAACAAAGUCACAAAGUUUUCCUAGUGAUCAAUAGUACUGCUGCUUCCUAGAAACAACAUAUAAAAAAAAAAUAGAGAGACGCUAUUAAUAUAUUAUAAAGUUCUCUCAAUGUUUGUCAUUUUUAUAUGGUAACUUAUUAUAGACGAAUUGUUAAAGCCAUGUGAGAAAGUUAAGAACGAAAUUACACUGACGUGUUUCAUUCCAAAGCUAAUUGCAUUGUUAGAAAUUACAUUAACGCGAUUCAUUCAAAAUCUAAUUUUAUUUCAUAAUUCAAAAGAAAUUUUGAUGCAAUAAAAAUUCUUUUUUGAAUAUGAGAUCUUGAUUAUGACAAUACAUGAAUACCCUCAAUGAUAUUAGAAAGCGCAUUCAAAAUUAGGGACUGACGUCGUCCUAAUUAUUUUGUAAGAAGGACAAUCUUGAAAAGGAAAAACUUGAACACUAACCAUCAAUACAAACUAUUGAUGAAUCUUUGUAAUUAACGAGGGAAACCAUGUUGACCAAUAAAAGUCAAUGGUAGUAGGUAGAAAAGCUGGCAUCAAUGUGCACCAUGUUGAGGGUAACUAUAGUAUAGAUAUAAAUAUAGAUAAAUAUUUGUAAUUAACAAGGUACAUCAUGUUCACCAAUAAAAGUCAAUGGUAGGUACUUGAAAGCGUCCUUUAGCACAGAGGAGCUAGAAACCAAAAUGAAAUGAAGGAGAUCAGUAAAUUAAUCACAAGAUGCCCUGAACUUGCGAGGAAGCCAAUUAGUGCAAUAAUACACCAUAUUUUAUAGAUGGGAAUCUGCAAAAAAGUGGUGGAGUCGGGUAAGAGUCUGCUGAUGCAAUUGCAAUUGUUGGGCUCCAGGCUUCAAAAUAAUGCAAAGAUGACAAUAAUGAGUUGGAGCCAGCUCAUUCCAGUUGCGAUAGCAAAAUGCUGUUGUCUGCCAGUCUCUUCCAGUCAUUUGCAAUUAUUAGUGUGAACGCACAUGAUUGGAAUGAGCGCUUGUUUAUUUAUGUAGAAAAAGUGAUCUUGUUAAAUCAGCACACCUCUAUUCAUUUACCUGAGCAAAACUCGGAUCACAUGCAUUAAUGCUAAUAAUAAUAAUGAUCUACAAUAUUAAAGUAUGUGUUAUAAUCUUGGGUUUCUCUCUCUUCUAUUGUUGCCUGAUUUUUAUUUCCCUAUCCUUGCUUUUUGUCUCACCAUCUCCUUAAAUAGUAAGUCAUUUAGAUAUGUCGUGAUUUUCCUGCCUUUUUUUUUAAAGCAAUACUCUAUUGUUAAACAGGAAUCUCCAAAUAUUUUUUAGUAGAAUAGAGGCCCCAUUUGACAAAUGAAUUUUUUGAAUGUUUGUCUAAAUAUUUACUAUAACUUACUGUAAAAAUUUGUGAAAUUUUUUUUUAAAAUGUGUAAUUUUUUGGAUAUUUUAAAGUGUAAAGUUUAAAAAUUUUGAAAAUUUUUUUUGAUGUUAUUGCAGAUAAAAUUAUUAAAAAACUUGUAACAGAUAAACUUGAUAAAAAACUUGUUUACCAAAAAAGCCCAGAGUGUUGUGCGCGAACUUGUUAUUUAUAUGGUACUCCAAGUAUUCAAAACUCAAAAGGAGAACUUAAAGGGGCAAACAAAAAAAAAAAUUUAAAAAAAGGAAGGCAAACAAAAAAAUUUAUUAGCAGAGGUUAUUCAUAGCCCAUGAUCCCAUGUGCAAUAUUGCAAUGCGACAUUGGCGAGAAGACAAAAGAGAUAGAGAUGCCGAGCCUUAGCACCAAGCUGUCAAGUGGCCGAUGCCCUUCCAUUUUCUAUCUGCCCAGAAAGCAAUACUAACUUCAACGAUGCCUGUGAUUCUUCAGUCAUCCUUUUCUUCUUUUUGGGUAAAAAAUGGGAGGGUGGAUAGAUAGGGAAGAACCAGAUUGAUUAAUUAGAGUUACCAAGGGCACGUUUGGCAUCUAGAAUAAAAGUUUUGCAAACUUAUUUCACAUAUAUGUAGUAAAAUACUAGUAAUUAAGAAUGUAAACAUGUAAAGGCAUUGUCUGUUUGGUAGUGCACAAAAUAAGAGGUGGAUCCAAAGUUAAUUUUUUCUAUCAAAGUGUUGCAACUUAAGUGGUGAAUGAUAAUUUUACAACUUUAAUAGUACACCUACCUUCUUGUUUUAAUUAUAUUUUAACUAUAUAUAUAUAUAUAUAUAUAUAUGAUUUAGUGGUUAAAGUUGAGAUUUUGGUCUAGUGCUUUUAUUCUUCCCAAAUCUAUCAUCAAGAAGAUUUGUAGUAUGCUAACUGAGAUUAGAACUCAUUACGGGGCAAAAGUUAAGUGGACUGAUAUAUGGAUGCCUCAGAAGGAGGGAAGAUUGGGCCUGUUUGAUUUAGAACUUUGGAACGAAUGUCUAAUCAUGAAGCAAAUAUGGCAUGUUUGCUGUAAAAAGGAUACCCUUUGGGUUAAAUGGGUUCAUACCAACAACUUGAAAGGGUGUUCCUUUUGGGCAGCAAAGAUUCCGGUUAAUAGUUCUUUUUUUUUUUUUUUCCAGAAACGAUAGAUUAAUUUAUUUCUACGAAUAGAGAAAAUACAAUAUAUGAGCAAGGGCUCAAGUUGUGGUCUACAAAGGUGUACUGAGACAUCGAGGAUCAACGAACUCCUCAUCAAAAUAGAUGUGCAUUGCUUGCUUACUCAGUUCAUAACUGAGUGUAUUAGUACUAAUAUUACUGGGUUGGCAAACAAAUGAGCAUGUCCUAAACAUUAAGCUGAGAUCAGUGAUGCAUUCGAGAUGGCCUGCUAUAAGGAAGUUGCUUGGACAUUGGCAGCGUAUCAUCUUUAAAAUGCGGUUGCAUGAAAUAUGAACCUGUAUGUUUUGCAAGUCCCGUUCCUUUAGCUUACAAAGAGCCAGUUGUAUCGCCACCAAUGUGUCCAGCACAGACGAUCCAGUACUUCUUUCUGUGAGCAUCCACCCUGCCCCAAGCUGAUUCAGUGCAUUUGUUACUGUGACGCCAAUUCCCAUAUUUAGUCCUUCAAUGUGUUGCCCCACAUGUAUAUGAACUCUCAGGAUGUCCUGCUCUGGUUCCCUCGUUUGCUCUUGUUCAUUUACUAUGUCUGUUUCGGAAAUGCUCAUACAUUGCCGUGCCUGUUGGCAGUUAUAGUACUCCUCAAAGUCAUUCACUGCCUUUCUGACUACCUCCAUUGGAUGCCUAUAUUUGUCUUCAAAUUCUACUGCAUUUCUGGAUUUCCAAAUGUGCCAAAGAAUAUCCACAGUUAGACAAAUGUGUUGCAUUCCAUCCUUUCGUUCCUUUACUCCCAUUAGCCUGCUCCACCACUUCCUGAAAUCAGUUGUGUCCUCAUGAAGCCCAUCCCACUGUAACGGAGCCAUCUUCCAUAUCAGCUUUGCUUUGGUACAUUGGAAGAAAAUGUGCUCAACCGUCUCAGUUGUUUCUCCACACUGCUUACAGAUUAGCUCUCCCUUUCCCGUUCUCCUAAAUAUAGCUUCUCUGACGGGUAACACCUGGUGUAAACACUUCCAUAGAAACAACUUGUGUUUGUGUCUUAUUCUCAAUUUCCAUAGCUAUUUCCAGACUUUGUUGCAGCCCUCAAUCCAGCUUGUUUCUCCCAGAUUGCUCACAGGUGCAUUAGGCAUACUAUCCUCCGCUGUGAAGGCUUCAUAAGCAGAUCUGACCGUGUAUUUUCCAGUGGUGCCGUGCCUCCAGUAGUAACAAUCAGGUCUGUUUGUCACACUGAUAGGCAUUUUGAGUAUAUUCCUAGCUUCAUAUGGAGUGAAAGUUCGGAAGAUGAGUGGUGAUUUCCAUCUGAAACUGGAGAUCAGCUCGCUAACUUUUGUGAUGGUGCAUCCCAGUGGUUUUGGGGAUUCUACUUUGCCUUGCUUCCCUUCCAAUAGCCAAGCAUCUUCCCAGAUGUUAAUGCUCUUUCCGUUCCCUACUUUUUUCCUAAUUCCACUGCCUACCUCAUCUCUUACUCCCAUUAGACUCUUCCAUAUCCAUGAUGCAUUUCCUCUUACUUCACAGCCCAGUAGAGAAGUGUUGGGGUAGUACUUGGCUCUCAGCACUUUACUAAGCAAAAGAUUGGGGCAUCUGAGAAUCCUCCAAAGCUGUUUGCCUAGCAAGGCUUUGUUGAAGCCUUGGAGAUCUUUAAAGCCUAGUCCUCCCUUAUCCUUCGUAGUUGACAUCUUUUUCCAUGAAGACCAGUGCAUUCUCGUUCCCCCAUUGCCGUCCCCCCACCAGAAUCCUGCCAUCAUGGCAUUGAUUUCUUUGCAUAGCUUUACUGGAAGCUUAAAACAGGACAUUGCGUAGGUUGGCAUUGCCAUGGUUACUGCUUUGAGCAACACCUCCUUCCCAGCUUGACUUAAGCGUUUAUUGGACCAGUUAAAGAUGGUUCUUUUGCAUUUUUCUCUAAUGAAACCAAAGAGCUGAUCUUUGGUUCUAGUGAUGACCAUAGGCAGACCCAAAUACUUCCCUUGCUUCACCACCUUUAUGUUUUCCAAGCAGCUGCAGAUUUCUCCUUGAUGUCUUGGUUCCACAUUUUUGCUAAAGAACACAGACGAUUUUUCCAUGUUGAUCAGCUGUCCAGACUCUUGUUCAUAAAUCUUCAAAAUUCUGCUAACUUCUUGAGCUUGUCUGUUGUCCGCUUUGCAAAAGAUUAACGAGUCAUCUGCGAAGAAGAGGUGCGUUAUUGACGGGCCACUCCUACUGAUCCUCAUCCCAGUUAGCCUUUUACUUCUUUGUGCUUGGUCCAGCAGGUGUGAAAAACCUUGGGAGACUAAGAGAAAUAAGUAAGGUGACAAAGGGUCUCCUUGCCUAAUUCCUCUUGACGGUGUGACGUAUCCUGUAGGCUCUCCAUUGAUGUUGAAAGAAAAAGAAGCUGUUGAGAUGCACUCCAUUAUCCAAGUGAUCCAUGUAUCACAAAAACCCAUUUUUGCCAUGAUUGCCUUCAGGUAUCCACACUCUACCCUGUCGUAAGCUUUCGACAUAUCUAACUUUAAGGCCAUAAAACCAUGGGAUCCAUCUCUUUUGUUUUUUAGGUAAUGCAUGUACUCAUGAGAGAUGAUGACAUUAUCUAAAAUCUGCCUUCCAGGAACAAAGGCAGCCUGGUUUGCACUGAUGCAUUUUCCCAAAAAAUUUUUCAGUCUAUUUGCUAAAAUUUUUGAAAUGAUUUUAUACAACACAUUGCACAAACUUAUUGGCCUGAACUGCUUAACCUCAGUGGGGUGCUCACCCUUGGGAAUAAGAGAUAUGUUGGUGUGAUUCAUGGCUUUCAACAUAUGGCUGGAAUGAAAGAAGCUUUUAGUGGCUUUUAUGAUGUCUUUUUUAACAAUGUGCCAAAAUGUCUGAAAAAAAAGUGGAGUCAUGCCAUCAGGACCCGGGGCUUUGGUUGGGUUCAUGGAGAAAAGGGCAUCUCUAAUUUCUCUGUCCUUGACUGGUUGGGUUAAAUCUGAAUUCAUGUGGUCUGAAAUUGUCUGCGAUAUUCCCUCCAAAGACAUAUGAGUUUGAGUCAUUCCCUUACUCCUGAAUAGCUCCUUAAAAUGAUUUACAACUUCUUCCCCAAUUUCCUCCUCUGAAUUGGUCCAAGUGGUGUCCUCCCUUUGUAGUCUUUGAAUUUUGUUUUUCUGUCUCCUUCCUUUGACACUAGAGUGAAAAAAAUGGGUAUUUUUAUCCCCCUCCUUUAACCAUUGCACUCUAGAUUUUUGACUCCAAAACAGUUCCUCUUCGUCAUAAGCCUCCUUUAAUUGUCUUUUAAGAUCCCUGCUCCUUGACUUUUUGUCGUCACAGUCACUGGCUUUAAUCUCUUCCAAUAGCUUUUUAAGAUUUUCAAUUCGGUGCCUUGCAUUUCCUUGGAAGGUAGUUUUCCAUUUCAGUAUCGCCAACCUGCAGUUUGCUACUUUCUUAUGCACUUUGUACAUAUUGGAUCCUGUUUGCUCCUCCUCCCAAGCCUGCCUUAUCACUUGUUCCAGCCCCUCUUUGUGCAACCACCUUUUAUCAAAAAAGAACCGCUUCUUUUUCUUUUCAGUUAGAGGAUUUGAAUCUAUAAGCAUCAUACUAUGAUCUGAUCCCACAUUAUCUAUAUGUCUAACUGUAGUUUUGUCAAAAACCUGGCUCCAAUCAUUACUUCCCAAAGCUCUAUCUAGUCUUUCCUUGAUUUCACCUUCUUGAGUCCAGUUGUUACUCCAAGUCCAGGGGUUGCCUUGGAAACCCAGAUCAAUAAGUCCAUUUUGUUCAAUGAAGUUUCUGAAAUCUUGAAAGCUUCCCUCCUCUCGCUUUCUACCACCCCAUUUCUCUUCAUUAGAUUUAAUAUCAUUGAAAUCACCUGUAAUCAUCCAUCUAGGACCCCAUAGCACUUUCCUUCAUUCCACUACUUGCCACUGAUUCCUUCUAACCAGAUUAUCCGUGCUUGCAUAAAUGCCAAUAAACCACCAGUCCACAUUCUUGUCCAAGUCCAUGAUAUGGAUUUCCAUGGUGAAAGCAGUUGUUUGAACAUCCAAAACCUUAACCUCAUUGUUCCACAUUACAGUCAUGCCACCUGCCUUAUUCAUUGAUUCUACCACUACACACUCAUCAAACCUCAAUUUCCUUUUCACUGUCAGCAUAAACUGAAGUCUAUUUUUGGUCUCACACAAAAAGACCACAUUGGGGGAGAGGAGGUUGCAAGCCUCCCUCAGCUGGGGAAUUGUCAAGGGGCUCCCAACACCUUGGCAAUUCCACACCAGUGCUUUCAUUCAUCCAUGGGUGGCCAAGUUAGGCUGGCCACCGCCCCUUCAUAUUGGUUGACACAGUUGUCUUGCUCCUCCCCCUUUCUCCACUUUUUUCCCACUGUUUCAGUGAUUUCCACAUCCACCAUAUCCUCAUCAGUCAGAAGAAAUUUUCUUUUCCCCGUAGUCUCCUUACACAGCCUGGAUUGCUGAGCCUGUCGCAUUGAUUUUCUCUUUAUCACUGGAACUUUUAAUUGUUUCCCUGUUCUUCUCGCCAUUCCAUUGUUACUCGGUGCAUCCAUAACAUCUAUCUGCUCUUCCACUUGCAUGUACACAGCUUCAGGUUCCUUAGAGGAUUGCUCUACCUCCUUGUCAAGGACUAUGUCUAGCUGACCGCCAUCUACACUCCCUUCAAUCAUUUGUUGAGAUAGUUUUUCCUUUCCCUUGCUAUUUUCCAUCUCCUCACCCCUGUUGUCCGUAUUUUCUGAUUCAUGCCUUGUCACUAUCGCCUCAACUGUUAUGUCUCCCCCAGCAGGUCCACUCUUCUUACGCGUACUUCCAUCCUCCCUAGCCAUGCUCCUCUCCAUCAGCACCUUAUCCCCUGUUUUUGGUACUAAUUCUCCAUCCUUAAAACCCCACCUUUGCUUGUUUGGAGAAGUGUUAACAGGUUGUCUCCCUCUUCUUUUCUUUGGAGGCGACAAAUGCCCCCCUCCUACUCUCAUCCAUGGGCCAAAUUGAUUAUCCUGCUGACCUUUCCCACCUACACUUCUAUUUGGGCACUUCCUAUCACUGUGACCUAUUUUACCACAAGUAUAACAGAAAUCAGGUCCCCUCUCAUAUUUGAAACUUAGCCACUUCACCUUUCCUUCCAAUUUCACCGUAGUACCUCUCAUGAGAGGUUGGGAUAUAUCAGCCAGCACUAGUAAUUUGAUAUGUCUUCCUUCCUUUCCUCCUCCUUGAGGGAUAAUCACUUCCUUAGUUUCAUGAAACACUGAUGCUAUUUUUUUUCCCACCUCUUUAGAAAUCCAAUGCACUGGAAGAUUCCACACUUGAAUCCAUAAUGGAGCAAGAUUAAAUUCAGCUCCUUCCUCCUGGUUAAUAGUUCUUGGGUAUGGAGGAAAAUAUUAUUGUUGUUAAGGGAAGAAGCUUAGCCUUUCAUUAGACAUUUGAUUGGAAAUGGUGCUGAUACAUAUUUCUGGUAUGACUGCUGGCACCCUAUUGGUCCUUUAUAUAAAUAUUUUUCUGAAAAUUUGUUGAUCGCAAAAGCUUCAAGAGUCUCUAGGUGUAUUCAGGGGAGUAUGUGGAAAUGGCCCCAAGGGAGACGAAGAACAGGGGAGAUAAAGAAACUAAUACGGGAGACCCCGCAUUUAUUUUUGCUUAAUACACAUGUUGCGGAUGAAGUAUACUGGUAUGGUAGUGCUUCUAGCCAAUUAACAACAUUCUAUUCAGCAAUGUCAAAACUUUGAGUUUGUGGAGCUCCAGUGCCAUGGGACAAGCUGGUAUGGGGGAAAGGUACUGUACCGCGUUACUCUUUCAUUGCUUGGAUGCGUUGUAGAGGAAGAUUACCUACCAGAGACCGUUUAAAGGCCUGGGGAGUGGCUUUGGAGUAAAAUCAGUGUGUCCUACGUAAUAGUGCUGAGGAAUCCAUUAGGCAUAUUUUCUUUGAUUGCACUCCAUCCAAUACAGUAUGGCAGAAGCUACAGUACUUGCGUGCAAUAGUUAAGAGCAGAUUACCCUGGGAUGCUGAGUUAAAAUGGUAUUCUGAUAACUGCAACUCAAACUCAUUUAUUGGUCAAAUCAGAAGGUUGGUGUUUUCAACUGCAAUUUAUCAGAUAUGAUGUGCGACGAACCAAAUCAUAUUUCAACGGAAAUGUAUUUCUGCUGUGACCAUUGUGUCUAUGGUCCUUGAAUCAGUUAAAAUUACUGUUGUGAGUUGGAGAGGAGUCCCACAGACCAAAGCCAAUUGGGAGCUAAAUAUGGAGUUCGGAUUAUGUCAUGUGUGUUUCCAGCAAGAUUUGAGUUUGCAUUACUGUAAUAGUGAUAGAAUUUAUGUAAGUAGGAAUUGUUUGAUUCCUGUGUGUACUCGCUUAUAUCUUGAUCAAUAAAGAUUCAUAUUUGCCCAAAAAAAAAAAAGAAUGACCAAUUACUUGCAUUACAUUAACAAUUAAUAUCAAUUAUUCCAACACUUACAGGAAUGAAAAACAUUCCCUUGAGUUGUAGUGAAUUAAAUCGAAAAAAGAACAACAAAUUUUAUUUAUAAAUUAUAAAAAAAUAUGGUAAAUUUUAGUGGUUAAUAGUGUAAGCAAAAAAAAAAUGAUAUUAGUUUCUGUGAUGCCACAAUUACACUCUUCUCUAAUAAAUGGACAAAUUGCAUUGCAUUUCAUUAAUAAAUAAUAUCAAACAUGCUAGUAGUGACAAAAAUAAAAGAUUUCUUACUUUUUUAUUUAUCAAAAAAAGAAUAAAAAAUUUUAUUUAUGAAAUACCCAAGUUUAAAGAGUACUUCAAACAUGAAACAAAGCAUAAUAAAUUGGUACUAUGAGUCUCUUAAAAAAUAUCAUGAAUCUUUUUAUUUUUUGGAUAAAAGUAAAUUAAGCCUUAAGAGCACGUUUUAGUAUGAGUAUAUUAGUAUUAAGUAAAAAAUUUUAACACAAAAUAUAAUAAGAACUGGAGUAUGAAAGAAGGCAAAGAGUUUUAUGUUGAAAAUUUAUUGGUUUAUAUUGCAACAAAAAUUAAAUUUAAUGAACUUUAUUAAUGGUAUUAUUUUAACAAUUGAUAGCAUUAAAUAUAUCAAUGCCAAUCAUAAUAAUAGUUAUAAAGGUGAAACACUCAUUUGAGUUAUGGUGAUUAAAUUAAAAAGUAUAUCCAAUUUCAGAGAGUACAUCAAAGGUGAAUAAAAAUAUUUCCAAAUUCAAUUUGACUGUUAUAUAAUAAAUAAUCUUAACAGCUUACAAUUUUUAAUCAUAUAAAUCUAUAAUCAUAAAUCAUGUCAUCAAUGAUAAAGUUUCAACAAAUGAAAAUAUUUCUCUUUAAAAUUAAGCUAUUUUAAAUUUGAACAAUGGAAUUCAGUAUAUUUAAAUGCUAUAGUAAUUAUAAUAGUACUAUAGAUCAUUUUACAAUCCACCAUUAGCGAAAAAUAAUAAUAAUUAGAAAAAAUCACUAAAACUAUUUAAAAAUUCAUAGAGUGACUUAAAAGGGAACAACAAAUUUUUUAAAAAGAUAAAGAUUUUAACUCAAAUGACGUAAAAGAGAACAUUCGGACAAUCUAAAUUUAACAGAAAGAAGAAAACAUUAAUUGUCUUACAAAAUAAAGUCCUCUUGGAACAAAUAAUGCUUUAUUACUCAUGCAUUUGUAUUGGUUAGGGCAAACCAAAUUCAGAAAAAAUAAAAAAAAACAUGAAUAAUAAAUAUCCUUUUUUUCGUUAAUAAGUUAAAAAUUUAAACUCAAAUAACAUAAAAGAGAACACUCAGAUAAUCCAAAUUCAACUGAAAGACAAAAACAUUGAUAUUGUUACAAAUUAAAAGUGCCCUCAGGCUAAAUAAUGCUUUAUGUUGCCUAGGCAUUUGUGUUGGUUAUAGCAACCAAAUUCAAAAAAUUAUAAAAAUAUUAAAUAUCACAUUUUUUUUGUCUCAAUUACAUUUAUUCCUUCAAAACAAUUGUUUUUCUAAAACUUUUGAGAAAUAUUAUUUGCAGUCACAUUUCUAUUAAUCAUACUCCCACUAUCGCUUAAAUCAUAUAGUUUUCAUUUGUUAAGAUAUGUGGUGACAUUAAAAAAAAAUGAAGUGCAAAUUACAUUUUCCAAAAUUUUAAGGAAAAAAAUUUAAAAACAUCAUGUUCAUGUUCACGUGAAAAGUACACGAUUCAUUACUAGUAAUGUAAAAAUGCUUGAUAAUCCAAAUAGAUGAGCUUCCUGUAGAUUGUUGGAGUUUGAAUGUUCAGUUCCCUGUGAAGUUUUUUGAAUAAUCUCGAGACUUGGAUGAACAUACGAUUGCAUAAUGGGUGAUGCUUUCCAUAGUCUGAACCUAGUUGAGGAUGACGAAAAUUAGUCUUGGCCUGUUAUGGACUGUAGGAACGGCAAGAGAGGAAAAGGAGGAGCAGGCCUUUAAAAAAUGAGCUAAGUUGUGAAAAGUGCGGGUGGGGAACAUUAACAUAAAUUUUUGUACAUUUUCUUUUUUCCUGAGGUAAUUGUCGGCAAUAACUUUGUCCAGUGCUUAGGGGAACACCCGUUGAUUUUGCAUUUCUAGUUUGAUAUAUGAGGGCCUUUCCAUGUCUGAAGAUCAAAUAAUACAGUUUGGAACUGCAGAUGGUUCUGCGGCAAGCUCAGUAUCAAAGAACAAGGAGAUUGAUGUGAGCAUCUAUCUAGUUGAGAUUGUUAUGUAUUAGGUCCUGAAUCCUCUAUAGUUUUGUGCUUUUGUGAUUUUGUACUUUACCACGUAACCCUCUAUAAUUUAAAAAAAUAUAUAGAACUCCAUUAUAAUUUGGAUUAAGGUGUCAUUGUUAGUUUUUCCGUUAAAACUAACGGUCAAUAGUAAAAAGUCAAAAUCAAACUAAUAAAUUGACAAAUUCACGUUUUCAUUAUUCUCUCUCUCUCUCUCUCUCUCUCUCUCUCUCUCUCUCUCUCUCUCUCUCUCUCUCUCUCUCUCUCUCUCUGUGUGUGUGUGGGAAAAAAGAGGUGAUUUUGAAAACCUAUGUUUUGGCUUACAAAAUCUUAAUUUUCUCCAAAUAUAAAAGAGAUGGAAGGAAAAUAAAAAAUAAAUAAUUAUGAAACAAAAAAGAUGGAAGGGAAAUAUAAAAAAGUAAAUGAGAAACAAAAAAUACCAAAUCUUUUUUUACUACAAAUAUCAUUAUAGGUUUCUAAAACAAAAUUUUAAUGGCAUUUUCUAUUUCUUAUUUAUCUAUUUUAUUUAAAUUUCUUCAAGUAAUGAAAAGAUAAAUUUGUCAAUUUAUUGGUUUGAUUUUGACCUUUUACUAUUGAUUGUUAGUUUUAAUAAAAAAAAAUUAAAGGUGACACUGUAAUUCAAACCAUGAGGAGAUUAUAUAUAUGUUUUUAAACUGUAAAGAGGUUAUGUGGUAAAGUACCUAAUCAUAGGGGAUAAAAUACAAUUUACCCAACUUAAUAUUAGCUAGCCCUUACAUUGCUAAAGCAAAUGGGUCAGUGGUUGCUCUUAAUUGCCAAGUACCAAUAUACAUAUACCGAGAUCAUCCGCAUUUUUGUUCCUAAUUGCCAGCAUAUACCACAUCUUUUGAUUUUCCAAUAAAUACUGCAAAAAAAAAAAAAAAAAAAGUGACGACACCUUCUAUACUACUCAAAGAUUAUUGAUUGUUCACCUAAAUUCGUCAAGUUUCAAAAAAAAUCUUUAAAGUGAAUUGAAUCGAAUUCAAAUUGAAACACUGGCAAAUUAGGGAAGGAAAGAGCAGAUUUGUACAAGCAGAAGGGAGGAUAAAUUAAACCAAAAUUGAUUGUUUGCUAAAUCAAUUAAAGAAAAGAUAAAGAGUAAUAGUAUACAGUACAUUAACAACAUCAAGCAUUAUACACAAUACAUACAAUAAAUAAGAAGGUAAGACACAGAAGAUGAUGAACUUGUCUCACAGAAGAUGUCGAAUGGGAAAAAAUUUACUAAUAAAAAAUAAAAUCAAAAAAAGAGAAAGCAGUGUUGUCCACAAGGGAAGCCACAGUGGCUGCUGCUGUUGCUGCUAGGAAAGAUUAUAUGUUUUCUUCUUCUUCUCUUCCCAUAGCUGGUGCUCUCUCCAUUCCCCAUCAUCUGUAUAGUAACCAAUGAGAAUUUCAGGAAUAUGUGCGAUUCUUGUGUAAUCUUCACUUUCUUCCUUCUGAUUCUCUAACAGCUUCUCUCUCAAUUGAGAACUCAUCUCAUACAAAGACAGCCGUUGAAGAUUGCUCAAGUGCUGAAUACCCAAUGGUAACUCCUCUAGUAACGGAAGUUGUUCUAGAAAUAGUUUUUGGAGACGAGGCAAUGCACCCUCCUCCACUCUCAUCCCUCUCAACCCUUCCAUUCUCUUUAGGUGCAACCUCUUCAGCAUUAGGAACCCUCCAGUUUUGAAACACAACCCUUCUCCUUGGUAAGAUCCACAGAAAUUAAUACUAACCAAAUUGGGCAAAUGUUGGAGGGAUUCAAGCGGAUCCUCCUCGCCUCUUAACCUGCUCCAAUUCAAAUCUAUUCUUACCAAGCCGUGAAGAUGAGCUACCCAUUGUGGCAUUUUUUCUAAGCGGCCACGCAAAAUCAGCAUACGAAGAGAUUGAAGAAACGAAGAAGAAGAAAGAGAAGGAUGAUUUAGAUCGAUUAUCUCAUGAUCAUCACCUUUUCCAAUUGAAGCAAUGCUUAAUUCCCGAAGACUGGUGAGGUUGGCAAGGGAGGAGCAGAGCUCCUUUCCAUCUUCUCUUCUUAAAUUUGUGAUACCUAAUUCUCUUAAUUGGGUCAACUUUCCUAUCUCCUUAACUAUUGUGGAUCCACCGCUUGCAUCUAUGCUAUCUAAUACUUCUAGGGCAAUAAGCCCUCCCAUAUUUGAGGGAGCUUUAAAUCCAUGAUAUCCAUAAUCAUCAUCGAAAGAAUCAACUUGUUGAAAUACUCUGAGAACCCGAAGUUUUUGCAGCUUUAGCAUUUCCAUGGGUAAUUCCCUAACUCUUGUGUCAGCCAAAUCCAGAUACUCCAAAUGUUGAAGCUUUCCAAUGGAUUUUGGGACUCUCUCUACUCUCGUACCCCAUAGGUCCAGAUGCUUGAGAUGAAACAUCUUGAAAAUCUCAUUUGGUAUUUCCUCCUGUGUCUCUUGACCACGCAAAUCCAAAACCUUUAACAGCUUACUACUCCUUGAAAUUUCAGAUAACAAUGUUUUGGAUAGUAGCGGGCUCAUGGAUCCAACUGUAACGAACGACCGAAGGUGGUCAAAGCAACAACUUCGUCUUUGUUGGUGGUGCUGGGUAUUGUUACUGCUACUACUAUGGACUGCCAGACGGCGUACCUUCUCGGAUGGCCAUGUCAUUGGUUGUCCAGUAGUGACUGUGACCAUGUUUUGUUCCCUUGACUUGAGAACAAUAACUUCUCUCAACAGGUCAUGGAUUCGACAAUUGUUGGGUAAUCCUUCAUAAAACACAUCAGUCACUUGAAUUAGGCUUCUAUUGACGAGUUCACUAAGAUAACCCCAGGCUACAUCUUCAAUACUCAUUCCUUCUCUCCCUUCUACUAACCUUUCAGCAAUCCACAAAUUAAUGAGUCUAUAGCAUUGUAUUUUGUAAUCCUCUGGGAAGAUGCUUGUGUACAACAGACAUGUCUUUAGAUGCCUGGGCAAAUCACUAUAACUGAGAGAGAGUAUCUUUUUAACUCUAUCCAGUUUACCAGCGCCUUCUAAUUCACCCCCAAGACUGUGUCGAACCAUCCCCCAUUCCUCUGUUCUGUUUACAUCUUUCAAAGCCAAAAGCCCACUGAUUGCAAGAAUUGCAAGGGGCAAGCCCUCACAUUUACCCAAUAUAACUUUGGCAACAUCCAUCAAAUGGCCAGGGCAACUACCUCCCUUAAAGAUCUUGUUGCAAAAUAGGGUCCACGAAUCUUCAAAGAAUAGUGGCUUCAUUCUGUAGAUAUAACCCAGAGAUUCUGUACAAGAGGCUGAGGCUACAUCAGCUUUCCGAGUUGUUAGCAUGACACGGUUGCAUACCUUUCAGCUUGUCAUCAAAAACAAUUGCAUACCUUUCAGCUUGUUGAAGAAAAUCUUUGACAAAUUUUUUCAGCUCAGUGGUAGUCAUGGACUCGAUCGAUUGUGGGACUGGUUUCUUCCCUUCCUCGUGUAACUGCCGAAUCAAGUCUUUCAGGAGGUACUGAAAGUCACAUGUUUCAGAGACAGUUACCCAAGCACGGACUGGGAAAUGCCUUCUGACUUCAAGAUCCUCAUGGACUUUUUUCACCAGGGUAGUUUUGCCAAGUCCUCCCAUACCAACCACUGAAACAACUUUUAGUUGGUAAUCAUCCCCUUCGAGAAGCUGAGAAAUUAGAUGGUUUUUGGGCUGGUCAAUGCCAACUAAUUUAGCUUCUUCCACAAGCAGUGCAUCAUCUCUGCUAUAACGCCAUGUUGUGUUGUUCACAGCAGAAAUUGAGUUGGAUGCUUGGGCAAAGAUACCAUAUUCAGAUUGGUAUCUUUGAUGAGCUUCAGAAAUACUUUUGAUUCUUGACUUGAUGCUUUGUAUUUCGCUAGCAACUCGAUAACGAGCUCUCAAAUUCUUGAUGGAGCUGAAAAUUCUCCAAACAGAGCCGUAGAAUCCUGUUUCGCGAUGCCGAGCAAAGCGAGCUACAAAUUCAUCAAGAAUGUCUUCAGUGUCAUAAGCUGCUUCUCGCACUUGCUUGAUCCAUUCUUGGAGCCUGGGUUGAGCAUCUUCUUCUUUUGCUUCUGCCUCUCUCAGGAAAGCCCUCAUGUGCCCCAACUCAUCCCUGAUGAAUUGGACCUCUUGCCGAAGCCCACCCAAUAGUCGUCCCUCCUCGCGCAGAAAAGUUGAGAGUUGAUCCAGCACAAAAGAGAGAACUUUUUCUGCCAUUUUCAGUCUUUCUUUCUAACUUAGAGAAUGUCGUGGAAGGCAGCUUCUCGUUUAUGGGACAGUCCACUUGUAGUGUCUUGAAAGGAAGAGGGAAGAGUAGGUUAUAGAUUCAUAAGCUGAUGAACUUUGAAACUAUAUGGUGCAGUAUAUAUCAAAAAGAAAAACCGCGUCAAAAGAAAAAGAAAGAAUUAAAAAAUUAGAAGAAACUAAAGCAAAAAACAUGAUGGAAAUUGAAGGCAGGAAGAUGGGCAGCAACGUGAGUUUGAAAGACGAAGCUGCCUUACCUGCUUACAAUACAGAAUCAUGGAAGCUAUGAAGAAGACACAACUGCAAAUGGUGGGGUGAUCAGCCUUCAGGACCUUCUUUCAACUGUGGGUCCUAUGGUCGGAUAAAGAUAAAGGAGCAUCUUUGAACUGUGGGUUCUUUACAAAGCGGGGUUGGACUGGACAUUAUUUUUUUUUUUAUUUUUUUUUUUUAGGUGUGUCCCGCAGGGAGUGGACCCCGCAGACUAUUCACCAUCCUCAACAACUUGCUGGCAGCAAGGUUCGAACCAGGGACCUGAAGCCCCAUCUUCAGCACCCUCAACCACCAGACCAAGCCCCUGAGGGCAACUGGACAUUAUUGAUUUCAUUGACGAAGCAAUAAAAUCAGGGAAAAUGAUUCAAAACGUUUCUUAUAUUUUAUAAGGUGAUUUAUUUUUUAAAAUAUAAUUUUAUGUUCCUUACAAAUUCAUAUUGACUAAAUUUGAUUCUUACUUAAAUUUUUGACUAGUUUUUGAUCGAAAUCCAUUACGUAACUUAUACGUGAUCAUUUUUUUGGCUAUGUUCAUAAAAUAGAAAAAAAAACCUUGAACUUCAAGAAAAGUAAACAAAUCUCAGCACUUACUUGAGAGAAAAUGAAACCUCUGGCAAUAGCUGAUCUGAACCUACCCUGUCAAAUCCAAGUUUGAUGAAAAAGAGAACACGGGCGAGGAAGAUGAUAAUUUGAAUCAAAAUUAAAACAAUGCAGUAUGUGCAAGGCCUUUAGCUAGGAAGAUGGAGUAUUACAGAGGAGAAGGUAGGAGCAGCACCGUUAUUGAUAGGAAAGUGGAUUGAAAUUGGCCGUGACUUUCCUGGUUGGAUAGUAGAACAAUGGGUUAAUCACAUUUUAUCCUCUUAAAAGAUACCCCAUUUCUCAGUUUACCUCCUAACCUUUAAUUUUGCUCACUUAACCCCCUUUAGGACAAAAUUGCCCUUGCAUUAUUUUGACUUUUCAUUUACCUUGUUUUCCUUUCUUUUAUUUCUUUUUCUCUUUCUUCUUUAUUUAAUUCUUCCUCUUUCCCACAAAAAUCUUUACCUUAAUGAUUGAAAUUAAAAAAGAGGAAUUGCAGAGAUCUAUCUUCUCCUUAAAAAAUUUAAAAAAUAUUCAAAUCACUUUCCUAAAAUAUAAUUUUUUUAGCCUUUCAAUUCUUUUAAUUUUGGGUUUUCCUCUUUCCUUUAUAGUUUCUUAUUUUAUUCUCAAGAAAAUAUCUUAAGAUGAAAUUGUGACCUGAUUAAUAAUCAUCAAUUGAAAUUUGUGACACGUGGCAUCAUACAAAAAAUCAAAAUUAGUUUUUGAUGUCUUUUAAACCUUCACCCAGAAAUAUGCAAUUAUAAACUCAAAACAAAAAUUUUCGUUGAAAUGGAAUUUCUAUUGGGAAGGAUGAAAGAGAGAAGAAAGAGAAAAAAAAUAAAAGAAAGGAAAACAAUUUCAUCUUAUGAUAUUUUCUUGAAAAUAAAAUGAGAAACUAGAAAGGAAAGAGGAAAACCCAAAAUUAAAAGAAUUGAAAGGCUAAAAAAAUUGUAUUUUAGGAAAGUGAUUUGAAUAUUUUUUUAAUCAUUUAAGAAGAAAAUAGAUCUUUGCAAUUCCUCUUUUUUAAUUUCAAUCAUUAAGGUGAAAUUUUUUGUGGGAAAGAGGAAGAAUUAAAUAAAGAAGAAAGAGAAAAAGAAACAAAAGAAAGGAAAACAAGGUAAAUAAAAAGUCAAAGUAAUACAAGGGCAAUUUUGUCCUAAAGGGGGUUAAGUGAGCAAAAUUAAAGGUUAUGGGGUAAACUGAGAAAUGAGGUAUUCUUUAAGGGGAUAAAAUGUGAUUAACCCUAGAACAAUUACUCAACGUGGAUCUCGUCCCUUGGCUGUCAGAGUGACACAUGGCAAUAAAAAUCGAGACUUAAAUGAUGAGGUCAGAGUCCAUUGUUAGGUGAUCGGAGAAUGAGUAGUUUAGUCAUUUCACGAAAUAUUAAUUGUAUUCAAGUUAUGAUGGAUAGUGCUUAAUUUUCCAUUUUUAAAUUAUGUCAAAGUUACACAAUUCUUUUGAAUUUUCCACGUCCACAUCGAGAAUUUUCCAAUCAUAUCUAUUUAGAAUUCUAAUUUUGCAACUUCACUGUAUAGGUCCAAAUCUACUUUGAAAAAUUUUAUGUCAAAUCAAAAUUUUGUGUUUCUAUUUUUCUUCUUCCUUCUUUGUAAAAUGAAUGACUUUGGUCAGUGAGAAUGUAUCCUUGUAAAGAAGAUUUUUACAUAGGGAUAUUGUUAUGAAAAAGAGAAAUUUGAAACAUAUAAUAGUUAGAUUUGUUUUUCCUGAAUUUAAUGAGUCAUAGGCUAAAAAAGUUGUAGUAGUUCAAUUUUUUUUUUCAAAUCCUAGUACGAAGCUGCUACUUGAGUUAAUGAAUUGAAAUUCACUGGUAAAAUUAACUAUUGUAGAGCCAUAAUUUGGACUCAAAUGCGAUAAGAAGCAUUAUAUGAGCUACUCGCUGUAAGCCGGAAAGCAGCUUUGAAACAAAAGAAGCAGAGGUACAAAGUUUUCGUAGUGGUCAAUAAUACUAUCGGUUCCUAGAAACAUCAUAAGAAAGGAGAUAGAGUAACACUAUGGAUAUUAUAAAAUUCUAUCAAUGUUUGUCAUUUUUAUAUGGUAACCAACUACAGAAAAAUUGUCAAAGUCGUAUGAGAAAGUUAAGGACGAAAUUGCACUAACUUGUUUCAUUCCAAUGCUAAUUGUAUUUCAUAAUUCAUAAGAAAAUUUGAUGCAAUAAAAUUUUUUUUUGAAUAUGAGACCUUGAUUGUGACAAUACAUGAAUACCCUCAAUGAUAUUAGAAAAUGCAUUCAAAUUUAGGGACACAACGUGGUCCUAAUUAUUUUGUAAGAGGGGUGAUCUUGAAAAGAAAAAACUUGAACACUCAACUAUCAAUACAAACUCACUCUUUUAGCAAAGGUAUAGAUCCAGAUAUUGAUGAAUCUUUGUAAUUAACAAGGUAAAUCUGUUGACCAAUAAAAGUCAAUGGUAGCAGGUAGAAAAGCUGGCAUCUAUGUGCACUAUGUUGAAGGUAACUAUAGUAUAGAUAAAUAUAAAUAUUUGUAAUUAACAAGAUACACCAUGUUGAUCAACAACAGUCAAUGGUGGGUAGAAGGCUGGCAUCAUCCUUCAAAGUGUCCUUCACGACAGAAGAGCUAGAAACCAAAAUGAAGGAGAUCGGUAAAUUAAUCACAAAAUGCCCUGAACUUACGAGAAUCAUCCUUGAAAACGUCCUUUAGGACGAAAGAGCUAAAAACCAAAUUGAAGGAGAUCAAUAAAUUAAUCACAAGAUGCCCUGAACUUACGAGGAAGCCAAUUUGUGCAAUAAUACACCAUACUUUUAGACGGAAAUCUGCAAUCGGUGAAGUUGGAUUAGACUCUGCUGAUGCAAUUGUGGGGUUCCAGGCUUCAAAAUAAUGCAAAGAUGACAAUAAUGAGUUGGAACCAGCUUAUUGAUGACAAUAAUGCUUGUAUUUUAGGCACGUUAGAUGUGAAAUGUGAGAGUUGACUGCUGUCUGAGCUCAUUCCAGUGUGAAAGAACCUUCUGCGAUAGCAAAAUGCUGUUCUCUACCAGUCCCAUUCAGUCAUUUGCAAUAUGAUUAUGGUUAUUUAUUAGCGUGAACACACAUGAUUGGAAUGAACAUUUGUUUAUUUAUGUAGAAAAAGUGAUAUUGUUAACGUUAUUUUUUAUAAAUAGCAGCCCGCUCAAGUGAUUGUGCUCUAUUUUUUUUGGGGUAAAUUGUGGAAGAUAGAGGCACUAUUAAAUCAGCAUACCUCUAAUCAUUUACCUACCGUAUAUCUAUAUGAGGGCAAAACUCGGAUCACAUGCAUUAAUGCUAACGAUAAUGAUCUACAAUACUAAACAAGAUAUAUCAUGAUAUAUAUGUUAUAAUCUUGUGUUUCUCUCUCUUUUAUUGUUAUCUGAUUUUUCUUUCAUCAUCCUUGCUUUUUGUCUCACCAUCUCCCCAUACGGUAAGUCAUUUAGAUAUGUCAUGAUUUUCCUGUCAUAUUUUUUAAAGCAAUACUCUAGUGUUAAAUAGGAAUAUCCAAAAAUUUCUGAUCAGGAUAGAGUUUUGUACACCAACUUGUUAUUUAUACGGUACUGCAAGUAUUCAAAACUCAAAAGGAGACCUUAAAGGGGCCAAAAAAAAAAAUAGGGAAGACCUCAUGACUCAUGAGGUCAGUUCAGGUUUCUGAAUUAUUCCAUCAAGGAUAUUGAAAUUGGAAAAAAAAAAUAGAAAAUUAUGAAUGAAACGGAGAAAAGGACCAAGAAAUCUAUAAAUUACCAUCAAAUGUCAAAUGAGUGGUGUUUUUCACCUAUUGGCGCACCCUUUAACCCGCCGCCCACCUCUUUUUCAAAUGGAUGAUAGAUAUAUAGAUAAUUGCAAUGCAAUGAAAUAUUAGAGACUUACUCUCAUCCUAGCAUAUCAAUUUCUUAACUUGAGGUGUAUAUGAUAACAAAUUUGAGUUUCUGUUUAAAAAGUAUAAUUUGUGAAUUGCCAGGUUUUAUUUUUUUAUUGGUGAAUAAAUUCCAAAUAUUAGAUUCAUGGUUUCUUUUCAGAAAUUCCUAUGUUUUAUUUGAUAUAUUUACUUUAAUUUGACAUAUAAGCAUUAUUCAAUGUAAUAUGCAGUACGCUUUUUUCCAGCUUCAGAUGUUGUAAAAAUUUUAUUUUCUUUUGCAAGUCAAAAUCAAAUUAGGAUUUGUUAUCCCUUAUGUUAUAUCCAGAACCUAGUAGAAUAAGAUUAAGUAGCAUUACAUUAUUUGGUAGAAACUAUGUUUCAUUAAGUAAUUUCGUUCCAAAUCUAACUAUAUUUCAUAAGAAAAAUGUAAUAUACUUCUCUUCCUAAAAUAAAUACUUAACAAUGAUAUUACACAAUUACCCUCAACAAUAUCUACAAGUCAUUCAAAUUUAGAGCUAGCCAUAAUAUGUUAUGGGAGGGUUAAUGUUGGAAAGAAAAAACUAAUUUUUACAAUAAUUAAUAAAGUAGAAAUAGUUCUUAAAUUUCCUUUUACAAUAUGGUUCCCUUUUUUUUGGGUUUAACUUUGUUUUACAAUAUGGUAUAUGGUUUCGUUUUUUUUUUUCUUUUGUUUAACUUUGUUUGGAAUUCCUUUCCUUUUAGAAUACUAAAUUUUAGAAGACGAUAAUUAUAUCAACACUAAUAUCCAUAAAUAUCCCUCCCCCAAUUCAUAUUUGAAAUUUAAUAUAAGCUUCAUUAUUUCAUUAUACAAGGGCAUUACUGGAAAGUGAAAACUAAAUUACUAAAACACCAAAUCACAUUGGUGCUUUUAAUAUAUAUGCAUAUAUACAUGUAUAUAUGUAUGUAUAUAUGUAUGUGAUAGACAUUUGCACAGAGAGACUUAUUUGGCAUCUAGUCCAACAAAGCUAACAAGGCAAGCACAAAAUUAAAAACAUAAAAAUAAAACGCCUUGAGAAACAUUAGAGAGAGAUUCAAGGGAUUGUCACCCAUGGCAUUCCAAAAGAAAAGGAAAACAACAAAUUAAAGAGGAGAAUCAUCGAGGACAUCGAAAAUUAAAACCCAAUAAAUUAACUUUCUGAUGUUGAAAUAAUGAUCAAGUGAAAGCCGUAAGAAAUUUUAUAUUGUAACUUAAUACAGAAGAAUUUUUCAAAGCCGUAAGAAAUUUAAGGACGAAAUAUGAGAAAAAUUCUUACUCACAAAAAAAGAAACUGCAGCAAAUAAAUGGAGUGGAGCCAUCGUAGUCAAAAAGUAAAAGAGAAACUAAAGCAAGAGACGUGAUGGAAAUUGAAUAGAAAGAAGAUAGACAGCAACGUGAUUUUGAGAUAGAGCGACGAAGCUGCCUUACCCGCUACACAACAAAAUCAUGGGAAUUAUUAAGAGGACCAUGCAGUUGGUGGGGUGUUCACUCUUUGUAGAUCAUUGUUAUGAGCUAAUAAUCCAACAGGAACAGAGAGAACUGUUUGUGCCACUUGCAGUUUUGUAGAUCAUUUAGCCCUCAAUAUAAAAUUUACUGGAUUCAGAUUUUAACAUAGAAAUUGAACAUCUAAAUUAAUUAAAUAGCACUACAUUUCUUAGAUAAAACUUACUCCCAAAAUUAAGUGAUAAGUUAUUCACUUAUCACUGAACGUGAUAUGCAUUCAAAUGCAUUAGAUCUAAUACUUAACAAUUUAAUAAUUUAAUGGAUUCAACUUUCAGAUUUAAAACUUUAGUUUUAUGAAAUGCACUUUCAGUGAUAAGUGAAUAGUUUAUCACUUAAUUUUGGGAGCAAGUUUUGCUUAGAAAAUUCAGUGCCACUUAAUUAAUUCAGAUAUUCAGUUUUUAGUUAUCAAACAGUAUGAAUAUGUUAAGAUCUGAAUUCAUUAAAUUUUAUAGGUGCUAAAAUGGGUUGUCAAACAGGACCUUAAUUUUGGAUUCUUUUGUGCUGUGCCAAAGAAUAAGAGAUGGACUCUUUAACUCUGUGGACAUUAAUCAAUCGAGUCUAAUCAAACCCAAUGAAGCAUAAGUAAUAUAAAUUAAUAUUUUAUAUAAUUUUAAAUGAGAAUACAAUUGACAUUUCACACUAAUAAAUAUAAAAAAAAAUUCAAAAGGAUAUAUUACAUUUAAAUCUCGAUUGAGUUCAACUGAACUUGAUGAGUUUUCAAGCUUCAUAUAGUAGACUCGAACUUGAACUCUUCAAGCAAUUUGAGAUACUCAAACUAAAUAUUGAACUCCUUUAACCUGAGUUUUGACAAAACAUGCUUGUGAGUAAUUAAUUUGUUGAGCUCGACUCGUUUUAUACCCAUACGACAAAAUACUCUCAAUUAAGGGAGUAAGUGACUAUGUUGCAAUUUUAUGGUGGGCUCUUCCCCCUUUUUGUGCUCUUAUGGUACAUAAAAGAGAAUCUCUGACCAAAUUUCGGCAUAAACAUACAUGUGCGUUCAAGUAGAAAUGAGGAAAGAUCACAAGAGAACGAGAAUCUACUACUAUAGAUAAAGAAAAACCCAACUCAAAAUGAAUUAUUCUAUCAAAGUUACAGGAGAGUAGGGGUGCAGCUGAGUUUUGAGCAUGUUGUGGGUUAAAGUUGGUUUUAGAUUUUUUUUUUCUCCUUUCUCGUCAGUUGAAGAAUGGACUGAGGAAAGUCAGAUUUCAAUUUCUGUAACUCGGCAGUCGGGGAUUGAUUUAAGAAGACAUUAGACAUUAACGUUGGUUGUGCUACUAUGGUUGGACUACGUCAUGGACGAAGUUAAGAAUAGAAAAGUAUAAACAAAUCUGUAAGCACAGUGUUUUCACCUACCAACGCCAAGAAGCAGCUUUUUUACCAGUAUUUGUAAACCUUGAAUUCCAUAAUAAUGUAGUUGCUUUAGCCUGAGCUUUAAAUACCCCUACCCUUAUUUUUGGGUAAAUUAAACAUAAAAUCCUAUGGUUUCACUCAUUGUCAUAUAACCCUAUAACAUUGUAAAAUAUCUAUUUCACUCCCUUAGGUUCAAUAUAAACUUUACAAAAAAUAAUCUCUGUAACGUCAUUAGUUCAAAUAUUAUUAAUUUCCUUACUUAAAUACUAAAGCGAAUAAAUGCCUAACCAUCUCAGAUAAAACCACAGGGGAAUUGUGUGGAUCAAUGCAAAAAACUGCAAUGAGGUAUGGUGGAUAUUUAUAUAAAUCAUAGAGGAUUAAGUGGAUUUUAUUAUUCCAUCACAUACGUUUUCUGGAAUGUGUUUGGUUCAAUCACCUAAUCAAUGAUGUAUUCCUUCCAUUUUCUACUUUGCAUAAAACCACAUAAAGGUUAUAUGACUAUUGUGAAACUUUAGAUGUGUUAUGUAGCAUUGAAGAAAAUUAUAGGGGGAUUAUAUGUAAUUUAUCCUUCUUUUUUUUUACAUGAAUUGUAGUUAUAUAUAUUAUUUUAAUGCUUUUAUCGACUAAAUGACAUUGAACCUUUUUUUGGGGGUCAAAUGAUGUUGUCAUCAAUAGAGAGAAAUUUGAGAAGGAAUAUGAGGGUUCAAAUCUCAUCUAUCUAUUAGAAACUAGCUUCCUGAAUUUCAGAAAAGGAAUUUAAUUAGAGAUCCUCUCUUCAUAUUCCUUUUUUUUUGGCUAGCGCUAUACGUUAAUCAAACAAAUUGCAAAGCCAAUCGUUCUUGAUUGCCCACAUGUUGCUAAAUCUAAUCAUCAGCAUUGGCUCUUAGUUUAAAAACCUAUAUGGAACCCCAUCAUGAUUUGGGUUAAUGUGUCACUGUUAGUUUUCUCGUUAAAACUAACGGUUAAUAAUAAAAGGUCAAAAUCAAACUGAUAAAUUGAUAAAUUCAAGCUUUCACUACUCUCUCUCUCUGGGAAGAGAAAAGGUGAUUUUGAAAACCUAUUUGUAUAGAAAAACUUUCCAAAAAAAUUUCUCGUUUACAUUAUAAACACAUUUUCCAAUCCACUUUUUUAUAUUCCUAACCACUUUUUUAUUUCACAUACAUCACAUCACAAAAAGCACUACAGUAAUUAUUUCAAACAAUUAUUUGGAAUAAUACUCUAUCCAAACAAAGCCUUAAUUUUCUCCAAAUAAAAAAGAGAUGGAAGGAAAAUAAAAAAUAAAAAUAAAUAAAUAAGAAACAAAAAGGAUGGAAGGGAAAUAUAAAACAAAUAAAUGAGAAACAAAACAUACCAAAUCUCUUUUGACUAGAAAUAUCAUUAUAGGCUUUUAGACCAAAUCUUUAAUAGCAUUUUCUGUUUGGAGGAAAAAAAAGAAGUAAUGGAAGGGUAAAUUUGUCAAUUUAUCAAUUUGAUUUUGAUCUUUACUAUUGACCAUUAGUUUUAAUGAAAAAAAAUAAUAGUGAAAUUUUAACCCAAAUCAUAAGGGAGAUUAUAUAUAUGUUUUUUAACCGUAGAGGGAUUAUGUGGUAAAGUAUCAAAUCACAGGAGGUAAAGUAUAAUUUACCCAACUUAAUAUUAGCUAGCCUUUACAGUGGUAAAGCAAAUGGGUCAGUGGUUGCUCUUGAUUGCCAACAUACAUAUACGUAGAUCAUCCGCAUUCUUAAGCUAAAUUGCCAGCGUAAACCAUAUCUUUUGAUUUUCCAAUAAAUACUGCAAAAAAAAAAAAAAGAGUAACGAGUCCUUCUAUACUACUGGAAGAUUAUUGAUUGUUCACCCAAAUUCGUCAAGUUUCGAAAAAAAAAAUCUUUAGAGUGAAUUGAAUCGAAUUCAAAUUUUGUGUUUUGCGAUAAUUCCUAAAAGAGAACGAAAUGCAGAUUUUGAGUGUAAAAAUAUUUUAAGAAAUAGUGAUACACAUUGUAAGUUUAUUAGCACAGUCAAGGCACAAAAAGAUAGAGUAACAACAUCAAGCAUUAUACACGAUAAAUAAGAAGGUAAGACACAGAAGAUGAUGAACUUCUCGAAGGGGAAAAAAAUUACUAAUAAAAAAUAAAAACAAAAAAGAGAAAGCAGUGUUGUCCUCAAACUAGAGAACGGGAAGCCACGGCAGCUGCUGUUGCUGCCAGGAAUGAUUAUGUUUUCUUCUUCUUCGCCCACAGGCUGCGGUGUCUCCAUUUCCUAUCAUCUGUAUAGUAACCAAUGAGAAUUUCAGGAAUGUGAGCGAUUUUUCUGUAAUCUUCACUUUCUUCCUUCUGAUUCUCUAACAGCUUCUCUCUCAAUUGAGAACUCAUCUCAUACAGAGUCAGCCGUUGAAGCUGGCUCAACUGCUGAAUACCCAAUGGUAACUCCUCUAGUAAUGGAAGUCGUUCCAGAAUAAGAUUUUGGAGACGAGGCAGUGCACCCUCCUCCACUCUCAUCCAUCUCAACCCUUCCAUUCUCUUUAAGUGCAACCACUUCAGAUUUAGGAACCCUCCAGUCUUGAAACACAACCCUUCUCCCUGGUAAGAUCCACAGAAAUUAAUACUAUCCAAAUUGGGCAAAUGUUGGAGGGAUUCAAGCGGAUCCUCCUCGCCCCUUAACCUGCUCCAAUCCAAAUCUAUUCUUACCAAGCCGUAAAGACGAGCUACCCAUUGUGGCAUCUUUUCUAAGCGGCCACACAAAAUCAGCAUACGAAGAGAUUGAAGAAACGAAGAAGAAGAAGAAGAAGAAGAAGCAGGAGGAGGAGGAGGACGAUGAUUUAGAUCGAUUAUCUCAUGAUCGUCACCUUUACCAAUUGAAUCAACACAUAAUUCCCGAAGACUGGUGAGAUUGGCAAGGGAGGAGCAGAGCUCCUUUCCGUCUUCUCUUCUUAACUUUGUAAUAUAUAGCUCUCUUAAUUGGGUCAGCUUUCCUAUCUCCUUGACUAUUGUGGAUCCACUACUUGCAUCUAUGGAUUUUAAUAUUUCUAGGGAAAGAAGCCCUCCCAUAUUUGAGGGAGCUUUAAACCCAUGAUAUCCAUAAUCAUCAUCGGAAGAAUCAACUUGUUGAUAUACUUUGAGAAACCGAAGUUUUUGCAGCUUUAGGAUUUCCAUGGGUAAUUCCCUAACUCCGGUUUUUCCCAAAUUCAGAUACUCCAAGUGUUGAAGCUUCCCAAUGCCUUUUGGGACUCUCUCCACUCCUGUACCAUAUAGGUCCAGAUGCUUGAGAUGAAACGAGUUGAAAAUCUCAUUUGGUAUUUCCUUCCGUGUCUUUUGACCUCUCAAAUCCAAAACCUUUAACAACUUACUACUCCUUAAAACAUCAGAUAACAACAUACUGGACAGGAGUGGGUUUUUCGAUCCAAUUGUAACGAACGACCGAAGGUGGUCAAAGAAAUAAUUUGGUCUUUGCUGGGUGUUGUUACUACUACUACUAUGGACUACUAGACGGCGUACCUGCUCGGACGGCCACAUCGUUGGUUGUCCAGUAGUAAUUGUGAUCAUGUUUUGUUCUCUUGACUUGGAAACGAUAAUUUCUCGCAAUAGAUCAUGGACUCGACAAUUUCCAGGCAUUCCUUCAUAAAACACACGAGUCACUUGAAUUAGGCUUCUAUUGACGAGUUCACUGAGAUAACCCAAAGCUACAUCUUCAAUGUUGAUUCCUUCUCUCCAUUCUACAAACCUCUCAGCAAUCCACAAAUUAACGAGUCUCAGGCACCCUAUUUUGUAAUCCUCUGGAUAAAUACUUGUGUACAACAGACAUGUCUUUAGAUGCCAAGGCAGGUCGCUAUAACUGAGAGAAAGUAUCUUUUUAACUCUGUCCAACUUACCCGUGCCUUCUAAUUCACCCCCAAGACUGCGUCGAACCAUCUCCCAUUCAUCUAUUCUGUUUACAUCUUUCGAAGCCAAAAGCCCGCUGAUUGCAAGAAUUGCAAGGGGUAAGCCCUCACAUUUAUCCAAUAUAACUUUGGCAACAUCCAUCAAAUGGCUAGGGCAAGUACCUCCCUUAAAGAUCUUGUUGCAAAACAGGGUCCACGAAUCUUCAAAGGACAGUGGCUCCAAUCUGUAGAUAUAACCCCGAGAUUCAAUGCAAGAAUCAGAGGCUACAUCAGAUUUCCGAGUUGUUAGCAUGACACGGUUGCCGUGGCCACUCUCGGGCAGAGCAAAUUUGAUGGUAUUCCAAAAUUCCACGUCCCAUACAUCAUCAAAAACAAUUGCAUACCUUCCAGCUUGUUGAAGAAAAUCUUUGAUAAUUUCUUUCAGCUCGGUGGUAGUCAUGGACUCGAUCGAUUGCGGGACUGGUUUCUUCCCUGCCUCGUGUAACUGCCGAAUCAAGUCUUUCAGGAGGUACUGAAAGUCACAUGUUUGAGAGACAGUUACCCAAGCACGAACUGGGAAAUGCCUUCUGACUUCAAGAUCCUCAUGGACUCUUUUCACUAGGGUAGUUUUGCCAAGUCCUCCCAUACCAACCACUGAAACAACUUUCAGUUGGUGAUCAUCCCCUUGGAGGAGCUGAGAAAUUAGAUGUUUCUUGGGCUGGUCAAUGCCAACUAAUUUAUCUUCUUCCACAAGCAGGGCAUCAUCUCUGCUAUAGCGCCAUGUUGUGUUGUUCACAGCAGAAAGUGAGUUGGACGCUUGGGCAGAGAUACCAUAUUCGGAUUGGUACCUUUGAUGACCUGCAGAAAUACUUUCGAUUCUGGACUUGAUGCUUUGUAUUUCGCUGGCAACUCGAUGACGAGCUCUCAAAUUCUUGAUGGAGCUGAAAAUUCUCCGAACAAAGCCGUAGAAUCCUGUUGGGAGAUGCCGAGCAAAGCGAGCUACAAAAUCAUCAAGAAUGUCUUCAGUGUCAUAAGCAGCCUCUCGCACUUGCUUGAUCCAUUCUUGGAGCCUGGGUUGAGCAUCUUCUUCUUUUGCUUCUGCCUCUCUCAGGAAAGCUGUCAUGUGCCCCAACUCGUCCCUGAUGAAUUGGACCUCUUGCCGAAGCCCACCCAACAGUCGUCCCUCCUCGCGCAGAAAAGUUGAGAGUUGAUGCAGCACAAAAGAGAGAACUGUUUCUGCCAUUUUCAGUCUUUCUCUUUAACUUAAGAAUGUCGGGGAAGGCGGCUUCUGGUUUAUAGGUCAGUCCACUUGUUGUAUCUUGAAAGGAAGAAGGAAGAGUAGGCUACAGAUUCAUAAGCUGAUGAACUUCGAUGCUAUAUGGUGCAGUAUUUAUCAAAAAGAAAAAGAAAGAAUUAACCAAUUAGAAGAAACUAAAGCAAGAAACAUGAUUGUGAAAAACGAAGCUGCCUUACCUGCCGCAAUAUAAAAUCAUGGAAGCUAUUAAGAAGACUGUGUUUGCUGGGAUAAAGAUAAAGGAGCAUCUAUUCCUCUUUCAACUGUGGGUUCUUUACAAGUAGAAGGAAUAAAAAGUUAAAACGCUGUUGGACUGGACAUUAUUGAUUUCUUUGACGAGGAAAUAAAACUACUGCAAAAUGUUUUGCCCCUUCUGCUAACAUGUAUAACCUUCCUUCCUCUAUGGAACUAAUUUCUGCUGGCAUUUUGCUCUACACUAGUGCAAUUAUUUAUUCGUGCCAAACAUAUUCCUAAAGUGUGGUAUCUCAAAACAAUCAAUUAACAAAGGGAAUCCAUUGAGUAUCACUUGAAUUUUUUAGUCUCAUCCCAUUAUUUGUGCGUCAACUAUUAUUUGAGAAUCUGAUAUCUCUUUUGAUUGGGAAUUGAAAAAUAAAAUGUCAUGUAAGUCUAAAAACUAACCUAAUAUGUCUAAUAAUUUUUUAUACGACCUAAAACUGUAUUAGUUUGAAAAAUAACUUUAUUUUUCAAUUAUUGUAAAUGAUUUCGGAGGACAAAUUUUUUGUAAACUUUAAUCCUAAUUACUUAAUGACAUUUGUAUCUCUAUAUCCACAUUAAAACGUACACGUAAACUAUGUAAAUACAUUUUUUUUUAUGUUCAAAUAAAUUAUCUAGACAUAGACUAAUUCAAAUAUUGGAGUAGAGGUGCUCUUUUUUUCUUUUACUCUAGUAAGCAUAUUAUUUUCGGCACCACAGUAACCAAGUUAGUGUUAGCCCCUUGUGAUCACCAAUUUAAUCUAUUAUCUCACUUCUUUCUUUCUUUUGUUUUUUCUAUCCCUCCUUUUGCAGUUGUGGAAUUACUGCAUCUAGGACUAGAUAGGACGAAAGGCCGCUCAUUUUACCAAUUAGAAACGUGGCUAUGUUCAUAAAAAAGAAAAAAAAAAGCCUUGAACUUCAAGAAAAGUAAACAAAUCUCAGCACUUACUUGAGAGAAAAUGAAACCUCUGGCAAUAGCUGAUCUGAACCUCCUGUCAAAUCCAAGUUUGAUGAAAAAGAGAACACGGGCUAGGAAGAUGAUAAUUUGAAUCAAAAUUAAAACAAUGCUGUAUGUGCAAGGCCUUUAGCUAGGAAGAUGGAGUAUUAUAGAGGAGCAGUACCGUUAUUGAUAAGAAAGUGGAGUGAAAUUGGCCGUGACUUUCCUGGUUGGAUACUAGUAGAACAAUUACUCUACGUGGUGGACCUAAUAAGAAUGUGGAUCUCAUCCAUUGGCUGUCAGAGUGACACAUGGCAAUAAAAUCGAGACUUAAAUGAUAUGGGGUUAGAGUCCCUUGUUAGGUGAUAUGAGAAAUGAGUAGUUUAGUCAUUUCACGAAAUAUUAAUUGUAUUCAAGUUAAGAUGGAUAGUGCUUAAUUUUCCAUUUAUGAAUUAUGUCAAAGUUACACAAUUCUUUUGAAUUUCCAAAUUUUCCACUUCCACGUCGAGAGUUUUCCAAUCAUUUCUAUUUAGAAUUCUAAUUUUGCAACUUCACUACAUAGGUCCAGAUUUACUUUGAAAAAUUUUAUGUCGAUUCAGAUCAAUUGCUUGCAUGCCUAAUAGUUGGUUAACACAUCUAAAAUUCAUCUAACAUAUUUGUGCUCUUAUGGUACAUAAUAGCAAAAGCCUUAAUUUUAUUUGUCUGUGAACAUUAGGCUGUUGGCCGGCUGGUAUAUCAAUUUGAUUAAUCGAAUUAUAGUCUUGCUGGCUUGUCCUUCCAACCCACGAUGUGCUCAUAAAAUGUUGGACGUGAAGAAAGAAGUGGAAUUGAAAAUAUUGGAGAUGGCUAAAAUUGAAUGUUCAGCACAAGACAAUUGAGGUAAACCCUUAACCACGUAGCCAAAUCCGAUCACCACCAUCUUAUCAUGUCUAAUUUUUCUUUUUGUUUAUUGCAAUGAGUAAAAAAAAAAAAAAGAUACACUCGAAUACGUCAAAUCAUAAUUUCGUGUUUCUAUUUUUCUUCUUUGCUUCUUUGUAAAAUGAAUGACUUUGGAUCACCAGUGUAAUCUUUCAUCUCAGUUCUUUUUCUCCAGCUGUGAAAUUAUUACAACUAAGACUAGGUUAGGAGUAAGGGACAUGAAGUAACCGGAGGAUAAGGUGCAUCAUAUGAGCCACUAGGGAUGUAAUCGAGUCAAGUCAAACUCGAAUAUUGCUAUACUCGAGCUCGACUCGACUCAUAUAUAUCUAGGCUCGAGCUCGACCGAGUACACAAAAUCGAUAUUCGAAACUUGACUCGAGGAACUCGCUUUAAACUCGAGACUCGACUCGAUAAGACUCGACCUUUAGUCAAGCCUUAUCAAGUCGAGCCUAAUCAAGUUUUUUUACUCGACUCGAACAAUUAUGUUAUUACUUUUUUGCCAUUAUGAACUUUUUUUAUAGAGAAGAGUUUAUUGUAAAUUCUGUAAAACUUAUACCCAUAAUGGUCAUUUUAUAAUUAUAAUACAUAUAUAUUAUUUAAAUUAUAAAUAUAUUAUUUAAAUACCCUCGACUCGACUAGUAGCUCGACAAGUCUCGAGUCUCAAAAUAUUGGCUCGAAACUCGACUCGAAUGACAAUCGAGUAGCUCGAUAUUCGGCUCGAACUCGGUCAACUCGAGUUCAAACCAAACCGUUAACCGAGCUACUCGCGAGCUACUCGAUUGUGACUCGACUCGCGUACAUUCCUAUGAGCCACUCGAACACUGUAUGCUGAAAAAGCAGCUUUGAAACAAAAGAAGAAGCAGAGGCACAAAAUUUUCCUAUGGUUCCUAGAAACAGUAUAAGAAAGAAGAUAGAAAGACAUUAUUGACAUUAUAAAUUCUUGUCAAUUAAUGUUCGUCAUUUUUAUAUGGUAACUUACUGCAGAAAAAUUGUCAAAACCGUGUGAGAAAGUUAAGGACGAAAUACGAAGAAAAUUCUUACUCAUCAAGAAACUGCAGCGAAAAAAAAAUUGUAGAGAUGAUGGAAAUAAGAAGAAACUAACGCAAGAGAGAUGAUGGAAAUUGAAUGGAAAGAAGAUAGUUAGCAACGUGGUUUUGAAAGGCGAAGCUACACUACAAAAUCAUGGAAAUUGUUAGGGAGACAAAUGCAGUUGGUGGGGCGUUCACUCUUCAGCACCUUUCGGCUGUGUUUCUUCGAUCAAAUAAAGGAGUGGCUACCAGUGUACCACAGCAUCGUUCAAAAGCAAUGAUGUCUUAAGCUUAAAACGUGGUGGCUUGGACAUUGAUUUCAUUGACGUAGAAAUAAAGGGAAAAUACAGAUUUAGCCUCUAAUAUUUUGCCUUUCGGCAGUUUUAGUCAUUAAAAUUUUGAAAAAUGCAAAUUUGAUUCUCAAUGUUUAGCACAUGUGCAAUUUUAUCCCUAAAAUAUUGGUAGGAACAAAUUUGGUCCCCUAUGUUAUAGUCUUGAAGCAGAUUUACGAUGAUUGACGAAUUUUUUCAAAUAUUGGUAGAAUCUGCUACGUGUGAUUACAUGCUUGUUAAUUUUAAAUAUCUUAAAAAAGAAGUAAAAUAGUGAGUACUCUUCAAUAAUAAGACCAGUUUACAUGAUGCCAUGCCAGUAACUAAUUAAUCAAGAGAAAAAAAAGAAAUAAAAUUUGUUAAUCUAUAUGAAAAAGUAAAUGUUACGAUUUUGUGCUUGGCAUAGUCAGGAUAGAGUGUAAAAAUGAGUUCUAUAUCGAUGAAUUGGGUGCUUCAACUAAUUUUAGUUAAAAAUUUUCAAUUUUUACUAGUUAAUUAGUUAGCAUAUGAAUUAUCAGUUCUUAAUUUUGGUGUUUAAAGUUAGCUACUAUUUUGCUUCUUUGUUUUGAAAUGUAAUUUAAUGGACACAUAAUUAGACGUGACUAAAUUAUGUUAGUAAUCGAAAAAAAUUCUUCAAAUGUCCUAAAUCUAUUUUAAAAUGGAUAUAUUAGGGACCAGAUUUGCCCUUGCAAAAAUUUUAGGGACCAAAACUACACAAUUAUGUUAUUAAUUAUAUUAUUAAAUAUAAAGAAUUGGAUUAUAACUAAGUUAUUAUAUUGUGUAUAUAUAUGUAUUAUAUAUAUACAUCAAUAAAUUAAAAUAUAUAUAUAUAAUUUUUUUUUUCAUAUGCGGGGGAUGGGGCAUGUAUAUGUAGCCCGGCCCCCAGCUCCGUUUUAAGGUAGGGGAAAAUUUUUUCCCCCCGCCCUAUUUCUACUCUCGCGGGCACCUGUCCUUGUUGCCACCCUUAGCUUUAAGUACCCUUAUUUUAGGGUAAAUUAAACGUAAUCUUCUAUGGUUUCACUCAUUUUUAAGGUAGGGGAAAAUUUUCUCCCCCCGUCCUAUUUCUACUCUCGCGAGCACCUGCCCUUGUUGCCAUCCUUAGCUUUAAGUACCCUUAUUUUAGGGUAAAUUAAACGUAAUCUUCUAUGGUUUCACUCAUUGUCAUAUAACCGCUAAAACAUUACAAAAUAUCUAUUUCACUCCCUUAGGUUCAGUCUAAACUUACGAAAAAUAACUUCUGUAACAUCAUUAUUUCAAAUACUAAUAAUGUCCUUACUUAAAUGAUAAAACGAAUAAAUGUUUAACCACCUUGGAUAGAACUGUAGGGAAAUUAUGCGGAUAAAUGUAAAAAAAUACAAUGAGGUAAAAUGCAUAUUUAUUUAAAUCACAGAGGGUUAAGUGGAUUUUAUGAUUCCAUCACACAAGUUUUUGGGAGCGCAUUUAGUUUAAUCACCUAAUCAAUGGUGCAUUCCUUCCAUUUUCUACUUUACAUAAAAUCACAUAAAGGUUGUAUAACUAUUAUGAAACUUUAGAGGUGUUAUGUGGCAUUGAAGAAAAUUAUAGGGGGAUUAUAUGUAAUUUAUUCUUUUUUACAUGAAUUGUAGGUAUACAGAUUAUUUUAAUGCUUUUUCGACAAAAUGAUAUAGAACUUUUUUUUGGGGGGGGUGGGGUGGGGGAGGGGUCAAAUGAUGUUGUAAUCAAUAGAGAGAAAUUUGAGAGUAUUAGAAACUAGCUUCCUGAAUUUCAAAAAAGAAAGUUAAUUAGAGAUCCUCUCUUCAUAUAUAUUUUUUUAAACUCAAUAGAACUUAAAAUUUGCUAGCGCCACACGUUAAUCAAACAAAUUUCAAAACCAAUCGUUGCUAAACCUUAUCCUCAAUAUUUUAAGAUUUUGUCACGUGUAGAAGUGAAAAUCUUUAGAGAGAAUUGAAUCCAAAUUUUGUGUUUUCUGAUAAUUCCUAGAGAGAACGCAAUGCAGAUUUUCAAUGUAAAAAUAUUUAAGAAAGAGUUAUACACAUUGCAGGUUUAUUAGCACAAAGUAAUUAUACUGGUCAAUGAUGAAUGAUCACGUACGCAAUGUGAAUUGGAACGCUGGCAAAUUUGGAACGGAAAGAACAGAUUGGGAGAUACCUAUCACGUAAAAGGAGUCACACAAUAAACUUGGUGUAGGUCCAACGUUCGCUAUUUUAUCAGACAAGCCAUAUGAAUGUAGGUUUGUACAAGGAGAAGUGAGGAUAAAUUGGGUUUAUGUAUUAUCUCUGACCAAAAUUUAAAAUUGAUUGUCUGCUAAAUCAAUUAUAGAAAAGAUUAAGACAAAAAGAUAAAAGAGUAAUAGUAUGCAGUACAUUAACAACAUCAAGCGUUAUACACAAUACAUACAAUAAAUAAGAAGGUAAGACACAGAAGAUGAUGAACUUCUCACACGGAUGUCGAAGGGGAAAAAAAUUACUAAUAAAAAAUAAAAACAAAAGAAGAGGAAGCAGUGCUGUCCACAAGGGAAGCCACAGUGGCUGCUAGGAAAGAUUAUAUGUUUUCUUCUUCUUCUCUUCCCAUAGCCGGUGCUCUCUCCAUUCCCCAUCAUCUGUAUAGUAACCAAUGAGAAUUUCAGGAAUAUGUGCGAUUCUUGUGUAAUCUUCACUUUCUUCCUUCUGAUUCUCUAACAGCUUCUCUCUCAAUUGAGAACUCAUCUCAUACAGAGACAGCCGUUGAAGAUGGCUCAAGUGCUGAAUACCCAAUGGCAGCUCCUCUAGUAAUGGAAGUAGCCGCAGAAAUAGUAUUUGUAGACGAGGCAAUGCACCCUCCUCCACUCUCAUCCCUCUCAGCCCUUCCAUUCUCUUUAAGUGCAUCCACUUCAACUUUAGAAACCCUCCAGCCUUGAAGCACAACCCUUCUCCCUGGUAAGAUCCACAGAAAUUAAUUUUACUCAAAUUGGGCAAAUGUUGGAGCGAUUCAAGCGGAUCCUCCUCGCCCCUUAACCUGCUCCAAUUCAAAUCUAUUCGUAGCAAGCCGUGAAGAUGAGCUACCCAUUGUGGCAUCUUUUCUAAGCGGCCACGCAAAAUCAGCAUACUAAGAGAUUGAAGAAAAGAAGAAGGAUGAUGAUGAUUUAAAUCGAUUAUCUCAUAAUCAUCACCUUUUCCAAUUGAAGCAACGCUUAAUUGCCGAAGACUGGUUAGGUUGGCAAGGGAGGAGCAGAGCUCCUUUCCAUCUUCUCUUCUUAACUUUGUAAUACGUAGUUCUCUUAAUUGGGUCAGCUUUCCUAUCUCCUUAACUAUUGUGGAUCCACUACUUGCAUCCAUGCAGCUUAAUACUUCUAGGGCAAGAAGCCCUCCCAUAUUCGAGGGAGCUUUAAAUCCAUGAUAUCCAUAAUCAUCAUCGGAAGGAACAACUGGUUGAAAUACUUCGAGAAACCGAAGUUUUUGCAGCUUUAGGAUUUCCAUGGGUAAUUCCCUAACUCUUGUGUCAGCCAAAUUCAGAUACUCCAAAUGUUGAAGCUUUCCAAUGGCUUUUGGGACUCUCUCCACUCUCGUACCCCAUAGGUCCAGAUGCUUGAGAUGAAACAUCUUGAAAAUCUCAUUUGGUAUUUCCUCCUGUGUCUCUUGACCUCUCAAAUCCAAAACCUUUAACAACUUGCUACUCCCUAAAACUUCAGAUAACAACAUUUUGGAUAGUAGCGGGCUUAUGGAUUCAAAUGUAACGAACGACCGAAGGUGGUCAAAGCAAUAAUUUCGUCUUUGUUGGUGGUGCGGGGUGUUGUUACUGCUACCACUAUGGACUACUAGACGGCGUACCUUAUCAGUCGGCCACAUCAUCGGCUGUCCAGUAGUAACUGUCACCAUGUUUUGUUCCCUUGACUUGAGAAGAAUAACUUCUCUUAAUAGGUCAUGGAUUCGACAAUAUUGAGGUAUUCCUUCAAAAAACACCUUAGUCACUUGAAUUAGGCUUCUAUUGACGAGUUCAAUGAGAUAACUCCAAGCUACAAUUGCAAAACUCAUUCCUUCCCUCCGUUCCACAUACCUUUCAGCAAUCCACAAAUGAAUUAGUCUAAUGCAUGCUAUUUCAUAAUCCUCUGGGAAGAUGCUUGUGUACAACAGACAUGUCUUUAAAUGCCCAGGCAAAUCAUUAUAACUGAGAGAGAGUAUCUUUUUAACUCUGUCCAGCUUACCCGUGCCUUCUAAUUCACCCCCAAGGCUGCGUCGAACCAUCUCCCAUUCGUCUAUUCUGUUUACAUCUUUUGAAGCCAAAAGCCCGCUGAUUGCAAGGGGCAAGCCCUCACAUUUGUCCAAUAUACCUUUGGAAACAUCCAUCAAAUGGCCAGGGCAAUUACCACCAUUAAAGAUCUUGUUGCAAAACAGGGUCCUCGAAUCCUUUACAGAGAGUGGCUCCAUUCUGUAGACAAGACCCCGAGAUUCAAUGCAAGAGGCAGAGGCUACAUCAGCUCUUCGAGUUGUUAGCAUGACACGGUUGCCGUGGCUACUCUCGGGCAGUGCAAAUUUGAUGGUAUUCCAAAAUUCCACGUCCCAUACAUCAUCAAAAACAAUCGCAUACCUUCCAGCUUGUUGAAGAAAAUCUUUGACAAUUUUUUUCAGCUCAGUGGUAGUCAUAGACUCUAUCGAUUGUGGGACUGGUUUAUUCCCUUCCUUGUGUAACUGCUGAAUCAAGUCUUUCAGGAGGUACUGAAAGUCACAUGUUUCAGAGACAGUUACCCAAGCACGAACUGGGAAAUGCCUUCUGACUUCAGGAUCCUCGUGGACUCUUUUCACUAGGGUAGUUUUGCCAAGUCCUCCCAUACCAACCACUGAAACAACCUUUAGUUGGUAAUCAUCCCCUCGGAGGAGCUCAGGAAUAAGACGUUUCUUGGGCUGGUCAAUGCCAACUAAUUUAGCUUCUUCCACAAGCAGUGCGUCAUCUCUGCUAUAGCGCCAUGUUGUGUUGUUCACAGCAGAAAGUGAGUUGGACGCUUGGGCAGAGAUACCAUAUUCGGAUUGGUAUCUUUGAUGACCUUCAGAAAUACUUUUGAUUCUGGACUUGAUGCUUUGUAUUUCGCUAGCAACUCGAUGACGAGCUCUCAAAUUCUUGAUGGAGCUGAAAAUUCUCCGAACAGAGCCGUAGAAUCCUGUUGCGCGAUGCCGAGCAAAGCGAGCUACAAAUUCAUCAAGAAUGUCCUCAGUGUCAUAAGCAGCAUCUCGCACUUGCUUGAUCCAUUGUUGGAGCGUGGGUUGAGCAUCUUCUUCUCUUGCUUCUGCCUCUCGCAGGAAAGCUCUCAUUUGCUCCAACUCAUCCAUGAUGAAUUGGACCUCUUGCCGAAGCCCUCCCAAUAGUCGUCCCUCCUCGUGCAGAAAAGUUGAGAGUUGAUCCAGCACAAAAGAGAGAACAGUUUCUGCCAUUUUUAGUCUUUCUUUUUAACCUAAGAAUGUCGGGGGAGGCGGCUUCUGGUUUAUAGGACAGUCCAGUUGUAGUAUCUUGAAAGGAAGAAGGAAGAGGAGGUUAUAGAUUCAUAAGCUGAUGAACUUCGAUGCUAUAUGGUGCAGUAUUUAUCAAAAAGAAAAAGAAAGAACUAACUGUGGGUCCUUUGGUCGGAUAAUAACAAAGGAGCAUCGUUCAACUACUGCAAAAUGUUCUAUUAUAUGUGCCACAAUAACUCAGGCCCUUCUUUACAAGCGGAAGGAAUAAAGUUAAAACGCCGUCGGAUUGGACUGGACAUUAUUGAUUUCUUUGACGAAGAAAUAAAACUACUGCAAAAUGUUUUGCUCCUCCUGCUAAUAUGUAUAACCUUCCUUCCUUCCAUUGACUAUCACUUGAAUUUUUUAGUCUCAUUACUUGUGUGUCAACUAUUAUUUGAGAAUCUAAUAUCUCUUUUGAUUGGGAAUUUUGAAAAAUAAAAUAUCAUGUAAGUCUAAAAACAAACCUAAUAUGUCUAAUAAUUUUUUAUACGACCUAAAAUUGUAUUAGUUUGAAAACUAACGAAUUAUUUUUCAAUUAUUGUAACUGAUUUCAGAGGACUAAUUUUUUGUAAACUUUCAUCCUAAGUACGUAAUGACAUUUGUGUCUCUAUAUCCACUUUAAAACGUACACGUAAACUAUGUAAAUACAUUUUUUUUAUGUUCAAAUAAAUUAUCUAGACAUAGACUAAUUCAAAUAUUGGAGUAGAGGUGUUUAUUUUGUUCAAUUAUUAAUCAAUAAUAUUUGUCCAAGCAUGUUAACAGAGACAAAAAUGAUGCUACACGAGGAUGGAGGUGCUCUUUUUCUCUUUUACUCUAGUAAGUAUAUUAUUUUCGUUUUCUUCUUUUUAUUUUUAAAAAAUCAUUCUUAAUUAAGAAAAUUAGCGUUAUCGUACUCAUAACAUCAUAAGCCAAAAGAUCAUGUAAAGUAAAUUAAAGUAGAAACCUUAGGAACAAACCACUCAAACUAAUUUUUACAAUAAUUAAUAAAGUAGAAAUACUAAGUUCAGUGUUAUUUUUUGUUAAUAGCAGCUCAUGAGUGUGAAAAUUGUGGAAGAUAGAAGCAAUCAAAUCAGCAUACUAUUUAAACUUAGGAUCCAUGAGCUACUAAUAACUUGGCCAAAGUAUUUUAUCCCGCUGAUUUAAUUAACUUCAAAAGUUUUAUUGAGCUCCAAUUAACUAUAGUAAUAACGUGACUUAGUUCAAAUUACAAAACUCGAUCACAAGUAAUCGUACGGAGUUGAAUAAACCAUAUAAAUAAGGCGCCACAGUAACCAAGUUAGUGUUAGCCCCUUGUGAUCACCAUUUUAAUCUAUUAUCUCACUUCUUUCUUGCUUUUGUUUUUCCAUCCCUCCUUUUCCAGUUGUGAAAUUACUGCAACUACAACUGGAUAGGACGAAAGGCGGCUCAUUUUACCAAUUAGAAACUUGGCUAUGUUCAUAAAAAAGAAGAAAAAAAAAGCCUUGAACUUCAAGAAAAGUAAACAAAUCUCAGCACUAACUUGAGAGAAAAUGAAACCUCUGGCAAUAGCUGAUCCAAACCUACCCUGUCAAAUCCAAGUUUGCCGAAAGAGAGAACACGGGCGAGGAAGAUGAUAAUUUGAAUCAAAAUUAAAACAAUGCAGUAUAUGUGCAAGGCCUUUAGCUAGGAAGAUGGAGUAUCAUAGAGGAGAAGGUAGAGGAGCAGUACCGUUAUUGAUAAACAAUCCCUCAACGUGGUGGACCUAAUAAGAAUGUGGAUCUCAUCCAUUGACUGUCAGAGUGGCACAUGGCAAUAAUAUCGACUGUGACUUUCUCACUUUCCUGGUUGGAUGGUAGAACAAUUAGAUCAGAGUACCUUAAGAUUGUGGACCUAAGAUUGUCGCACAUGGCAAUAAAAUUGAGACUUAAAUGAUAUGGGAUCAGAGUACCUUGUUAGGUGAUCGGAGAAUGCGUAGUUUAGUCAUUUCACGAAAUAUUAGUUGUAUUCAAGUUAAGAUGGAUAGUGCUUAAUUUUCCAUUUAUUACAAGUAAGACUAGGUUAGGAAUAAGGGACAUGAAGUAACCGGAGGAUAAGGUCCAUCAUAUGAGCCACUCGAAUACUAUAUGCUGAAAAAGCAGCUUUGAAACAAAAGAAGAAGCAAAGGCACAAAAUUUUCCUAUGGUUCCUAGAAAUAGCAAAAGAAAGAAGAUAGAAACACAUUAUUGACAUUAUAAAUUUCCAUCAAUUAAUGUUCGUCAUUUUUAUACGGUAACUUACUACAGAGAAAUUGUGAAAGCCGUGUGAGAAAGUUGAGGAUGAAAUACGAGGAAAAUACUUACUCAACAAGAAACUGCAGCAAAAAUAUAUAUAUAUUGGAGUAGAGCCAUAAUAGUCAAUAAAAAAUAAGAAGAAACUAAUGCAAGAGAGAUGAUGGAAAUUGAAUAGAAAGAAGAUAGUUAGCUACGUGAUUUUGAAAGGCGAAGCUACAUUACAAAAUCAUGGAAAUUAUUAGAGAGACAAUGCAGUUGGUGGAAAUUGAAUGGAAGGAAGAUCACCAGAGAGGGACUUAAGUCCCUCCUUGGGCUGUUGGUGAGGGUUCAAACCUCAUCAGCAGCGAAAAAAAUCUAAGGGUUGUGCCAUAACACUCCCUUGGUCUAGUUGGGUCUGUAUACCCACUAUCCCCUAUCACAGCCUCUUUAGGCUCCCCCUCCCCCUAGAUUAGGAUAGAAUAAGUUAUACAAAAUAUAUACAAAAAAGAAUGGAGGAUAGAAUAAGUUAUACAAAAUAUAUACAAAAAAGAAUGGAACAAAAAUAAUUAGCAACGUGAUUUUGAAAGGCGAAGCUACACUACCAGUGUACCACACCAUCGUUCAAAGGCAACGAUGUCUAAACUUAAAACGUGGUGGCCUGGACAUCGAUUUCAUUGACGUAGAAAUAAAAGGAAAAUACAGAUUUAGUCUCUAAUAUUUUGACUUUAUGCAGUUUUAGUCAUUAAAGUUUUGAAAAAUGCAAAUUUGAUUCUCAAUGUUUAGCACAUGUGCAAUUUUAGUCCCUAAAAUAUUGGUAGGAACAAAUUUGGUCCCCUACAUUAUCGUUUUGAAGCAAAUUUAGGAUGAUUGACGAAUUUUUUCAAAUAUUGGUAGAAUCUGUUACGUGUAGUUACAUGCUUGUCAAUUUUAAAUAUCUUAAAAAAGAAGUAAAAUAGCGAGUACUCUUCAAUACUAAGACCAGUUUACAUGAUGCCACGUCGGUAACUAAUUAAUCAAGAAAAAGAAAAUUUGUUAAUCUAUAUGAAAAAGUAAAUGUUACGAUUUUGUGCUUGGCAUAGUCAGGAUAGAGUGUAAAAAUGAGUUCUAUAUCGAUGAAUUGGGUGCUUCAACUAAUUUUAGUUUAAAAAUUUUCAAUUUUUACUAGUUAAUUAGUUAGCAUAUGAAUUAUCAGUUCUUAAUUUUGUUGUUUAAAGUUAGCUACUACUUUGCAUCUUUGUUUUGAAAUGUAAAUUAAUGGACACAUAAUUAGACGUGACUAAAUUAUGUCAGUAAUUGAAAAAAAAAUUUCAAAUGUCCUAAAUCUAUUUUCAAAAUGGAUAUAUUAGGGACCAGAUUUGCUCUUGCAAAAAAUUUAGGGACCAAAACUGCACAGGGACAAAAAAGAUUGAGGACCAAAUUUCCUUUCACCAAAACUCUAAGGACUAAAACUCCACAGGAGAUAAAAUUUAGGGACUAAAUUUUUUCCAGGAAUACGUGAUGCAGAGGAAAGUUAUUUCUUCUGAGUGGAACAGAAAAAGCAACUCAAGACCUAAGCUCAAUUCAGGUUUCUGAUGAAUUCUUUUGUGAAAUCUAGCCGAGAGUAGCUGAAACUAGUUAAGAAUACAAAAUUAUACUUAGUACGCAAUAAGCAGAAAGGCAUCCAAGGGUCAGUAUAAAUUAUCUUCAAAUUUCAGAACACCAGUGCUUGUGCACCUAUUAAUGAAUUAUGGACUCGAUAAUAGUAUAUUUACUUUAAUGUAAGCUUUAAGUACUCCCCUACCUUGUUUUCUUUUACCUGAAUAGAUAGUUUCAAUGCUUAUUCUUCGACUAAAUGAUGUUGUACUUUAUUUGUUCAUUUUUUUCUUUUUGUUUUUUUUUUGUCAAAUGAUGUUGUACUAAAAAAGAGAGGAAUUUGCGAAAGAAUAUAAGGGUUCAAAUCUUAUCUAUUAGAAAUUAGUUUCGUUAAUUUCAAAGAAAGAAGUUAAUUAAAGAUCCCCUCUUUGUAUUUUUAUUUUUAACUCAGUAGAACUUAGCAUCUGCUAACCCUUACAUUAAUCAAACAAAUUGCCAACCAAUCGUUCUUGAUUGCCCACAUGUUGCUAAAUCUCAUUGUCAGCAUUCUUUCUUGGUUGCCUCAUAAUUCUUUAAUGCUGAUUUUUUGUAUUAAGUACAUUAGAAAAGAAUAUGAGUUCCACUUUACUACUAAAAUUGAUUAUUAGCAGAGAAGACAAAAGAGACUGGCGAUGCCGAGCCUUAGCACCUAGCUGUCACGGGCUCGAUGCCCUUCCAUAUGCAUCAGCGCAGAAAGCAAAAGUGAUAAGUUCAGUAAUAGGUGCAAUUGUUCAGUCAUCUUCUUUUUUGGUAAAGAAUGGAAGGGUGAAUACAAAGGUGAGAGCAAAACACCCCCCAUUAAUACAUGACUUUAGUCAUUCAAUAAGAAGUAGAUCUAGAAUUACACUACUGGUUCCUAGAAACAGCUUAAGAAAGAGACAGAGACAAUAUAUAUUGACAUUAUAAAGUUCUGUCAAUUAAUGAUAGGGUGUCGGCCUGUGUAAUAAUAAAACCUACUCAAAGUAAAAGUAAUUUCUGUAGAUAGCGGUGAGCAGGGUCGAAUCCACAGGGAUUGGGAAUAAUUGUUUCUUUUCAAAUUCACAGUGACAAGGGGGGUGUUUUUGCGCAGAGAGUGACAAUCAAAUAAAUGCAAAUAAAAUCCAAGGAACUACUAAAAAUUAAAUAACAAUUUACUAAAAUCAAAUAAAUGAUAACUAAGGAUCUAGCUAAGGAAUAACUUCAGCAAUGGUUCACCUAAUUGAUCAUCGAUGCAAAGCCAAUUCCAAUUAUUUACUAAUAAAUAUGUUAUAACUGUCAAACAAGCGAUGACAGUCAACCCCUCCUUACUGUGUCGGUGAUUAAGGUACGCUCGUCAAUCACUACUCUAAUUGAGAAAUAAUCUUAGGUACGCCGGUAAGAUUUAAUUCCCUAAUUGCCUUACGUAUUAGAGGAGCCCUAUUCUAACCAAAUAACACAUUACCAGGGUUAUUUUAGGUUAGCAUGCGUAUUCCCCUGACACAAACCCAAUCAUGUCAGUUAUCACUAUUUUGAGACAAUUAAACAAUUACAGAUUUAACGUCCCAAUUGACAAUAGAUUAUUAAAUUAAUUAAUUAUCCGGAUCCAAGACAAUCAAUUAAUUAAACAAUCAUAAGCACUGUAACCAGGGAAUAUGCGAAUACCAAUAAAUAAAAGAAAAAGAUAAAAUUAAAUCGAUCUCAUAAUUUUAGGCGAGCCAAAGCGUCCGUUGCUCCUUGACUAGACAAAGGGAUUUAACUCAUCCUUGUCUACUCUUACCGAAAAGAAAAGAAAAGAAACUAAAGAUAAAAGGAAAAGUCAAUGAUAGGGUGUCAUUUGUUAGUAAUUUUAUUAGUAAUUUUCCCUUUUAUCUCUGUCAAAUAUUGUGUUAAUUGCGAAUAUCUACUUAUAUUUGGUUUGUGAACUUAAUUUCAGGAAUGGAACAGAAAACUACCAAACCUGAGGGUCUUUCUGGAGAUAAUUGAGACUUCAAACAAGCCACAGGCCAGGGCCACAGUGCUGAAAAGAACUGGACUCCCAUUCCUUUAUUUUUGUUGACUAAGAAGACUACAACCAGAGAUUUCGACAGAGAACUUCAAGGCUUGGGCCUUUGACUUCGGCAGGGACCACGGAGGAAAGGAAAAGGGCUUUAGGCAUUUGGCUCUUAAGAAGAAAGCAACGUAGAGAGCCAGAAAAACUAAGAAGAAACUUGGAGGCUUGUGGCUAAGUGGUGGGGACCGCACUGAGGCUCAAAACAAGGAGAAGAAUUCGGCAGACUUGUGCUAUUUCGUGGGGACCACUGGAUGAGCUUUGAGUCAUCUUUCUCUUGGUUCUUAAAAGGGGGACAACGUACAGCAGAAAAAGGACGGCUUGAGUUUUAGCUUUUUAGUUUAGUUCUAGUUUUCUUUCUUUUGACUAGCCUUUGACACACGCCAGGUGUUCGACAAUAUUUCCCAACGGGAAAAACAUCUUUUAUUCCUUGCUUUCUAGUAAAAACGCAAUGCCUUUGCAAUCAAUUAAUUCGUGUGGUGAUUUAAUUAUGCGGCGUGACUAAACCUUCCAUCUAGUCAAGGGUCAACUCGACGGCGCAGUCCCGAAAAUUUGUGAGAUCUAAUUAGUUUUCGCGCGUUCCUCAAUUUAUUAAUAUUUGCACGUUAUCUGCUUGAAUUUUCAUGAGAUUAUUUUAUUAUUUGAAUGUCAAGGGUCCGAUGUUCAAUGUGAUUUAUUAAUCUCGUGCCAAUUUAGUCAAUUAAAUCCGUAAUUGUUUGAUUGAUUAAUAUUAGUGGCAACUGGUGUGUUUACACAUUAGGGGAAUGUGCAAUCUAAUUUAAAUAACCCUCGUAGCGUGUUAUUGAUUAGGGCUAGGUUUUUCUAGUGAUUAAUGCAAUUGGAAAAUUAAUUCCUACGGUCGUACUUAGGAGUAUUUUCUGGUUAGGGGUAAUCAAUGGUCGUACCUUGGUUAUCAAUAAAUUAAGGAAAAAUUGGUCGUUAGAAUUCGUCGGCGACUAUAACUAGUCUAUUAAUAAAUUAAGUGAACCUCUCUUGCAUCAAUGAUCGGGUAAAUGGACUGUGUCUGAGUAGUUGUAUCCCUGGCUAGAAUUUAUUUAUUCUUGAUUUAAUUCCUGCUAUAUUUGUGCUAGUUAAUUAUUUAUUUUUAGUUAGAUUGUUUAAUUAUUUUUAGUUGCCUAUCGGUGAAAUCCCCCUCUUACCAAUUGGACUUUAAAAGAGACAAAUAUCUCCAGUCCCUGAGGAGACGACCCUAUUUGUCACUGUCUACUAUUUAGUAAAUUUCGUCAAUUAAUUAAUUCUGGUAUAUCGGAUUCAGCAAACUGUUCGGUAACAGGGUUAAUCAAGUAACCCAUUGCACACCUAGAGUCCCUGCUCCAGUACCUGGAAUUAAUUUUUGACUGCUUUUAGUGGUAUUUAGGUUUUUAUUAUUAUUAUUGCACAGGUUCGACACCUGUCAGUCAAAGUCUUCCCCAUUGUUUCUCCUCACAUCCGUGGAGAAUAACUACUAAAAGCUAAGAAGAAAAAGUGAAAAGUAAGGCUAAGCUAAAAGACGAAAAAACUAAGAAGAAAGCAAGGUUGUCCCUUUCUCCACUGCAAUUUUCUGGUUUUUGGUUAUAGUAUUUUUGUUCUACUCUCUGAAAUAAAUAUAAAUUGCCAAAAGUGAGUAGAAUCUAACAAUUAAUCCACAUCGGGUUAGGUAAUAGAGGAAAUUAAUAAUAAAAUAAAUCAUAAAAUUGCAACCUAUCAAUUUCCCCCACACCUAAACCAUACUUGCCCUCAAGCAUGAUAAUAGCAAACAAACACCAAUAUUUGACAAUGGUCAUUGCUCCGUCUACCAUAUUACCAAGAUACCAAGAAAAACAUAUAUCAAGCAUGGGUGAUCAAGAUCCAAGAAACAUCACUUCGGUUAGCUUCUAAACCACAAACUCCUCUAAUUUCAUGUUAACUAAUCUAAGAAAAAGAAAUGACGCACAACAUUUAUCAGCAAAUGGUCCAACUAUUAAUCAAAAUCUCAACAUUAAAUCCAUAAAUCGGCAAGCUGACUUUUAUUAUACACUAACACAACUUUCAUUUUUUUAUCACAUUUUUCUACUUUUCUCUUUUUUUUUUCCUUUUUUUUCUCUUUUUUUUUUUUGCUUUUUUCGAUAGUAACAAAAGACUUGGUCGCUAGCCAUUGGAGCCUUUUGACGCGAACUCUGACAUUUAUUAGAUGAAAGAGCCCGGUUACUCAGUUUCGAUCGCCACGUGACCACGUACUCAUAGUAAUUACUACUUUUUGACGUGAGAAUUGACACUUUUGGUGAAGAUCCCCGGUUACUCGGUAGUAAAGACUAGCGGAGUACAGUCAACUCUUAUUCACCACUAAAUAAUAUAAAAACUCAAUAUAACACAAAAAUUAAAAGAAAAUUUACAUCAGCUAGUCUCAUUUUCAAACAUGGAGAACUAAGGUUAAUAACCGGACCAAUUCACAUGAAAAUGCCAACAAUCAUUCCCUUUGCCUAGAGAAGUUAACCAAAAAUUAGAAGAGCUACAUAAUCACUGAUAUUCACUAAAGGAAUGCUCUUGGAUUCAACCACAUUAACUCGAUACAUUUUUAUUAUUAAAACUAGGCAAAAGUAGAAAUAGGGACAACAAUCCAACAUCAAACCUUGGCAUGCACAUGUAAACUAAUCACUAAAAAGAAAGAAAGGAAAUGCACGAAAGAUGGCCAAAUAACAAACUAAAAAGAAAGAAAGAAAAAAAUAUGAGAAAAAAAAUAAAUAAAAGAAAAACACCUAAAAACUAGAAACGCUAGCACCCCCCAUUUGCUCCCCCCCACACCUAAAUCACACAUUGCCCUCAAUGUGAUAAACUAACAGCAAAAGGAAGGAGAAGGGCAACGGUACUUCCCUGAAGUCGUCAAAACAGUGGAGGGUUAGGCGGAAAUUAAGGAGGAAUUCCGGUGUGCUGCAUAAAUGCGGCCAAAUUUCUGCAUAAAAGCUGACAAAACUUGCCCAUCCCAAAAUCUCAAUAAAUGUCUCCAAUUGGACAGUUAAUUUCUCAACUCAAAAUCGGCAAUUCCAGCAAAAGCAGUUUAGAAAUUUGAUAAUAGCCACACAAUGACAAGCACUUAGUUCCCAAUCAGGCAGCCAACCAAAUAGAAAUAACAAAUGCUAGUCAAAAUAUCCCAACCAGUGCCACUGAUGCACACACAGGUAAGAAACAAUGCAAACAGGCAACCCAAAUCACUGACAAUGCCCCUCCAAAUCAAUAAUAGAAACCAACAGCUAGAGUGCCCCAACAACUCAACUGAAAACUACCAAUCUCAACAAGUAAAUCAAGCAACCAGGUUUUCCAAAUCAACAGGCAGUAGCAGAACUAAAUCACCCAAUCACCGUGCACGAUAGGCAACAAAAAAAAAUUUUUUUUUUUAUAAGUGCGGGGCUGCCAUGGUGAGUUCUAUAUAUAACACUACUGGUUCCUAGAAACAGCUUAAGAAAGAGACAAAGAGACAAUAUAUAUUUGGACAUUAUUAUUUUUCAAAAAAAAAUUGCUACGUUUUUCGUAAACACAUUUUCCAAUCACCUUUCCACCUCACAUAUAUCAAAUCACUACAUUAAUUUUUCUACAAAAAAAUCUAAAAAAAUGCAAUCCAAACACAACCUUAAAGUUCUGUCAAUUAAUGUUUGUCAUUUUUAUACGGCAACAUGCUAGUACAAAAGAAUUGUCAAAAGCCGUGUGAGAAAGUUAAAAGUUAAGAAUGAAAUACGAGGAAAAUUCUCAUUCGCAACAAAGAAACUGCAGCCAAAAAAAAAAAAAAAAAGAGGAGUGGAGCCAUUAAAGUCAGUCAAAAAGAAAAAGGAAAAAAUAAUCAAUUACAAGAAACUAAAGCAUGAGAGAUGAUUGAAAUUAAAUGGAAAGGAGACUGACAGCAGUGUGAUUUUGAAAGGCGAAGCUACUCUACCCGUUACACUACAAAAUCAUGGAAAUUAUUAAGCAGUUGGUGGGGCGUAUGCGUUCACUCUUCAGUCUUCCAUCAAAUAAAGGGGGUGGCUACCAGCGUACCGCCCUAUCGUUCAAAAGCAAUCGAUGUCUAAACUUAAAAACGUGGCGGCCUGGACAUUGAUUUCAUUUCAUUGACGAACAAAUAAAGGGAAAAUACGCAGUUAGUUAUAAUAGGCAGGGCAAUUAUACCCAACAAAUUGCAAUAUUUCAGAAGUUAGUAUUUACAAAUUGAACUCGACUAGUCUGGAAACAUCACUGUUAUAUAUUCCGAUCAAGAACAUAUACUAUGAAUAAUUGCAGUCGAAUAUCGUUCUUUAACUAAACUGUUAAGAUGAAUUCUGGGAAGUGAGUGAGGAGCUCAAACUAUAGAGACGCAUAGAAACUCUGCCAUUCAAUGUUGUAGAUCUCUUGUUUAACAGCUUAGAAGCCGCUAAUUGGGUAGUCUUUUAACUCAUCUCCAAAAUCUGAAGGCUUUAACUCAUCCCGGACUAGCUAUAAUGCCCCCGCAUGAAUGCUAUAAUUUGUACCUAUAAUCUAAAAAGCGUUUGUCAAAACUCUAUACGAGUCUCCAAGUGUGUGCCAAGUUUCACAGGUUGCAGAAAUGUACUCCAAGUUUCACAGGUUGCAAGAAAGUCCACCUCUUUCGUUGUAAAGAUGAUUGCUCGAGGGCGUAAACUACUACUAACACAUAUGUUACCCCAGUCAGACGACAGAGUGUCCAGAAAUAAGAUUCAAAAGCUUUGAUAGUCUUAACUCAUAUCCAAAAUCUGAAGGCUUUACGUACUGCUGCUACAAGGAGAUCAUUUCAGUUGAUUCAGAGAACCUUGCAUGAAUUCGGUGAAAUGUCCAGCCUCAAACCAAACCUACACAAGUGUCAGAUAUACAUGGCUGGUGUGAAUGAGGAUAUGCAGAUUCAGCUUUGCAAUUCACUGCAGAUGCCUUUAGGCUCACUCCCUGUUAGUUAUUUGGGCUUGCCAUUGAUAUCUACUAGACUGAGAUUUUAUAUAUCGUCAACCUAUUUUAAAUAAGAUAGAACAAGGAAUUCAUAGUUGGGCUAGUAAAAAACUUUCAUAUGGAGGCAGAUUACAAUUGAUAAAAUCCAUCUUAAAUGGAAUUCAGGUUUUUUGGUCUAGUGCUUUUGUUCUUCCCAAAUCUGUCAUCAAGACGUUUUGUAGGAUGCUAACUUCCUUUUUAUGGGCUGGUGAGAUUAGAACUCAUUAGUGUGCAAAAGUUAAGUGGACUGAUAUAUGUAUGCCUAAGAAGGAGGGAGGAUUGGGCUUGUUUGAUUUAAAACUUUGGGACAAAUGUCUAAUCAUGAAGCAAAUAUGGCAUAUUUGCUGUAAAAAGGAUACUCUUUGGGUUAAAUGGGUUCAUACCAACAACUUGAAAGGGUGUUCCUUUUGGGCAGCAAAGAUUCCUGUUAAUGGUUCUUGGGUAUGGAGGAAAAUAUUGUUGAGGCCUGAGGGACGAAGCUCAGCCUUUCAUUAGGCAUCUACUGGCACCCUAUUGGUCCUUUAUAUAAAUAUUUUUUCUGAAAUUUGUAUCAUAUUUCAACGGAAAUGUAUCUUUGCUCUGACCAUUGUGUCUAUGGUCCUUGAAUCAGUUAGGAAUACUAGUGUUGUGAGUUGGAGAGGAGUCCCACUGACCAAAGCCAAUUGGGAGCUAAGUAUGGAGUUCGGAUCGUCUCGUGUGUUUCCAGCAAGAUUGAGUUUGCAUUACUAUAAUAGUGAUAGAAUUUAUGUAAGUAGGAAUUGUUUGAUUCCUGUGUACUCGCUUAAUUCUUUAUCAAUAAAGAUUCAUAUUUGUCCAAAAAAAACCAACAAAAGAAUGACCAAUUACUUGCAUUACAUCAACAAUUAAUAUCAAUUAUGCCAACACUAGCAAAAAAGAAAAACAUUCCCAUGAGUUGUGGUGAAUUAAAUCGAAAAAAGAACAACAAAUUUUAUUUAUUAUAAAAGAAUAUCGUGAAUCUUAGUGGUUAAUAGUGUAAUUAGCUUUUGUGAUGCCACAAUUACACUCCUCUCUAAUAAAUGGACAAAUUGCAUUGCAUUUCAUCAAUAAAUAAUAUCAAAUAUGCUAGCAGUUACAAAAAUGAAAGAUUUCUUACUUUUUUAUUUAUCAAAAAAAAGAACAAAUUUUAUUUAUGAAAUAUCCAAGUUUAAAGAGUACUUCGAACAUGAAAUAAAGCAUAAUAAAUUGGUACUAUGAGUCUCUUAAAAAGUAUUAUGAAUCUUUUUAUAUUUUGGAUAAAAAUAAAUUAAGCCUUAAGAGCACGUUUUAGUAUGCAUAUAUUAGUAUUAAGUAAAAAAAUUUAACACAAAAUAUAAUAAGAGCUGGAGUAUGAUGAAGGAAAAGAGAUUUAUGUUAGGAAUUUAUUGGUUUAAAUUGCAACAAAAAUUAAAUUUAAUGAACUUUAUUAUUGGUAUUAUUGUAACAAUUGAUAGCAUCAAACAUAUCAAUGCCAAUAACAAUAAUAGUUAUAAAGGUGAAACAAUCAUUUGAGUUAUGGUGAAUUAAACUAAAAAAUAUAAUUUUUUAAUGAAAUAUAUAUCCAAUUUCAAAGAGUACAUCAAAGGUGAAUAAAAAUAUUUCCAAAUUCAAUUUGAUUAUUAUAUAAUAAAUAAGCUUAACGGCUUACAAUUUUUAAAUAUAAACUCUAUAAUCGUAAAUCAUGUCAUAAAUGAUAAAUAUAAAUAAGUUUCACCAAAUGAAAACAUUUCUCUUCAAAAUUAAGCUAUUUAAAUUUGAACAAUGGAAUUCAACAUAUCUAAAUACUAUUGUAAUUAUAAUAGUACUAUAGAUCAUUUUAGAAUUCAACAUUAGCGAAAAAUAAUAAUAAUUAGAAAAACUCACUACUGUUUAAAAAUUCAUAGAGUGACUUAAAGGGGAACAACAAAUUAUUCAAAAGUUAAAGAUUUUAACUCAAAUGACAUAAAUUUAACAGAAAGAAGAAAACAUAAAUACUCUUACAAAAUAAAGUCCUCUUGGAACAAAUAAUACUUUAUUACUUGUGCAUUUGUAUUGGUUAGGGCAAACCAAAUUCAAAAAAAUAUAUGAAUAAUAAAUAUCCUUUUUGGUUAACAAGUUAUAAAUUUAAACUCAAAUGACAUAAAAGAGAACACUGAGAUAAUCCAAAUUUAACAGAAAGACAACAACAUUGAUACUGUUACAAAUUAAAUGUGCUCUUAGGAUAAAUAAUGCUUUAUUGCUUAUGCAUUUGUGUUGGUUAUGGCAAAAAAAUACAAAAAAGUAUAAAUAUUAAAUGUCACAUUUUUUGUCUCAAUUACAUUUAUUCUUACAAAAUAAUUUAUUUUCUAAAACUUUUGAGAAAUGUUAUUUGUAGUCACAUUUCUGUUAAUCAUACUCCCACUAUCACUUAAAUCAUAUAGUUUUCAUUUGUUAAGAUAUGUGGUACCGUAUCAAAAAAAAUGGAGUGCAAAUUACAUUUUUGAAAAUUCUAAGAAAAAAAUCUAAAAAUAUCAUGCUCAUGUUCACGUGUAAAAGCACAUGAUCCAUUACUGGUAUCUUAAAAAUGCUUGAUUAUCCAAAUAGAGGAGCUUCCUAAAGAUUGUUGGAGUUUGAAUGGUCAGUUCCCUUGUGAAGUUUCUUGAACAAUCUCGAGACUCAGAUGGUUCUUAGAUGAACAUACGAUUGCAUAAUGGGUGAUGAUAUGUUGAAAUUUGUUAUUAAUUGUUAUGAUUAAUUUCCCCUUUACUCUUGCCAAAUAUUGUUUUAAUUGUCAGAUUCUACUGAUAUUUGGUUAAUUGUGUUAAUUAUAGAGAAUUAUGUGAGACGCGAUCAAAAUGAGCAAAUUUCUAGCAUUCCAAGAGUUAAUUUGAUGGUGGUACGUUUGGGGCCGAUUUCCAAAUCCUAGUCGAACUCAGGUUAAUUUUUGAAGGAAGAUUUUGAAAACUUCAAUUUUCAUUAUUAGUUCUAGAAUUGGAUCAGGGAACUUGGAAUAGUAUUUUUAGUAGUUACUUUUUUCUAUUUAGGAAACAUGUUAUGUUAUUGGUAGUUGAGAUCGAAUGGGAAACAAAAAACAAAAGCAAAGGACGGACCGCUUGAUGUGGAGUUGGCCAGCAACAAUUUCAGAGUGCGACUCUUGGAAGUAGGAUAUACGGCCGUCACUUGUUUCUUUUUUUUCCCUCUUGUCUUUCGUUAGUUUUUUUAGAGAAAAACCAUACGCAAUUGUUAUCAAUGGAGUCUUGUGGAUUUCCCUCGAGGAUGCGUAGCUAAAUUCUAUUUCUAGUCUGAGGAUAACUUGAAGACUUUGUUCUACAAACUAUGAGAUCGAAUCAAUUACACUGUUUCUUUUAUUUGCUGGUAUUUAUUCGUUCUUUGGUUUUAAUAAUUAUGACUAUUAUGUUAUUCAAAUAUCAAAGGGCUCGGUAUUUGAAUUGACUUGAUAGUUGAUUGCUAAUUGAAUCGAUUUAAUUCGUAAUUGUAAGAUUGCUUUAAUCUUGGGAGCAACUGGUAUAACUAGAUUUGUGUUAGGAAAAUGACUAAUCUAACUUAAAGAGACCUUAUAGCGUGUUGAUUGGUUAGAAUUAGACUCUUCUAAUUAUUCAUGCAAUCCGGUAAACAAACUUCUAUGGUCGUACCUAGAGUUAUUUCCUGAUUAGAGAAAUAGUCAACGAUCGUACCUUGACUAUCGACAAAAUAAGGAAGAGUUGGUUUUUAUGCUAGAACUAAUUUAUCAAUAAAUAAUUAAAUUUAUCCUUGCAUCGGUUUAUGAACUUUGUCUGAUAGUUAUUCCUCUUGCUAGAGUUUUGCUAUUAUUGAUUCAAUUUUAUUUUAUUUGUGUUAUUUUGAUCUUACUGAAUUUAGUUGGUUAAUUCCAAGUAUCUCCAAACUCCCCCAAUUAAUUCUCACUUGAAAAGAAAUAAAUUUUUCCAAUCCUUGUGGAGACGAUCCUGCUCAUCACUGUAUACAGUUUUAUAUUUAUCUCGAGUAGGUAAUUAUUAUUACACACACUGACAUCGGUCAAGUGAUGCUUUCCAUAGUCUGAACCUAGUUGAGGAUGACGAAAAUUAGUCUUGCCCUGUUAUGGACUGUAGGAAUGGUGAGAGAGGAAGGGAAGAAGCAGGCCUUGAAAAAAUGAGCUAACUUGUGCAAAGAGUGGGUGGGGAACGUUAACAUAACUUUUUGUGCGUUUUCUCCUGAUGUAAUUGUCGGCAAUAACUUUGUCCAGUGCUAAGGGAAACACCCAUCGAUUUUGCAUUUCUAGUUUGAUAUUUGAGGGCCUUUGCAUCUCUGAAGAUCAAAUGGUACAGUUUGGAAUUGCUGAUGGUUCUGCGGCAAGUGUAUUUUUUUUUUCCUUGAAAUUUCAUCAAAGCCGCUCUUCUUUUUUUUUUUGUCUUUUUUUUUCUAAUGUAAGUGAGAAGGUUUGAACCCAAUAGCUCUUAUUUAUACUCCGUUCUCUCGUACCAUCUAACCCAUUCCUCUACUAUCAUCAAAAUUGCUGUUUUAAGAAGUAAGAACAAGCAUUAAGUCAUGUCCAGUGCUAAGGAAAACACUGGUUGAUUUUGCAUUUCAAGUUUGAUGUAUAGGGGCCUUUUCAUCUCUGAAGAUCAAAUAGUACAGUUUGGAAUUGCUAAUGGUUCUGCGGCAAGCUCAAUAUCAAAUGGUACAGUUUUGAUCCUUGUUUUAAGUUAUCAAGGGGUUAAGUAACUUCAUGUUUUGAUCCUUGUACUAUUUUUUUUUAUUUACAUUUUUGGGUUUUCUGGAUAAAAUAGUACUACUUAUCAUAAACACGGGCGAAAUUUUAGAGCAACUUCAGAAACAUGUGUGUUAAAGUGGAGCUCAAGACUCCCAGAUAAUGAGAAUGUACUCAAGCCAAUAGGCCAGUGGUUGCUCUUGAUUACCAACAUAUGCAUAUGCAUAGAUCAUCUGCAUUUUUUGUUCCUAAUUGCCAGCAUAAUCCACAUCUUUUGAUUUUACAAAAAUGCUGUAAAAAAAAAAGUCAUGAGCCCCUCUAUACUACGAGAAGAUGAUUGAUUGUUCACCCAGAUUUUGUCAAGUUUAGAAAAAAAAAAUCUUUAGAGUGAAUUGAAUCAAAUCCAAAUUUUGUGUUUAGUGACAAUUCCUAAAAGAGAAUGCAAUGAAGAUUUUCAGUGUAAAACAUUUAAGAACCAGUCAUGCACAUUGUAGGUUUAUUAGCACAAAGUAAUUAUGCUAGUCAAUGAUGAAUGAUCUCAUAUGCAACGCGAGUUGAAACAUUGGCAAAUUGGGAAAGGAAAGAAUAGAUUGGGGAUACCUAUAACUUAAAAGGAGUCAUAUAAUAAACUUGGUGCAUGUUCAGUAUUCGCUAUAUUUACAAGACAAGCCAUUAUUGAUGUGGGUUUGUACAAGCAGAGUGAGGACAAAUUGGGUUUAUGUAUUAUCUCUCACCAAAAUUUAAAAGUUAUUAUUUGGAGCUUUUAAUGAAAAUUUUCUGGUAGAUAUUAUUAACACACUUCUAACCUGCCUACCUUCUUGGACUGGACAUUGUUGAUUUCAUUGACGAAGCAAUAAAACUGCUACAGAGUCUUUUGCUCCUUCUAGUAACAUAUAUAACCUUCCUUCCUAUAUGGAAUUAAUUUCUGCUGACCAAUUAGUAUUUGUAAUAAAAACGGAUGGAAUAUCAAAGAAGCCUUGGGAACAAAAUGUGAGACUACAUUGAUUUAGGAGGCCUUUGAACAGCAUGGAAAUUUAGCACAUGUGCAAUUUUUAGUCCCUAAAAUAUUGGUAGGAACAAUUUCGGUCCGCCAUGUUAUCGUUUUGAAGUAGAUUUAGGAUGAUUGAUGAAUUUUUUUAAAUAUUGGUAGAAUCUGUUACGUGUGAUUACAUGUUUGUUAAUUUUAAAUAUCUUAAAAAAGAAGCAAAAUAGCGAGUACUCUUCAAUAAUAAGACCCGUUUACAUGAUGCCAUGUCGGUAACUAAUUAAUCAAGAGGGAAAAAAAAGAAAAUUUGUUAAUCUAUGUGACGCCCCCACUUCUCCCUAAGGCGAACCAAAGGGUAUCCGCGGGACGCCUGCCCAGCUCUCGCCAGGACUCACUACAAUCCAUCAUUUAAAAGCUCGAAAUACUUUAAGUAACCUCAAUACAUAAUUAAAGUAUUUCAAAUAUCUCACACUUACAAUUAUGCAGCUUUCAAGGUUAAAUACAACCCAACGGAAAAGGGUACAAUAGCCAUCCGUUAUAAUAUAACUUAAAGUUUUCAAAAGAAAACAAUCUAGUACUACUCACGAGCACCCUUGGUCUCGAACCCUGUAAAAGAAAUCCACAACGUGGUAUGAGCUACACAGCCCAGUGAGGUUCCAAGACACUCUAACAGUUCAAAUAAAUCAAGUAAGUUGGGCAUAUCAUAUGCAUGGUUCAAGGUUACACAAUGGCAUGUUAUCAUGAGGUGAUAAUCAUUGUACGGGUAAUUUGAGACAUUUAUCAUGGUAUGAGACAUUUAUCAUGAGACAGGUAUCAUGGUAUGAGUACAUUGGUCAGGUAACAGGUAUGGAGCAUAUCACAGGCAUAGCUCAGGAUUUCAUGUUGGCAUUUUAGCAUGAAACAAUUAUCAUGAUACAAGGUAAACAUAUACGGUAGGAUACGGUGUUCCAGUGGAACUCUGUCGGUCAUCUGCACCUUAUGACUUCCGGAUCCCCUCGGUUUGACUGGCCAUCACCUUAUCCCUCCAAUGGUAAUACUCGAGUAUACCGAAACGGUGUCCCAAGGUUCCAACCUACCCUACCGAGCCCAGUCCUGGCUCGAGUAGGUUAGUAACGAUGAGCAGGGCCCAAUUCAGCUUAGAGCUUACAACAUGCACAAGUAAUCAAGUAAUUCGGCAAAAGGUAAAAUUCAUCAUUUGAGUAGGUCGAGUGAGGUAAAGUACACACUCGCCUAACAAUGAUGGACAACUUCAUAUAACAUGGGAUUCAUGAUAAUCAAGUGAUCAAGUAAGUUGGUGAUUACGUAAGCAGAUAAUCAAGUAAGCAAGUAGCCGAAUAGAUUAGAAAACGGUAAGUAAACAUGGUUAACGGUAAACGGUUAACGGUGGUAAUUACGGUUAAUUGGUAGACAUAUGUCAUUUUAAUAGGCCACCAUUGGCCUUUUUCACUUUUUCCACAUAAGAGUCGAGGAGAUUCACUCCAACCGACUUAUGCUGUCAUAGCAUAAUUAAUCAUUUAAACACAUCAUGUAGAUAUGCUCUCCAAGCAUUUCAUAUCUAAUAUUUCAAGUAAUCACAUAAAUAUGCUCUUUAAGCAUUUCAUAUCGAAUAGUUCAAAUAUACAUAUUUCAGGUAUUUCAUGUCGAGUAAUUCAAGUAUACCUUAUUCAGAUAUGCAUGAGUGUGGUAAAUACUUAACAUAUAGCACUUAACACUUAAUAAUCAUGGGUUAUGCAUGUCAUAGACUUAUUCCAAUUACGUAUUCCUAUAUGGAACACUCACCUAUAGCAACAAGAGAGUAAUACUCAAACAAAUGUCUAGGCGUCCACUUCGAGUUCCUCUUGAAGGUCCCCUUGAGCGCCUGGGCAAAUAACCAUUAACUAUUAUACACUAUCACUUAGAACCCCUACUUAUCAAAGAAGGUUAUACAAUCUAAGGAGAAUUCAUUAAUUGGGCCUUAAUUAAUAAUAAUCGAGGCUCAAGAGUAAAGUUUUAAAGUCUAAAGAGAGAGACUAAUAUUUUUCAUGAAAUCGAGUUCAAAAUGUUCAAUCGGUAUUGAGAAAAGAAGGCAAGUUUCCAAAAUCUCAUUUUCUAAGAAAUUGACAAAUUUCAGCUUUGGGUGUCAAUUUUAGAAAAAUCGUAUCUUGCACUAUGUAGGUCCAAAAUUGGAAAGCUUGAUACCGUUGGAAACUUCUUCAAAAGCGCUAAAAGUUCCUAGAAGAUACUUUUCCAUGAUUCCAAACAGAAGGUAUUCAAAAAUUGACUCAAAGUUGCUGCUUGGGACCAUUUAGACAGUUUCGGGGUUGGUUUUUGACCAUCUUUGAAAAUCCAGCAAAAUUCACACAAUACGAACUAGCCUCCAAAAUUUAGAACUCAAUUAGAGCUACAAUCAAAGUUUAAAACAAAACAAACGGUACAAGAAUUGAAGUUUUGAGCGCCAAGAUAUAGCAGCUCAAAGUUGGCUAAAAAUUCCUCCUCGAUCAAGAAUUUCCAGAUUUAAACAUGAACUUUGGGACUUUGUUUGAACAUCUAAACAGACUCGAAAUGGCACCAAAUUUGGUAUGAUUAUACUACCAUAUAAGGGCUAUUCCUCUGUCAAAUUUCAUAGAAAAAUAUGCACGGAAAGUCACUCAACGAAAUCACUCAAGUUUCCAAAUUUUUAAGGCAAAGCUGCCUCGUGUAUGAAAAUUUCCUUUUCUAAACUUUUGACCAAGGGAAGAUACCUAAAACAUGUCUCGUUUAUGAUAAUCAGGUCUAGCAAGAAUUCAAAAUACAUUUGAUAGGUGAUUUACAUCAAGAAUUUCGAAAUAACAAGUCCCAAGUCAUUGUUAGUUACAAAUCUGUCCAAGUGGAAAAUUCUAUCACUGUAGCUGUUUCAAACUUUGGCCACAACUCACUCAAUUCAACUUGGAAUUGGGCGUGGUUGAUGGCGUUGGAAAGCUCUCUCAUAAAGCUGAAUUUUCUCAGAAGAAACCAUUUUCAAAUUCCAUUCACAAACAGCUCGUUUUUGAGCAUGAAGAUACAAGUCCUGUCCUGUCUCCUGGAGAGAAACGAAACAGGACAGUGAUUUUCAAUCGAAUGGUGUUGCUCACUCAAGUGGAACUAGAAUGUGCAUUUGGUACCAAUGGAAAGCUGGGAAUGCCUAGUUUCAAAUGCCACCAACGGCACUCAAUGUUGACAUCGGAGUAAAGAGUUAUAGCCGAUACAAGAUGACUGCCUGGGCAAUACGGGAUUCAUUUUCCAGUUUUGCUAACUUUGGAAAUCAACUCAUUUAACCAACCAAAUCAUGUUAUUUUUCAAUGAAAUUUUGUACACACUCACAAUAACAUGUAAACAAUAUAAUCAAGUCAUUAGAACCUCAAAAUUGUGCACAAAAAUGGUCGGACAAGGCAGGGGUAAAACGGUCACUUUUGCUCCAAGCACCUCCUAUGAUUUUCUACCAACAAUACAACAUUAAUCCACUAAUUUAAGCACUAAACCACCAUUAAAUCCAUCAUCAAGCAUGAGAUCAGUCCUCAAGACAAAGGUGGGAGUUCAUAGAGCCCACCCAUUUCAUUUUACACCAUAAACAAGCUACCCAAAUACAAAUACUACCUUAUACAUGUAAGAUGAUCUUCAUAAAGUAAGAUUUAAGUGUUGGAUUAACACCUACUUGAUUAGAGGAUGAAGGCAGAAAUUUCGGCCCCUUAGAUGCUCAAGAAAACCAUGGAUAGCAGCUCCUUUUCUUAGCUCAAUGGGAUCUCUAAAUGUUUAGUUAAGUGUAGUUCGAAUUUGGAGUGAAUUGGAAGAGGUUUGAUGAAGAUUUGAUGAAGGAAAAAUGAAGAACUUGGUCUUGUUUUUCCUUGGAGUUGCACGGCUGGAAUGAAGAAGGAAAAGAAGAGUUGCACGGCUGUUUGAGGUGAUAAAGUGGAGGGUUUUUAUCUGGUGUGAUGCACCCAUGUGAAACUAAAAUGUGUGGCUCUCAUUGAUUCAAAGGUUAACUCUUUUUCCCGCGCGUUUCGUGUUCGAUUCCUCUCGAAUUUGUUUCACUGGUGCACUAAACCUCUAAUGCACUUAUAUUCAUAUAAAUAUUAUUCACUCUCAAUCGUCCCAAAAUAAGGGUCUAAAGUUCCUGAAUUUAAAUCGCGCGUGUGAAAACGCGUAUCUCCAAUUUAAGCGCGAUAACGCGAAACUUCCGAGAAAUUCUUAUAACGAUAGUACUAAUAACUAUCACUUGAGUAUUUAAACAUUAAAAUACCGAAUUUAGGUCCAUUGUACAUGUCUCCAAUAUUCCAAACUUAUUGUACUCUCAAGCGGAUAAAAUCUCCAAGCACUAUUCACUAUUUUUACUAAACGCGCUCCAGGAAAUUAAUUCGUGAAAUGAGUUACUUUAAAAAUAUAACGAAGUUAUAUUACCAUGCAUUUAGGUCUAAUAAGACUAGAAAAUAUUCCUCGAGGCAAAUAUCCAAUUAAAUAAUUUAUUAAGCCACAAAUUAGGCUUAAAAAUAAUAGUUUUUACGAGUCCUCACAAUCUAUCUGAAAUGUUACGAUUUUGUGCUUGGCAUAGUCUGGAUAGAGUGUAAAAAUGAGUUCUAUAUCAAUGAAUUGUGUGCUUCAACUAAUUUGAGUUUAAAAAUUUUCAAUUUUUACUAGUUAAUUAGUUAGCAUAUGAAUUAUUAGUUCUUACUUUUGUUGUUUAAAGUUAGCUACUAUUUUGCUUCUUUGUUUUGAAAUGUAAUUUAAUGGACACAUAAUUAGACGUGACUAAAAUAUGUUAGUAAUUGAAAAAAAAUUCUUCAAAUGUCCUAAAUCUAUUAGUAAAAUGGAUAUAUUAGGGACCAGAUUUGCUCUUGCAAAAAUUUUAGGGACCAAAACUACACAAUUAUGUUAUUAAUUAUAUUAUUAAAUAUAAAGAAUUGGAUUAUAACUAAAUUAUUAUAUUGUAUAUAUAUAUGUAUUAUAUAUGCAUCUAUGAAUUUAAAUAUAUACAUAUUUUCGUAUAUGGGGGAUGGGGUGGGUGUAUGUUACCCUGCCCCCCGCCCCGUUUUAAGGUAGGGGAAAAUUUUCUCCCCCAGCCCUGUCGCAUCCUCCUCCCUAUUUCUAUCCUCAUGGACACUUGCCCUUGUUGCCACCCUUAGCUUUAAGUACCCUUAUUUUUGAGUAAAUUAAACGUAACCUUCUAUGGUUCCACUAAUUGUCAUAUAACUACCAUAAUAUUUCAAAUAACCUCUAUAACAUCAUUAUUUCAAAUACUAAUAAUGUCCUUAUUUAAAUGAUAAAGCGAAUAAAUGUUUAACCACCUUGGAUAAAACCGCAAGAAAAUUAUGUGGAUAAACGUAAAAAAAUACAAUGAGGCAAAAUGCAUAUUUAUUUAAAUCAUAGAGGGUUAAUUGGAUUUUAUGAUUCCAUCACACAAGUUUUUGGGAGUGCAUUUGGUUUAAACACCUAACCAAUGGUGCAUUCCUUCCAUUUUCUACUUUACAUAAAAUUACAUGAAGGUUAUACAACUAUUAUGAAACUUUAGAGGUGUUAUGUGGCAUUGAAGAAAAUUAUAGGGGGAUUAUAUGUAAUUUAUUCUUUUUUUACAUGAAUUGUAGGUAUAUAAAUUAUUUUAAUGCUUUUUCGACAAAAUGAUAUAGAACUUUGGGGGGGGGGGGUUGGUCAAAUGAUGUUGUAAUCAAUAGAGAGAAAUUUGAGAAGGAAUAUGAGGGUCCAAAUCUUAUGUACUAGAAACUAGUUUCCUGAAUUUUAAAAAAGAAAGUUAAUUAGUGAUCCUCUCUUCAUAUUCUUUUUUUUUAAAUUUUUAACUCAAUAGAACUUAAAAUUUGCUAGCGCCAUACGUUAAUCAAACAAAUUGCAAAACCAAUCGUUCUUGAUUGCCCACAUGUUGUUAAACCUUAUCUCCAGCAUUCGUUCUUGAUUGCCCGCCUAAUUUACCUAGAUUUUGUCACCUUUAGAAGUGAAAAUAUAGUUUAUUAGUUUGAUUUUGACCUUUUACUAUUGACUAUUACUUUUAUUGAAAAAACUAAUAGUGAAAUUUUAACCUAAAUCAUGAGGAAGCUAUAUAUAGGUUUUUUUCAACCAUAUGAGAGUUAUGUGGUAAAGUACCAAAUCAUAGGGGAUAAAAUAUAAUUUACUUAACUUAAUAGGGAAAAUGUACUUUUCAUCCCCAUAUGAGAGUUAUGUGGUAAAGUACCAAACCAUAUGAGAGUUAUGUGGUAAAGUACCAAAUCAUAGGGGAUAAAAUGUAAUUUACUUAACUUAAUAGGGAAAAAUGCACUUUACAUCUCCAUUAUUUAGGAUGUUAGACAAUUUCAUUCCUAAAGUUUGAAUCAAAACACAUUUCAUCCUCAUAAUUUUAUAAUUUUGACCAAUUUCAUCCCUAAAAUUUCAUGCAAACACAUUUCAUCCUAAUAGUUUCAUAAAUUUGACUAAUUAAGGACAAUUGAUAGAUUGUCAAGUAAUUUGAAUGAAAUAUCAUCACAUGACCAUAGAGUACCGAAUAGUAAAGUACAAAAAAAAACACUGGAUCAACAAAAAAACUCAAAAAUUAUUUUAUAAUUCACUUUAUUAUUUAAAAAAUAAUAAAUUUUUAACCACUGUUACUCUCUUCUUAAUCACAAAUUGUACAAAAAGUUUGAGAGGAAAUGACGUCAUGGACAAGAAACAACCCUAUUAUAGCCAAUUGAAGAAAUUUUUCAAACAAUCCCAUUGCAACCAAUUGGAGAAAAAUAUUAACGUGAAAGAAAGAAUUUUUAGAUUGUCAUUUAUUAUGCAAAAUUUUGUUUUGUUGCAUCAUAUAUUUUGUUGGAGAAAAAUAUUAACGUGAAAGAAAGAAUUUUUAGAUUGUCAUUUAUUUUGCAAAUUUUUGUUUUGUUGCAUCAUAUACAUGUUUUUCAAAUUGUUUACCUAUCAUCUAAUCUAUUUUUUUUAUCUCACAUAUAUCAUAUCAUAAUUUUUUUUUAAAAAAAUCUCUUAUUUGAACACACUCAUUAUUAUUUAUGUAAUUUAAUAAAGGGUAAAUGUAACGACCCCACCUCCCCCUAAGGCGUACCAAAGGGUUCGGCGGACCGCCUGCCCAGCUCUCGCCAGGACUCACUCACUUACUACAUUCCACAAGUAAAUUACAAGGUACAACUCAAAUAAUACAUCCAAUUCUCCAAAAUUACAUAUCAUAAGCGAAGCGGAAACUAGUUCUAAGCAUAAAAUAUAGAUUUACAUCCGAUUCAAUUCCAAAUAUUUAUACAGCCCAAAAGUACAUAAACCAAAACCAAAACUAAACUAUACAAGAUGUACGCCAUCCAGCCACCCAAAGAUCCAAAUACAAGUUCUUCCUUUACCUCGAUCCCUGUGGGGAGAAGAAGAUAAUAGGGGGUGAGCUAGAAGCUCAGCGAGUGACCAGUAAAAUCAACAGCCAAGUAUAUUUCACAAUCAAGCAUUGAUAUGAUGUCAUGAUGCAGUAAUCAAAUGUUCAUUUAUUGCUCAUGUGAGCCAGUGAAAUUCUUGUGCUUAAAUAUCCAAUGCUCGUUUAGAUCAAGUAACCGUGAAACAGAAGUAAGGAGCCAUCGGGCUCCAAAGAAUGUGUAAACAAUAGUGGAGACAUUGGUUCUAAGCACAAGACUUUCCAGGAACUCAUUGGAGCCAAUUAUGUCAUGGCACACACCCGAACCCCAAAUGAUAUGCAAUGGAGUAAUAAAUGCAAGAAUUAGUUCAAAAGUAACUUUGGGGACAGUCGAGGGAUCACUCACUCAAACUAUAGUGCUUCACGUAGUCACGUUCAAUUAUACUCCAGGUUUGGAGUCCAGAUCUGCGAUAGAAAUCCAAUUUGAGAACUUUGAAACACGAGUAAGAUUUGAAACUUAAACGUUCCGUUCAUAAGAAUCAACCAAUUGAAAUUCAUUUGAAAGGCAUUCGUGAAACACUUGCUCGCUUUUCAAAUCAUAAGGUUUUUUUGUAGCAUAUAUACUUGGAAACAAUACUUGAGUUAAAAGUACAAGGAAAUACAAGUUUACAUUGGCCAUUAUAUCUUUUCCUCAAGAGUACAAGUUCGUUUAGGUUUUUAACGUAUAACCAUUGAUAACAAAGUAGCAAAAGUUCUCGCUAGUUCAAGUGGUAAUCACUUAACCUUCACUCAAGUUGCAAAUAUAGUUUUCUAGUUCUCGAGUAAAAAUUCGGCAGCAUGCCCUUUGUGUUUACCUAAUUUUCCAGCCAUUUAGGCUUCAUUAUUUUUCUCAACCAAAACCCAACAUCACAUAUAUCAGCAAUUCAUGACAAGAGCCGUUCCAUAGGCUCACAAUAUCAUAAUAAUAAGAUUCACAACGAUAGCAAGUGCAGAAAUUCAAUCUAGCACAAAACAGAUUUGACGUAUGAAAGCGGAAAUAACAUAUCCGAGGCUACGCUUAUCGGAUUGAGGUGCAACCUAUGCCGUUUCGAAGCUAAGACACAGGGCUACAAUGUUCAUGAAGGUCACUUAGUCCAGUUUCUAAUGUAACUUGGUCAAAUUCUCAAAAUACUAAACCAGAAACCAAUUCAUCGGCUGUUUAAACGCAGAACACUGUAAUGGUCAUAACUCAGUGUACACAAGUCCAAAUCAUGUGUUCUUAGAGGCAUUUUAAAGCUACUUCAGAACACUACAACUUUCAUGUUUUGGCCCAGAGCUAAAUCAGAAUGGAUCCUGGUCAAAAAUCGUGAUAAACUGGACCUAACUGCUGAAACGGACUGCUGGGAAAUACUUAAAACAGUAGGGGUAUUUUGGACUUUUCACGUCCUGCGUUGCUCCGAUUGAGCUGAAAUUUUGUAGGCACCUAUAAAAUGCCAUUCUCUACAACCUUUCUUCUUUGACCUAAGGCCAAAUCAGCCUCUAACACACAGAUAAAAAUUCGGACAGAAUGUGGAGAGAAUUUUCCAGAUUUUGGAAUUUUUGAGUUUCUAGUGAAUCUUUCCUUAAUUUCUUGGUCCAAUCACUACCAAAACACCAUAUAACACCUCAAUUGCAACAUAUAAACAUCAUACAAUCAUUUGGGCAGAAUUUCCACAAGCCCUAGUUCAUCAAAUAAAUUGGGGAAAACUACUAAAACAUGCUCAUCAUCCAUGAUCUCACCAUAAAAUCAAGUUACUAAGCUUAAUUAAACAAGAUUAGAAGUGAAACUUGGAGAGAUAAACUCUCUUACCUUGAAUAAAAGUCACCAAGAGUAGCACAAGCUCUCCCCUUCAAGAAUCACACCACAACUCACUAGCUAGUCACUAGAAAACAAGUUUAAUCGGUUUACUUCGCUCGAUUCCUCACUUAUUUGUUGGAUUUGGAGAUGAAAUGAAAGAUUUUCCCUUGGAGUUUCUCUUCUUGUUGUUCUCGGCCAGCAGCACCCAAAAUGAAGAAGAAAAAUGCUAAGUGUUGGAGUUAAAUGGUUGGGGUUAGUCUUGGGUAAGAAGCCAUGAGGUGGUGACAAGUGUCACCACCACCACCUUUCUUUUUUCUCUUUCCUUCUUGUUAUUUCUAGCCUCAUAAUUUCGGUCAAGGCUGCUACAAUAUAAGAAGAUAUUAUGUGCAAAAGUCAACAAACUUGUUGGGUAAGAAAAAUUGUGGUCAAGCAGUACGUUCAAUCGGUAAUGCGCGGGACCCGCCGGAUCGCGCCGUUUUUCUUAAAAACUCACGUACUAGGUUUUUCACUUCCCAUUCACAAACCUUAUAUCAUUGCCACUAGUCACAUCUUAUUUCUCACUUAAAAGUCACUUUUAAUCCCCAAAUUAAUUCUUACUUUGUACCGAAAAUUCAUUCGGCUAAAAAUCGCGAAAACCCUAAUUCCGCUCCAAACUUGAAACCGAAGCGUAAAACCCUAUUUUCUAGGUCUAUUUACACUUAGAGUGAAAUAUUUGGGUAGUGGCCUUUGAUAAAUAAUAAUUUUCAAAUAAAAGGGUAUUUUAGUACUUAUUGGGCCUUAUCGGAAAGCCUUAAAGAGUUGGCUCUUUAAGCUCUUUAUGCGGACCGAAUUUCUUCCAGAUUUAUUUGGGCCGGAUUCCUCACAAAACUCUAUUCACCAGAAAUUUUUCCUUUUCUUCUGCCUCGGGGCGUUACAGUAAAAUACAUAAAACCCCCAUGUGGUUAAGGAAAUUGAUACGAAACUUCCUCAUUAUUCAAAAACUCCCACAUAACCUCCUUGUGCUUUGGACUAAUUUGGAAAAUGGACGGAAAUCAUCCAAAUUGAUGGAAAGAUAUAAAUUUCCUAUAUUAACCCUAUUUACAAACUGAAUCAAAGUUUAACUCAAGUCUCAAUUAAAGUUUUAAAAACUUUCUUCCUUCAUUUGAAACAAAGGUAGAACUAAGGGGCUCAUUUGAAAUUUUAUAAGAUGUAUCAUCUUCUUCAAGGAAAUGUCAGAACGUUCUGGGCUUUGCGGUCAUUCCGGCUUCAUCCUACAUACCAUCUUCGAGCUUCCUAGCUUCGGAGCUAAGACGCCGCCAAAGAAACAGAGAUGGAUAUCUCGCGGCAUGCUCCUAGUUGCUCUUAGUAGAUAGCCAGGCUUUAUACUUCCCAACGACUUAUAUUGAUUCGUUCCCGGCCUUGAGAAAUGCCCCACCGUGCCUUAAGAAGGUCUGAUUCUUUGGCAGUUGAACAGGCAGGCGCCAGAUCCCGCCCAAGUGACAUAGAUUUAGCUAUUUUAGUGGGGUUCAUCCUUCUGUUUCCUCAAAUCAAGUUUACUCCGUCAAAUGGUUUGAUGCCCAAUUCUACUUUUUUUCUUGAAUUUGAAUCACUUCCUCUUUAUCGUCAUUCUUCUGUUUAACUGCGUUCUGGGCUUUGCGGUCAUUCCGGCUUCAUCCCACAUGCCAUCUUCGAGCUUCCUAGCUUCGGAGCUAAGACGGAGCCAGGGAACUCAACCCGUCCAUUGCCUUAUUUGAAGUGGAAUCAGCAGCAUAUUGGCAUCAAAGGCCUUCAUACCAUUCUCUUUGAAUGCUCUAGGCACUCAGCCUUUUAUACGGUGGAUCGGCUGAGGUCUAUCGGCCUCGCCUUGUUCACCAUCUUUGGAUUCCGGCACAGCAGCAUACUCGCUACUGUCUCUGCCGCCGAAUCAGAAUCGAUCUCUGAAGGAAUGGUACUUGUUGUUGUUGGCGUUGUUUUUCCCAAUCCCCUCUCCCUGGAGGGCCGCUAUUCUGCUUCUUUGCAUUCACGAUCAAUUGGUGUUACGUUGGGAUCAAUUGAUCGAGAACUUUUUGUCAAUUUUUGAGACUAUUAGAUUGAGAAUUUUUAUUGUUAUUUUGUGCUCUAUCUAAUUGGAAAAUUUUUGGUGUUAUUUUGGGAUCAUUGAGUGUUGAAAGAUUGGUGGUAGAGUUGCUGGUGAUUGGUGGUGAUGGUGGAGCUACUGGUGAUCAGUGGCGGUACUGAUGAUGAUUGGUGUUCACUGGAGUCGUUGACCAUUUUGGUGUUAUUGACCAGUUUGGUUGCGAGCAGGAAAGAAACGGAGAAGGAAAAUAAACAAAAAAAAAAUUGACAAAACACUGCAAAAUACUAAAUUGUCCUUGACAAUAUCACUUGAAACUCCCUUAAUAGACGAGCUUAUCUCAAACGCCGUUAAUUUGGAUGAUUUCCGUCCAUUUUCCAAAUUAGUCCAAAGCACAAGGAGGUUAUGUGGGAGUUUUUGAAUAAUGAGGAAGUUUCGUGUCAAUUUCCUUAACUACAGGGGGGUUUUAUGUAUUUUACCCUUUAAUAAAUAACCGAAUUAGGUAUUAACAAUACAAUUAUUAACGGGACAUGUUAGUCAUGUGAUGAUAUUCUGCUUAAAUUGGUUAAAAAUCAUUCAAUUGUCCUAAAUUGAUCAAAUUUAUGAAAAUAUGAGGAUGAAAUGUAUUUGCAUGAAAUUGAUUAAAAUUAUAAAAUUACAAGGAUAAAAUGUGUUUGGACUGAAAUUGUUCAACACCCCAAACAUUGGGGAUGGAAAGCGCAUUUUACCCUAACUGAAUAUUAGCUAGCCCUUACAUUGGUAGAGCAAAUGGGUCAGUGGUUGCUCUUGACCGCCAACAUACUUUUUUUUUUCAUUAAGUGUAAGCGGGAGAAUUCGAAUCCGAAACUUCUCGUUUACACUCCCUCCCCCCGUACCACCCAAUCCAACCCACCCCCACGUAGAUCAUCUACACUUUUGCUCCUAAUUGCCAGCAUAAACCAUAUCUUUUGAUUUUCCAAUAAAUACUGCAAAAGAAAAAAAGAAAAAAUGACGUGUCCUUGUAUACUACUAGAAGAUUAUUGAUUGUGCGCCCAGAUUUGUCUAGUUUAGGAAAAAAAAAUUAGAGUGAAUUGAAUCGAAUUCAAAUUUUGUGCUUAGUGAUAAUUCCUAAAAGAGAACGAAAUAUAGAUUUUGAGUGUAAAAAUAUUUUAAGAAAUAGUGAUACAUAUUGUAAGUUUAUUAGCACAAAGUAAUUAUAAUACUCAAUGAUGAAUGAUCAGCAGAUUUGGGAAGGAAAGAGCAGAUUGGGGGAUAUUUGAUCAACAUAUCCAACAUUCGCUACAUUUACCAAACAAACCAUAUUAAUAUAGGUUUACAUAUUAUCUCUUAUCAAAAUUUAAAAUUGAUCGUUUGCUAAAUAAAGAUUAAGACACAAAAAGAUAAAGAGUAAUACUAUACAGUACAUUAACAAAAUCAAGCAUUAUACACAAUACAUACAAUAAAUAAGGAGGUAAGACACAGAAGAUGAUUAACUUCUCUCACCGUCACGGAUGUCGAAGGGGAAAAAAUUUACUAAUAAAAAAUAAAAAACAAAAGCAGUUUUGUCCACAACAGAGAGGGUGCAAACCAGAGAAAGGGGAAUGAUUUAUGUUUUCUUCUUCUUCUUCCCCCAUAGCUGGCGCUCUCUCCAUUCCCCAUCAUCUGUAUAGCAACCAAUGACAAUUUCAGGAAUGUGUGCGAUUCUUCUGUAAUCUUCACUUUCUUCCUUCUGAUUCUCUACCUUUUCUAUCAUUUCAGAACUCAUCUCAUACAAAUACAGCCCUUGAAGAUGGCUCAAGUGCUGAAUACCCAAAGGUAACUCAUCUAGUAAUGGAAGUUGUUCCAGAAUGAGUUCAUGGAGACGAGGCAAUGCACCCUCCUCCACUCUCAUCCAUCUCAACCCUUCCAUUCUCUUUAGGUGCAACUUCUUCAGAUUGAGGAACCCUCCAGCUUGGAAACACAACCCUUCUCCCUGGUAAGAUCCACAGAAAUUAAUUUUACCCAAAUUCGGCAAAUGUCGGAGGGAUUCAAGCGUAUCCUCAUCACCCCUUAACCUGCUCCAAUUCAAAUCUAUUCUUACCAAGCCGUGAAGAUGAGCUACCCAUUGUGGCAUCUUUUCUAAGCGGCUACACAAAAUCAGCAGAUGAAGAGAUUGAAGAAAAGAAGAAGAAGAAAAGGAAGAAGGAUGAUGAUGAUUUAGAUCGAUUAUCUCAUGAUCAUGAUCACCUUCUCCAAUUGAUUCAAUGCUUAAUCUAUGGAGACUGGUGAGGUUGGCAAGGGAGGAGCAGAGCUCCUUUCCAUCUUCUCUUCUUAACUUUGUAAUACCUAAUUCUCUUAAUUGGGUCAGCUUUCCUAUCUCCUUGACUACUGCAGAUCCACUACCAGCAUCUAUGUUAUCCAAUAUUUCUAGGGCAAGAAGCGCUCCCAUAUUCGAGGGAGCUUUAAAUCCAUGAAAUCCAUAAUCAUCAUCGGAAGAAUCAACUUGUUGAUAUACUUUGAGAACCCGAAAUUUUUGCAGCUUUAGGAUUUCCAUGGGUAAUUCCCUAACUCUUGUGUCAGCCAAAUUCAGAUACUCCAAAUGUUGAAGCUUGCCAAUGGCUUUCGGGACUCUCUCCACUCUCGUACCCCCUAGGUGUAGAUACUUGAGAUGAAACAUCUUGAAAAUCUCAUUUGGUAUUUCCUCCUGGGUCUCUUGACCACCCAAAUCCAAAACCUUUAACAGCUUACUACUCCUUAAAACAUCAGAUAACAACAGUUUGAAUAGUAGCGGGCUCAUGGAUCCAAAUGUAACGAACGACUGAAGGUGGUCAAAGCAGUAGCUUCUUCUUUGUUGGUGGUCCUCCUGGGUGUUGUUACUACUACUAGUAUGGAGUACUAGACGGCGUACCUUGUCGGACGGCCGCAUCAUUGGUUGUCCAGUAGUAAUUGUGACCAUGUUUUGUUCCCUUGACUUGAGAACAAUAACUUCUCUCAACAGGUCAUGGAUUCGACAAUUGUCGGGUAAUCCUUCAUAAUACACCUUAGUCACUUGAAUUAGGCUUCGAUUGACGAGUUCACUAAGACAACCCCAGGCUACAUCUUCAAUACUCAUUCCUUCUCUCCAUUCUACGAACCUUUCAGCAAUCCACAAAUUAAUGAGUCUAUAGCAUUGUAUUUCGUAAUCCUUUGGGAAGAUACUUGUGUACAACAGACACGUCUUUAAAUGCCCAGGCAAAUCAUUAUAACUGAGAGAAAGUAUCCUUUUAACUCUGUCCAGCUUACCAGUGCCUUCUAAUUCACCCCCAAGACUGCGUUGAACCAUCUCCCAUUCCUCUAUUCUGUUUACAUCUUUCAAAGCCAAAAACCCACUGAUUGCAAGAAUUGCAAGGGGCAAGCCCUCACAUUUUUCCAGUAUACCUUUGGCAACAUCCGUCAAAUGGCCAGGGCAACUAUUUCCCUUAAAGAUCUUGUUACAAAACAGGGUCCACGAAUCUUCAAAGGACAGUGGCUCCAUUCUGUGGAUGUAGCCUAGAGAUUCUGUACAAGAGGCAAAGGCUACAUCAACUUUUCGAGUUGUUAGCAUGACACGGUUGCCGUGGCUGCUCUUGGGCAGCGCAAAUUUGAUGGUAUUCCAAAAUUCCACGUCCCAUACAUCAUCAAAAACAAUUGCAUACCUUCCAGCUUGUUGAAGAAAAUCUUUGACAAAUUCUUUCAGCUCGGUGAUAUUCAAAGACUCGAUCGAUUGUGGGACUGGUUUCCUCCCUUCCUUGUGCAAGUGCCGAAUCAAGUCUUUCAGGAGGUACUGAAAGUCACAUGUUUGAGAGACAGUUACCCAAGCACGAGCUGGGAAAUGCCUUCUGACUUCAAGAUCCUCAUGGACUUUUUUCACUAGGGUAGUUUUUCCAAGUCCUCCCAUACCAACCACUGAAACAACUUUUAGUUGGUAAUCAUCCCCUUGGAGGAGCUGAGAAAUUAGAUGUUUCUUGGGCUGGUCAAUGCCAACUAAUUUAGCUUCUUCCACAAGCAGUGCGUCAUCUCUGCUAUAGCGCCAGGUUGUGUUGUUCACAGCAGAAAGUGAGUUGGUCACUUGGGCACAGAUACCAUAUUCGGAUUGGUAUCUUUGAUGACCUUCAGAAAUACUUUCGAUUCUGGACUUGAUGCUUUGUAUUUCGCUGGCAACUCGAUGACGAGCUCUCAAAUUCUUGAUGGAGCUGAAAAUUCUCCGAACAGAGCCGUAGAAUCCUGUUGUGCGAUGCCGGGCAAAGCGAGCUACAAAUUCAUCAAGAAUGUCUUCAGUGUCAUAAGCUGCUUCUAGCACUUGCUUGAUCCAUUCUUGGAGCUGUUGAAUUCAAAGUCUUGAAUUCUUCAAGCCUUAAUUGUUGACUUUUCUAAGGCCAACAAUUGUUGAAUUUGGUGGCCUAAUAUCUGUCCUACAUCGGUGGGAUUAUUGGAAGAACCUUAGCUUGAGAGCUAUAAAUAGCUCUCAAGUCCUUCCAAUUAAAUUGUACCAAGAACAACAAAGAAUUACCCAUAAGGAUUUUGUAAUUCUUUGUAUUCUUUCUUCUCUCCUAAAUUAUAAAAGCAGGUCACUUGAGUGGUGCUCGGAGAGUAGGCAAAAUUGGCCGAACUCCAUUAUCAAUUUUUCGGGUGCGUUCUUUCCUUAUCUCUUUUAUUUGUUCCGCAUUAUUUAUUAGUCUCUUUUCUAUUGUAGUAUAGUAUUCAAUAUAUUUGUCGGGUAUAUUUGUAGUGUUUUAUACGGUUCAUUUGGGUGUAUUUUUCUUAUUCGUGUGUACGUAUUAUUUAUGUAUACACGGGUAUAGUUGUGAUAAUACACCGUGCACGUAAGUUCUGUCUAGGAGACUGGGUUUUAAGUGGGACCGCUUGUGACCCCUCCAGCCUUUCCUGGAAAUUUACUUGGAAUGGUAAUUCUGUCUUAGGAGAUUGUUUCGACGAUCUUUCCUGAGAAUUACUGAAUCGGUUUAAUCACUAGUUGUAUUUUUGAGUGGGAAAUUACCCGAUUUCCCCAACAAGCCUGGGUUGAGCAUCUUCUUCUUUUGCUUCUGCCUCUCUCAGGAAAGCUCUCAUGUGCCCCAACUCAUCCAUGAUGAAUUGCACCUCUUGCCGAAGCCCUCCCAAUAGUCGUCCCUCCUCGCGCAGAAAAGUUGAGAGUUGACGCAGCACAAAAGAGAGAACUGUUUCUGCCAUUUUCAGUCUUUCUUUCUAACUUAAGAAUGUUGGGGAAGGCGGCUUCUGGUUUAUAGGACAGUCCACUUCUUGUAUCUUGAAAGGAAGAAGGAAGAGUAGGUUAUAGAUUCAUAAGCUGAUGAACUUUGAUACUAUAUGGUGCAGUAUACAUCACAAACAAAAACCGCGUCAAACAGAAAAAGAAAGAAUUAACCAAUUAGAAGAAACUAAAGCAAGAAACAGGAUGGAAAUUGAAGACAAGAAGAUAGGCAGCAAGGUGAGUUUGAAAGACGAAGCUGCCUUACCUGCUUACAAUACAAAAUCGUUGAAGCUAUUAAGAAGAUCAGCCUUCAGCUUCAGGACCUUCUUUCAACUGUGGGUCCUUCGGUAGGAUAAAGAUGAAGAGUGACUACCGCAGCAUCGUGCAAAGGCAAUGAUGUCGAAUUAUUUAACAAGGGAAGGAAUAAAGCAAUGGUGUCUGACCAAGUUUUCGGUAUGGACAUGAACGCGUUUUUUAUGUAGUUAAUAAAGAGGAGAGAGCACAAGAGAAUGAGAUCUACUUUAAAUAAAGAAAACCCCAAAAUGAAAAUGACAGUUCUGACUGAAAUGGAAGCCAGCUAUGAGUUUUCCCGGAACAUGUGAUGCAGAGGAAGGAGUUGAACAGAAAAGGCAACUCAAGACCUAAGUUCAAUUGACUAGCAAUAGCAAUAACUUACAGUUAAAGUGCAAUUGUUCAAUCAUAUCUUCAUUUUUGGUGAAGAAUGGGAAGGUGGAUACAUAGGUGAGAGCCAAAAACCCCAUUUUGGAAACCGGAAAUAAAUUACUUUAGUCAUUCAAUAAGAAGUAGGUCUAGAAUUACAAGAGAACUAUCUAAAUACUGCAUAUCAUUUCUUUUUUUUUUUUCCCCCUUUGAUUAUACUCAGUUUUUCUUUUGGCAAAACCCCAAGUUGGGGGAGGGAACUCAGUUAUAUAAACAUAGUUAUACAUAUUUUAAAAUUCAUAGUAAAAGUUCACAUGAAGUGUACAAAUUCACUCAAAACUAUGGGUUAUAAAAACAAACAUUAAAUGUGCAUUUUCAUAUUCUUUCAUGAGUAUACGUGAUUUUUUUAAUUUGAAUCACUGAUUUUGCGCACAUAAUCUUAAUUUUAUUAGUCUGUGAACAUUAGGUGGUUGGCCUGUCCUUCCGCUCUCACGAUGUGCUGAUAAAAAGAUGAAUAUGCUGUGACUGAUGAUGUUUCAACUACACCUCUCUCAGUUUGUGUUUUCUAAUUUUAAAAAUUUUUAAUUGAUAUAUCAAGUAAAGAUUUUCUUUUUCCUUUUUUUCCCCUGGCUUUCUAGACAAGGUUGAAUGUGAAGAAAGAAGUGAGAAUGAAAAUAUUGGAGAUGGAUAAAAUUAAAUGCUCAGCAUAAGACAAUUGAGGUAACGUUUAAGUGUUUAACUACUGAGCCAAAUCUCAUCACCACCAUCUUAUCAUGUCUAAUUAGUCUUUUAGUUCCUUGUAAUGUUAAAAAAAAAAAAAUGGAACCAAAUGGGAGCAUGGAAUCUGUCCUUUUGCAGGAAUAAUUAAUUUGUGGGAAAAUCUUGCUGCAUAUCUGCAUGUACUAAAUAAAUAUUGACUAUAGUAAGCGAGAGUGUAUCCUUGUAAAGAAGAUUUUUAUGUAGGGAUACGAAAAAAGAGAAAUUUGAAACAUGUGGUUGGAUUGGUUUUUCCUGAGUUUAAAGAGUCAUAGGCUAAAAAAGUAGUAGUAAUUCAAUUCUUUUUUCAAAUCCUAGUUCAAAGCCAUAAUUAACUAUUGUACAGUCAUAAUUUGGAAUCAAAUGUGAUCAGGUGCAUUAUUCGAGCUACUGUACGUAUGUGAAACAAAAGAAGAAAUAAAGUCACAAAGUUUUCCUAGUGAUCAAUAGUACGUACUACUGCUUCCUAGAAACAACAUAAGAAAGGAGAUAGAGAGAGACACUAUCGAUAUAUAAAGUUCUGUCAAUAUUUGUCAUUUAUAUAUAUAUAUUUUUACUAUAGAUGAAUUGUUAAAGCCAUGUGGGAAAAUUAAGAAUGGAAUUACACUAAUGUGUUUCAUUCCAAAGCUAAUUGUAUUGUCAGAAAUUAAAUAAUUCUAUUUCAUAAUUUAAAAUAAAAUUUGAUGCAAUAAAAAUUCUUUUUUUGAAUAUGAGACCUUGAUUAUGACAAUACAUGAAUACCCUCAAUGAUAUUAGAAAGUGCAUUCAAAUUUAGGGACUGACAUAGUCCUAAUUAUUUUGUAAGAAGAGUAAUCUUGAAAAGAAAUAACUUAACACUCAACCAUCAAUACAAGCUCACUCUUUUAGCAAAGACUAGUUGGGACGGCCUGCGCGUUGCGCAGGAGGGCGAAUAUUUCCCGUGUUAAGUUGCACAAGUUUUAGUUAUUGUAUAUUUGUUGUAGUAUAGAGAAUUAUAUAGGUGGUAUAAGUUUGGCUUGAAUUAUAAAAUAAUAGUGCGGUAAAUUGGUUGGGUGAAUAUAGUGUUAAUAGUUUGUGAAGUAUGAAGGAUAUUUUGUAAUAUAAUGGUUAAUAAAGUACUAUAAUUGAGACAAUGCAGUGUCAACAUUUUGUGUGGUAUGAUUUGUAUAAAUUAUGUGGUUUGGGUGAGAUAAUUAUAAAGAUACCCAUUUAUAUUUAUGUAUAUCUCUAUUACUCACUAAGUUCCAUAAAUAUGGGCCUAUUUCUUUUUUUUUUUGCACAAAUUAAAACAUUUAAUCAAUAUAAUCACAAGAAUUGCUUUUCUUUCAUUUUUUUGUAUAAUGUCACUCACUAAUAUUAGAUCAUUAAUCCACAUUAAGAGCCAUGUAUUAUUACAUUGUUUUUGAAAUUUACAAUACUUUAAUUUUUUUAAUGUAAGAAACAAUGUAAUUAAUGUUGCAUGUUUGACUAAAAGAAUAAUAAAAAAAUAGCAUACAACAUUGCUUUUCAAUUUAGAGUAAUUUAGAGCCAUUAGGAAAAAUGAAUAUAUACACAUUAAAUUUAGAGCCAUUAGGAAACAUUUUACAAUAAUUAUAUAUAUACAUUAAAUAUGGAUAUUUAUCUAACAAUAUAAAAGCGAGAGUUGCCCCAUGAACAAUAUUUUUUUGUCAAGCGGUUAUCCUGCAAUUGUUAUUGGAUGCCCGGACUAUUAGUAAAUAACAUAUUAAUUAUUCUUUUCUAUAGAACGAAAAAUAAGAAUAAAAACAAGGGCAUUAAAAAUUUGUAAUAAUUAUAUAGAGUAAUACGGAUAUAUAGACUAAUAUAUCUUUAUAAUUGUAUGUUUUAAAAAAUAGUAGGAUUAGAAACCAUUUUUAGUCCAUGACACCUUAACCGAUUUUGGUUAAUUGUGAUAACAAUGUUGGACGUCAUUUUUUUUUUUUUACUGCUGUUCAACUUUUGGGAAUCAUUCAGUCAAAAGCUACUACUGAACAUGCUAAACAAUCACUGUAUUCAACAAUUUUACAGAGCACUAUUUUAUUUCUUUUUUUGCAAUAUAUGCAUUCAUUUUUUUCCAAACAAUUUUUAUUUCAUGUCGUACUAAUAAAAUCUAUUUUUUAAAGUCAUUAAAGCCAAUAAUAAUUUAUUAAUUAUUUCCUCAAUAAUUGUGUAAUUACAGAACACUCAACAUUAAUUAGAUUGUUUCUUACAUUAAAAAAAUAAAGUACUGUAAAUUUCAAAAAUAAUGUAAUAAUACAUGGCUCUUAAUGUUGAUUAAUGAUCUAAUAUUAUUGAGCGGCAUUUUACAAAAAUAUGAAAGAAAAAUAAUUGUUGUGAUUCUAUUGAUUAAAUGUUUUAAUCUGUGCAAAAAAAAAAGAAGGAAAAAACCAACAAAUACAGUGAUUAUCAAGAAUAAGAAACAGAUAGAAAUGCGUGAAACCUCAGAAUAAAAUUAGAAAAAAUAUAUUAAUCCAACUUGAUUAUCAAUUUUUAUUUUUAGCCCAGAUUAUUUGUAUGAUUCUUGAGCUUUAUCUGACUGAAUUAGAGAAAAUCUAUACAAGUUCAGAAGCUUAACUGCUGCGACCCUUUAUUGCUCUUCGUAUAGAUACAUAGAAAGUUAUGCCUUUGCCUUUCUUUUUUUUCGUUAUUAUGCUUUGGUUUUCAGCUGAGAUUUCAUCACCGUAGCAUUUGACCAGAAGGAUGACUGGAGGCUUCUCAAUGACCAAAAGACCAAAACGCCCCUCAAAGUCACAAAAAUAGCAACAUAACCGCUUGACCAAAAUUCACUAUUCAUUUGGCAACUCUCUCUUUUAUUAUAUAACUAGUUGGGAUGGCCUGCGCGUUGCGCAGGAGGGCGAAUAUUUCCCGUGUUAAGUUGCACAAUUUUUAGUUAUUGUAUAUUUGUUGUAGUGUAGAGAAUUAUAUAGGUGGUAUAAGUUUGGCUUGAAUUAGUUCAGAUAAUAUAGUGUUGAUAUUUUGUAUGAUAUGAUUAGUAUAGAUUAUGUGGUGUGGGUUAAGUAGUUGAACUCACUAAGUUCCAUAAAUAUGGGCCUAUUUCCUUUUUUUUUUGCAAAAAUUAAAACAUUUCAUUAAUAUAAUCACAAGAAUUAUUUUUCUUUCAUAUUUUUGUAUAAUGUCGCUCACUAAUAUUAGAUCAUUAAUCCACAUUAAGAGCCAUGUAUUAUACAUUGUUUUUGAAAUUUACAAACUUUAAUUUUUUUAAUGUAAGAAACAAUGUAAUUAAUGUUGCAUGUUUGACUAAAAGAAUAAUGAAAAAAUAGCAUACAACAUUGCUUUUCAAUUUAGAGUAAUUUAGAGCCAUUAGGAAAAAUGAAUAUGUACACAUUAAAUUUAGAGCCAUUAGGAAACAUUUUAUAAUAAUUAUAUAUAUACAUUAAAUAUGGAUAUUUAUCUAACAAUAUAAAAGUGAGAGUUGCCCCAUGAACAAUAUUUUUUUGUCAAGCAGUUAUCCUACAAUUGUUAUUGGAUGCCCGAGCUAUUAGUAAAUAACAUACUAAUUAUUCUUUUUUAUAGAACAAAAAAUAAGAAUAAAAACAAGGGCAUUAAAAAUUUGUAAUAAUUAUAUAGAGUAAUAUGGAUAUAUAGACUAAUACAUUUUUAUAAUUGUAUGUUUUAAAAAGUAGUAGGAUUAGAAAUCAUUUUUAGUCCAUGACACCUUAACCGAUUUUGGUUAAUUGUGAUAACAAUGUUGGACAUCUUUUCUUUUUUUUUUUUUUUUACUGCUGUUCAACUUUUGGGAAUCAUUCAGUCAAAAGCUACAACUGAACAUGCUAAACAAUUACUGCAUUCAACAAUUUUACAGAGCACUAUUUUAUUUCAUUUUUUUUUUUGCAAUAUAUGCAUUCAUUUUUUUCCAAAUAAUUUUAUUUCAUGUCGUAGUAAUAAAAUCCAUUUUUUAAAGUCACUAAAGCCAAUAAUAAUUUAUUAAUUAUUUCCUCAAUAAUUGUGUAUUUACAAAACACUCAAUAUUAUUUAGAUUGUUUCUUACAUUAAAAAAAUUAAAGUAGUGUAAAUUUCAAAAACAAUGUAAUAAUACAUGGCUCUUAAUGUAGAUUAAUGAUCUAAUAUUAGUAAGCAGCAUUUACAAAAAUAUGAAAGAAAAAUAAUUAUUGUGAUUAUAUUGAUUAAAUAUUUUAAUUUGUGCAAAAAAAAAAAGGAAAAAACCAACAAAUACAAAAGCCAACAAAUUUGCCCUCAAAGUUGCCCAAAAUUAUCUUAUAAGCGCUUGACAAAAAAUUCACUAUUCAUAAGCCAACUCCCUCCGAAAAAUAAUUGUUGUGAUUAUAUUGAUUAAAUGUUUAAAUUUGUGCAAAAAAAAAAGGGAAAAAGCCAACAAAAGCAAACAAAUACAAGAGCCAACAAAUUUGCCCUCAAAAUUGCCCAAAAUUACGCUAUAACCGCUUGACCAAAAAGCACUAUUCAUCCUCCAACUCCCGCUUUUAUUAUAUAGAUAUUGAUUAAAUGUUUAAAUUUGUGCAAAAAAAAAAAAGGAAAAAGCCAACAAAAGCAAACAAAUACAAGAGCCAACAAAUUUGCCCUCAAAGUUGCCCAAAAUUACGUUAUAACCGCUUGACCAAAAUUGCACUGUUCAUCCUCCAACUCCCGCUUUUAUUAUAUAGACUAGUGAGACGGCCUGCGCGUUGCGCAGGAGGACUAAUAUUUCCCGUGUUAAUUGUUUUUUGUUGUAUGAGUUUAUUAGUAUAUAUCUCUGUUAUUAUUUAAUUCAUGCGGAUCAUUAGGGAAUUAUAAUUUUUGUUAAAAGUUAACUAUUAUGAAAUAUAUAGAAUGCAUGAGACCAAUAAUAUAUAGAAUGCAUAAGGAUAAAUUAGAAAAUUGUAUAAGGUUAUUUUACAUUUGGAUCAGGAUAAUUAGAAAAUUGUAAAGUGAAUCAUUUCCAAAGAGUAUUAAUCAUUAUUGACACAAAAAAUAGGGGAUCUUGAAAAUCAAUUAAACACUUGAACCAUAGAACUUGACACUGCUAAAAAUUAAUCACCACAUGUCACAAUAAUAAAACCCAUUUUUUAAAGUUACUAAAGCCAACAAUAGUUUAUUAAUUGUUUCCUCAAUAAUUGUGCAUUUAUAGAACACUUAACAAAUUUAUUCUAUGUUAACCCAACAAUAAUUUAUUAAUUGUUUCCUCAAUAAUUGUGCAUUUACAGAACAUGUAUCAAUUUUAUUUCAUGUCACAGUAAUAAAAGCCAUUUUUAAAGUCACUAAAGCCAACAACAAUUUAUCAAUUAUUCCCUUGGUAAUUUUGCAUUUCCAGAACACUUCAAAAGCAAAUAAUUAACCACAAAAAAUCAACUUUCAUAGGUUUCACUUUUUAUACCACCAAUUAUGAAUUCAGUCAACAUGUCCAAUAAAUACAUCAAAACUAUAGCAGCUGUUAAAAAACAAACAAAUAAUUGAUGAAAAUAGCCCUAACAUCCAAUAACAAUUGCAGGAUAACCGCUUGACAAAAAAAACCACUGUGCAUAGGGCAACUUUUCCUUUAUAUUGUUAGAUAUGUAUAUCUCUAUUACUCACUAAUUUCAAUAAAUAUAGGCCUAUUUCUUUUUCCAUUAAUAUUAGAUCAUUAAUCCACAGUAAAAGACGUGUAUUAUUACAUUAUUUUUCAAAUUUCGAGUACUUUAAUUUUCAAAUGUAAGAAAUAGUCUAAUUAAUGUUACAUGUUUAAAUAAAUAAUAUAAAAAGAUCAGCACACAAUAUCGCUUUUCAAUUUACAGCAAUUUAGAGCCAUUAGAGAAAACAAAUAUGUUAAAAAAUUUUAUAAUAAUUAUAUAUACACUAAACAUGGAUAUAUUAGUAAAAUAACAAACUAAUUAUUCUUUUAAAAAGGAAAUAGACUCAUAAUGUAGCACACAUAGAAGACAAAAGUAAGCUCAUGUUUAUAGAAUAUAUAUAUAUAUAUAGAAUGAAAAGUAUAAUAAUAAAAAUAAGGGAAUUAAAAUUUUUCCAAUAAUUAUAUAAACUAAAUAUGUAUAUAUAGACUAAUAUAUAUCCUUCUAAUUGUAUGUUUGAAAAAGCUAUAGAAUUAGAAACCAUUUUUAGUUGAAACGUAUAUGGCAUCUUAACCAAUUUUGCUUACUUAUAUGACGAUAAUGUUGGACUUGUUUUUUUUUCCCUCUAGCUCAAGAAUUACAGCAUAAUCGCUUGACCAAAAUGGAGCUAUUCAUUAUCCAAUUCUCCCUUUUAUAUAUUUAGAUUAGAUAUAUAUAUAUUGGAGAGCCUGAUAGAGAUUUUCUUCUUUUUUUUUUCUUUUUUUUAUGGUUUUCUUGGUGAGGCGGCCCGGGGUGGGUUGUAUUGGAGAAGAUAAAAGGGCAUAUGGCAGAGCUCUAAAACAAGGCCUGCAGCAUUACUUACAAUAGAGAGCGUACAGGUACAGCUCUCUUUUGUGAGUCCUAGCCCGUGUAGCCCACAUAGCACAAUAAUACAGCUAACAAGCCUCAGUCACAGCCAGACCUUUUUAUUGCCACUGGCCAUUUGGUCUAGUGGUCAUCACCAUUAAAGGUGAUGCUGGAGGUCAGGGGUUCAAUCCCUGCCUCCCACAAAUUUGUCACAAUUUGUGGCGGUCUUAAUUGACCUUCAUCGAUGGAGUCUGUACUCACAUCGAACCCCCUCCCUUUCCCCUUAGACUAGGCUAGAUUAGGUUAUAGGACAUCUAUCGUUUCGAUAAAAAAAAAAACAGCCAGACCUUUUUAUUGAAAUAUAAUGCCAAGAGCCAUCUUAAUAAUUGUUAAUGUCUUUUUCCAGCAAAAGAGAAUCAAUGAAAUAGCCAGCUUAACCGAUUCUUCCUAAAGCCAGAGCCAGCCACAUGACAAAAGACCAAAAUGCCGCUUGACAAUUGCCCUCAAAGUUGCCCAAAAUUACGUGAUAACCGCUUGACCAAAAUUGCACUGUUCAUUAUCCAACUCCCGUUUUUAUAUAGUUAGAUAUAGAUAUAUAUUAGAUACAGAUAUUAAUAAAAGUCAAGAUAUAUUGAUGAAUCUUUGUAAUUAAUAAUGAACACGAUGUUGACAAAAAAAAGUCAAUGGCAGUAGGCAGAAAAGCAGGCAUCAAUGUGCACCAUGUUGAAGGUAACCAUGGUAUAGAUAUAGAUAUUUGUAAUUAACAAGGUAUACCGUGUUGAUCAAUAAAAGUCAACGGCGGGUAAUCACAGAGGAGCUAGAAACCAAAAUGAAAUGAAGGAGAUCAGUAAAUUAAUCACAAGAUGCCCUGAACUUAUAAGGAAGACAAUUAGUGCAAUAAUACACCAUAUUUUAUAGAUGGGAAUCUGCAAGUGGUGGAGUCGGGUAAGAAAAAUUAAGACUCUGCUGAUGCAAUUGUUGGGCUCCAAGCUUCAAAAUAAUGCACUGAUGAGAAUAAUGAGUUGGAGCCAGCAAAAUGAAUUCGAUCAUUUGCAGUAUGAUUAUUGUGGUUAUUUAUUAGUGUGAACACGCGUGAUUGGAAUGAGCAUUUGUUUAUUUAUGCAGAAAAAGUGAUAUUGUUAACGUUAUUUUUUCUAAAUAGCAGCUCGCACAACUAAUUCUAAUGCUUCGCCCAAAUUAAAAAAUAGCUUUUCACUAUUUUAGCAUAGAUAUAGAUAUAGAUACUUGCAAUGCUUUUUCGGCUAAAAUGAGGUUGUACUUUAUUACUCUUAUUAUUAUGUUUUUCUUUUGGUCAAAUGAUGUCGUACUCAAAUAGAGAGGAAUUUGCCAAGGAAUAUAAGGGUUUGAAGAAGCACGGGACUUCCCCUGACCGAGCUGACCUGGUGAGCUCGGUGUGCCGAUGGAAGAGCUGGUCCCAAUCCUGCAAAACAAACAAGGGUAAACUAGCAGUGGGGGCCCGAGGGUUGUCCCCGAGGGCGCUCCGACGGUCAAAUUAGUUCCUGGCCGGCGGACGGAGCGGUUUUUGAUAAUGUAUUGUACGAGCAAUCUGCUAAUAGCGAGCGUCCCUUGCACAGUUGGUAUGUGCUACCAUUUAUACCCGCUUAGGAGUCCGACCUCCGUACGUUUCGGGACUUGCCCUGAAUAGCUCCCAAUCCCGUUCCUGGGGGGAUCCUCCCGCCCUCUGCGGGGCAGCUCUUGGGAGCAUCCCGGAGCCCUAAUGGCCGAGCCCUCUUGGACUGGUUCCCAGUGGGCCCAAGGCGCGAGCCCAGCUCGGAUUGCCCCUGGGCUGACACGUGUACGGGCCCAGGAUGGGGCCUCUGCACUAGCCCCCUAGAUUAGGUCAGGCUCCCGGGCAGACCUGGUCUAUCCCCUAGCCACGUGGAAGCCCAUCAUUACACUGCUCUGCCGCGGUCACCUCCAGCACAGGGCUGUUAUUGGGAAGCGUCGCCCGCGUACUUUCAAUGGUCGCGUCCCUUCGGUUUCCGUACCUCCCUUAAGUGCGUUCACAUGGGGCGGUUCAAAUUCAAGCAAACCGUUUCCCCCCAUUUCGUCCCCUAUAAAUAGUGGCUGCCAAAAUCCGGUAAACUCUAUUUGCCAUUUUCUCUUUCCCCAUGCGUUUACAACUUCAGUAGUGCAUUUCCGGCCAACCAGGACCCAGAUUCCGGCGACCCUUCCCCCCCUUUUCUACUCCAGUCAUCAGUAAGUGUUUCCCCCUCCUUUCUCGCAUUUUCUUUCUUCCUCUUGCCGUCCUCUGCGUUUGUAUGUCGGGCCUCUCCGACGUGACUUCCUCCAACUCCCAGACUCCCCCCCGCCGUAAAGCCACCAGGAUCUUCAUUUCCUCCUCAUCUCCAUCUUCAUCAUCUCCCUUUCCUCCUCCUUCUUCAUCUUCUGCUUCCAACCCUAACUUUCCCCUUCCCGACUUGCUCGAGCUCAUCGACAUCAUGAGUUCCCCAUCUGCCCACUCCCCUUCUGCCCGGCUCCUGGAGGAGGUGGCCGAGCUUGACGCCCUCAUCAGGCGGCAAGCCGUCUCCACCCCUCCUCCCCAGUCCCCUAACGAUUCCCCCGGCGGAGCCCGGGGUGGAGCUGGGGAGGACCGGGGCUCCUCUGGGGGGAUCCCCGCUUCCGAGCAGGGGGAGGACCCCGAGUUCUCCUACGGGCAUCCUGACCUGCAGGAGGCCACCCUAUCGCCCCAGGCUGUGGCCGAGCUGGCCAAGUCUUAUUCCAUCCCUCCGGCCUACGAGCCGAGGGCGGCCGGGCCCGGCGAUUGGGCCUGCAGACCUCCCUCCGGCUUCGUUGCCAUCUACAGGGAGCAGCUCAUCGCAGGGUUUCGUCUCCCCAUUCCUUCAGCUCUAACCGAGAUUCUGAGCUACUGGGGGCUCAGAAUCACUCAAGUCCACCCCACCUCCAUCAGGAUCAUUACCGGAUUCCUGAUCUACUGCCUGCUCCGCGAUAUCCCCUACUCCCUUUCCCUCUUCCGGGCUGCCUUCAUACUUAAGGCCGCCCUACCCGGGUGGUACUACUUCUCCCGCCGCGGUCCCCAAACCCGGGGAGGGAAAGGCGCCCAAAAGCUAUUCCACGGGGUCCCUUCUUCCGUAAAAAGUUGGAAGGAAGACUUCUUCUUUGUUAAGUCCACCCAUUUUCCCCCCAACGUGUGGAAGGUUGGAAAAGUCCAAGCCGAUUCCUUCCCGGAGGACCUGGACUAUGAAACCCUCAGCCAGCUGUCGGAAUCCCUGGUGAAGCUUGACGCCACCAAGUUCUCUACAGCACAGAUCUCCGCGGCCGGGCUGAUGGGGACGUUGUCUGAAUCCUCCGGGGAGGUGGUGACCCCCGAGCCCAACCUCGACACCUGUAACGCCAACUUUGCCCUUUUUGCCUGUUGUAUCCACAGCAUGUCGUAAUGCUAUAGGCUGUCCGGCCUUUUACUGACUUAGCCGUGUUUUCUGCAGUGAGGAAGCUCUCCCUGCUGCUGGGCCUGCCUGCCGAGGAGGACACCCCCGCUUCCCAUCCAGACGAGGAAGCCCCCGGGGCGCCUCCGACCUCGGGGGGAGGCCAAGCCCCCCAGACACAAACGCAAGACACCUCCUCCCCCUCCAAGAAGGCCGCCAACAACAAGAAAAAGGCGACCGGGCAGAAGAGGGGUCGAGCCGACGAGCCCUCCCAGCCCGGGAAGAAGCUCGCGCUGGUUCCGGUCCAGCCUCCUCCCCUCCGGAUGUCUUCGGGGGGUCCAGUCCAUUUGGGCGUCGGCUCCGCCGAGGAGCACGCCCUGCAGGCCCCCCCGAGCUCGUGGCACUUCCGCCACGUGGCCCCCCUGAAGCCGGGCCAGGCCCCCACUAUGCACGACCCCCGCCGUUUCUGCCCGUCCUGGGAGCUCUCCAUCAACGACCGAGCCCAAUUCCCCGAGGUGGCUCGCCAGUGGGUGACGGGCUCGGUCCUCCCCCGGGACAGGAGGUGGAUGGAGCUAGCCUCCCCCUCCGAGCUCCAGGAGGUGUACUGCACCUCCCAGGCCCAAGUAAGUUUUCCGACCUCAGAGCCGUCCUUGCUUUUGACCCCUCACUCGGCCGCACCUCAGACUAACUCCUUCCUUUCUCCAGGCCCACGCUGCUGGAGCCGCCUUGCUGUCUCGCUUCUCCGAGCUAUCUCCCGAUUUGGAGAAACUGCAGAAACAGAAAAGGGAGGCGGAGCAAAGGCUCACUCAGGCCCUCAAGGAGGCGGACUCCCUUGCGGCCAAGCUGGGCAAAGCCGAGAAGGAACUGGAAACGGCCCAAGUCCAGCUCGCCUCCACAAGGUCAGAACUCGACCAGGAGAAGGCCGGCGUGGCCAAGCUGAGAGAAGACCACGCCAUCGAGCUCUCGGGCACCGUCGGCAGGGAGCGCAAGAAGGCCGUCCGGGAGUUCAUCUCCUCUGACCAGUUCAUCCAGGACGUAGCGCUCCUCAACGGGCCCAUCGCCCAAGUUGGCUUCGCGCGCGCCCUGAGCAGGGUCAAGGAGCUCGGCCUGCCUGGCUUCGACCUGGCCGCCUUCAAGGAGUACGACCCCAAGGCCGAGGAGAAGGUGGACUGGCUCUUCGACGGGUAUUGCAAGGGACACGCCCUGAAAGAGCUGGUGCGCCGGAAGGACGUUGGGGCCGACCUUGAGGAGCUGCCCCUAGAGAAGGACGGGGACCCGGGCCGAGCUCCGGGGAAGGAGCCGGUAGCCUAGGCAGCCAAGUUUCCUUUUUCUUCAGUAGGCAGUGUAAUAGAUAGGCCGAUAUCACACCUUUUGUAAUAGAUAGGCCUUAAGUAUAUAUACAAAAUUCGAAGCAAGUCUUCUUGCGACUCUUUUCGCACCUGACUUAUGACCCCACCCCUCAAGCCGAACACGUUAAAACUGUGCCGGCCUUCUGGGUCGAGCACCAUACCUUCCAAGUAUCCCCAUCGCGCCGACCUACUGGGUUGAUCACGUCUGAGAUUGUGCCGACCUCCUGGAUCGAGCAUCAAACCCUCCAAAAUCCUCAUCGCGCCGACCUCCUGGGUCGAACAUGUUUAAGACUGUGCCGACCUCCUGGGUCGAACACGUUUAAGAUUGUGCCGACCUCUUGGGUCGAGCACCAAACCUUCCAAGUAUCCCCAUCGCGCCGACCUACUGGGUCGAUCACGUCUGAGAUUGUGCCGACCUCCUGGGUCGAGCGUCAAACCUUCCAGGACACAAAACACCCACUACUAUUCCCCUAGCCCCCCACUAGGACAUUUAGAUAGGGACGCUAAGUGUUCUAGUGCGAAAUCAAAGCUCAGAAGGCAAAGAAGUACAAAUGAAACAAGAAACUUGAAAGUCGAGCCUUUAUUGAAUCACAAAACUGAAAUUCGAAUUCCGCAGAACAAACGACCGUCCACCCUGGUCUAACCUAUGCUACAAACAGUCGCAGGUUGGAAAAGUGCCAAGUGCGGGGUACCUCAGAUCCGUUCAUGUUGGCGAGUUUACAGUAACCUGCUCGGCCCACCCCAAGGACCUUGUAGGGGCCCUCCCAGUUUGGGUCGAGCUUGUUGGAGCUGUGAGCUCGGCUGACCGAAUUCUUCCUUAGGACAAGGUCCCCGGGCUGGUAUUGGGUAGCCCUUACUUUGGCAUUGUGAUAACGAGCGAGCUGGCCUUUAUACUUAGCCAUGCGAACCGCCGCUUCCUCACGCUUAACCUCGAGCAUGUCCAAGUUGUACCGGAGCUCUUCCUCAUUGGACGUCGCCACGAAGUUCUGUGUUCUGGGCGAAGGGAGACCGACCUCCGCGGGCACCACUGCCUCUACUCCGUAAGUUAAAGAAAACGGGGUCUCAUGGGUGGCCGUCCGGGGCGUAGUGCGGUAAGCCCAGAGGACACUGGGGAGCUCGUCCAGCCAGCUCGACUGGGCGGACGCCAACCUGGUCUUCAAUCCCUGCAGAACGGUUCGGUUAGCGUUCUCCACCUGACCAUUGGCCUGGGGGUGACCAACUGACGUGAAGUGUUGGUUGAUCCCGAGCUCGACGCACCAGCUCCGGAAGGGGUUCUCAGCGAACUGGCGGCCGUUGUCGGAUAUCAAGACGUGCGGGAUGCCGAAACGGCAGACAACGUUCCUCCAAAAGAAUUUCUGGAUCGCCUUUCCCGAGAUGGAGACUAGGGGCUCUGCCUCUAUCCACUUGGUGAAGUAGUCAAUAGCCACCACGAGGUGCUCGUACCUUCCUGGAGCUCGGGGGAAUGGUCCCAGGAGGUCUAUUCCCCAUUGAGCGAAAGGCCAGGGACUGUGAAUGGGGAUCAUUUCCCGAGCUGGCUGGUGACGUAAUGAAGCGUGCACCUGGCAGGCUCGGCAUCUCUGUACCAGCUCUGCGGCGUCACGGAAGACGGAGGGCCAAUAAUAGCCCAGGAGGAGGCACUUUUUGGCCAGCACCCGGGACCCCACAUGUGCCGCACAUAUACCUUCAUGGGCUUCACGCAGGACGUAGUCUCCUUCCUCGGGAGUCAAAAACUUUAGCCAGGGGGACAAGUACGACCUCCAGUAGAGGGUUCCCCCGGCGUAGGCGUAUUUGGCAGCUCGGACUUGGAUUUGUCGAGCCUCAAUUUUGUUCUCAGGGAGGGUACCCGAGCUGAGGAAGUCAACGAGGGGAGCCAUCCAGGUGGCCGAGCUAUCCACCGCCAGGACCUGGACCUGGCCGAUACUCUUCUGCUUCACCACCUCCACCAAGACCUCCUUGCUUAGGUGGGCGAACGAGGAGGACGCCAGCUUGGACAAGGCGUCCGCGCGCUUAUUUUGGGACCUUGGCACCCGCUCGAUCUCAAAAUUAUCGAACAGGGCCACCGCCUCUCGUACCUUGGCUAGGUAUUUCUUCAUUACCUCGUCCUUGGCCUCAUACUCCCCACGGAUUUGGAGGACGACGAGCUGAGAGUCGCUUCGAACCCGGAUCGCGGUAAUGCCCAUCUGGUGGGCUACCCGCAAUCCCGUCAACAGGGACUCGUACUCCGCCUCAUUGUUGGACGCGGGGAAAUCAAACCUGAGCGCAUAAGUCAGUUCUUCCCCUGUGGGCGAGGUGAGCAACAGGCCAGCCCCGCUGCCCUCCUUGCUCGAGGCGCCGUCCACGAACAACACCCACGGCUCCAUUGUCGGGGUGUCCGGGGGUGUUGGGACUAGUUCCGCCGGGGUCAGGCUAGCUCCUUCGGCCAGGAAGUCCGCCAAGGCCUGAGCCUUAAUCGCGGUACGGGGCCGAUAACUGAGGUCGUGUUCGGCCAGCUCGACGGCCCAUUUGGUCAUCCUGCCCGAGACCUCGGGCUUAGUGAGUAUCUGGCGCAAGGGCUGGUUGGUCAAGACUGCGAUGCUGUGAGCUUGGAAGUAAGGCCGGAGCUUGCGAGCAGCGUGCACUAAGGCCAGAACCAGCUUCUCGGCCGGGCUGUAUCGCGUCUCUGGCCCUUGUAAUGCUCGGCUGACGUAGUACACCGGUCUCUGAGUCCCCGCGUCCUCCCGUACCAAGACCGCACUGACGGCCUCGUUGCAAGUGGACAGGUAUAGGAAUAGUGUCUCCCCCAGCUCAGGGGCGGUCAGGGCGGACAGCUCGGCCAGAUAGGCCUUGAGGUCGGCGAAAGCUUUCUGGCACUCCUCGGUCCAGUGAAAGUCCUUUGGCCCUUUCAAGAUCCGGAAAAAGGGGAGCCCCCGAACCGCGGAGCGCGAGAGGAACCUGUUUAGGGCAGCCAUCCUCCCUGUGAGUCGUUGGACUUCCUUCACGUUCCUCGAAGGGGCCAUGUCCAUAAUGGCCUGUAGUUUGUCCGGGUUGGCCCGGAUUCCAUCUCGGGAUACCAGAAAACCGAGGAACCUCCCCGACCUGACCCCAAAGGUGCACUUCUUCGGAUUUAUGCGCAUCCGGCUCUCCAGCAGGAUUUCCAGAAUCUCCUUUAGGUCGGGUAUAAGGCGCUGAUCAACCCGGCUUUUAACUAUCAUGUCGUCCACAUAGACCUCCAUGCUUUUACCGAUCUGGCCUUGGAACAGCUUGUUGACCAGGCGCUGGUAGGUAGCCCCCGCGUUCUUCAAGCCGAAUGGCAUGGUUCGGUAACAGUAGGUCCCCUCCUCGGUGAUGAAGGAGGUCUUAUCUCGAUCUUCCUCAGCCAUUUCUAUCUGGUGAUAUCCCUUAAAGGCAUCCAGAAAGCACAAAACGUCAAAACCCACGGUAGAAUCUACUAACCUGUCGAUCCUUGGCAGGGGAAAGCAGUCCUUUGGGCAGGCAUUGUUAAGGUCCGUGAAGUCCACGCACAUCCUCCAGGUCUGAUCCUCCUUUUUGACCAGGACAGGAUUGGCCAACCAGGUCGGGUAGUGGACCUCCAUGAUGAUCCUCGACUCCAGUAACUUGCCGACCUCCGCCUUGAUCACCUCAUUUCUCUCGGUAGCGAAGCUCCUUUUCUUCUGCUUUACCGGCUUGAAGUGAGGAUCCACGCCAAGGUGGUGGACUGCCAGGUCCGUUGGAAUCCCAGGCAUGUCGUCCACUGACCAGGCGAAGACCUGGGAGUAUUCCCUCAAUAGAGCUUUCAAACCCUCCUUCUCCUUGGCGGGCAACAGGGCUCCAAUGCGGAGAACCUGAUCGGGCCGAUCCUCCCUUAAGGGGAACUCCUCCACCUCAUCUUGGGUACCCAGUUGCUGGGCCUCAUCCCCUGGGAUGUAGGGUUCCAAACAGGUUGUCUGGGCGACCACCUUCUCCUGCCCCCGAAGCGUGGCCAGGUAACAUGCCCUGGCUACCGCUGGGUCGCCCCGCACCUCGGCUAUUCCCCCAGGGGUGGGGAACUUGAUGCUGAGGUGGAAAGUAGAGGAGAUAGCCCGGAGGGCGUUCAAAGCGGGUCUCCCCAAGAACAAAUUGUACGGGGACGACUGCUUGACCACCACGAAAUCAACGAGGAUGGUCCGGCACCUGGGGGCCUGUCCUACUGUGACCAUCAGGGUGAUCAUCCCCUCCAAGCUGAUGGGUGGUCCGGUGAAGCCCACCAGAGGCGUCCGGACCGGGGUCAGCUGGUCGUCCCUUAGUCCGAGCUCCUUGAACACCCUAUAGAACAUAAUGUCAACCGCGCUACCCUGGUCGACAUACACCUUCCUCACCCGAUAGUUGUUGGUGACGAUGUCUAUCACGAUGGCUUCGUGGUUCCCUGCGGCCAGGGGGACUGCAUCCCUGGGUCCAAAGGUAAUUUCCUCGUCCAUGCGCAAGCGCUUCAAGGAGUCGUCCCCCUCGGUGGGAGGUCGCUUGUUCUUCCGAGCCGCAUGACUGUCCCCCCCCGUGGGGCCUCCGGCGAUGGUGUUUAUCACCCCCGCCAGGUUCUGGGUGUCCCGGUCGGGAGAGCAGUCCCGAGGGGCGUCACGCCGCUCCGGGCGGUCGCGCCGCCGUCCCUCGUGCCUAUCUCCGUAGUGGUUGCGUCCAAGCCCCUGACCUGGUCGGCGCACGAACCCCCCUAGAAAACCGCGCUGGAUCAGGUCCUCGAUCUCCUUGCGCAGGGCCCAGCACCCCUCCGUGUCGGGCCCGACGUCGCGGUGGAAGGCGCAGUACCGGUCCUGGUUCCUUUUGUUCCGGGGCGUCCCCAUCUUGGGCGGCCGAUCUCCCAGCCCUUCCGCCUCCAUAACGGCUAAGAUCUGGGCUCUGGGCCGUGUUAGAGGGGUGUAGGUCUUCUCUGGGAGGGGCGGCGGAGCUGGUGCCCUAUCCUUGGAGAGACGGUCGAAGACGUUCUUCCUGACUUGGCCGUCCUUAGAUUCAGGAGGGUUUGCCCGUCCUUUCCUGUCCCCGAACUCCCGAUCUGAUUCCCGUUUCAGGCGGCCGGCCUCCUCUGCAUUGGCGGCGGCGUGAGCCCGGGUCAAGAGCUCUCCCAGGUUCUUGGGAGGUUGUUCGACAAGCUUGUAGUAGAGAUCCUCUACCCUCAACCCGUUCAUGAAGGCGGCCAUGACUACCUUUUCGUCCUUAUCCCUGAUCUGCAGGCUCUCUGUGUUGAAGCGCGUCAUGAAGUUCUUCAGGGACUCAUCCGGGUUCUGCUUAACGGCCAUCAGGUGGGCCGCAUUCUUCGAGUAGGUCUUCGAGGAAACGAACUGGGCGGCGAACUGUCUGGCCAGCUCGGUGAAACUCUGAAUAGAUCCCGGUGCCAGACCCUGAAACCAGAGCCGCGCCUUACCCUUGAGAAACAUGGGGAAGGUCUUGCAGCGGAGGGCAUCCGCGGCGUUUUGCAGACGCAUGUGCGUCAGGAAGACCGAGAGGUGGUCCUCCGGGUCGGUCGAACCAUCGUACAGCUCGAUGUUCGGGAUUUUAAACCUCCGGGGUAACGGGUAGUUCUCGACCUCCCGGGUGAAGGGCGAGGCUGCGUAGUUGUCCCCGUACGGUUGUGGUCGCAGGAUCUGCUCGAGCUCAUCCCGGACGGGCUGCCACUGGGGUGGGUCGCGCGGGCGACUCCUGACAGAUCGGGCGGGGGAGCGUGCGAGCCCAUUUCGCGUAGGUUUCCGUGGGGAGGGGUCCCUUGGUCGGCUCCCCACGGACCGGUCGUGGGAGUACCUCUCGCUAUCCCCGACCACCGAAGCUCGGUGACGAGGGGGAGUCCGCGGCCGUUUCCUCCUAGGGGGCUGGUCCUGUGACCCAUCCUCCGAAGGGUCAGGGAUCGACUCCUUCUCCUUCCCCUUCCCCUGGACUUUGGAAGUUGGUGCGCCCCCCGCCUCCUUUCCUCCUUUUGCCUGCCGGAUUAUAUCCUCCAGCAUGGGGAGAUUCUCUGUCACGAACUGGAGCAUCUGCCGUCUCCGGUCCCCUGAGAGGGCCGAGCCCCCAGCGCCCCCGGCCGCUUCGUUCUCCUCUCGACGGGACCCCUCCCCGGCCCCGGCUCCGGUGCUUUCAACGGUUUGCUUGGACCGUGUCCUCGCCAUCAACACUAACAAUUACCUUUCGGUUCCCACAGACGGCGCCAACUGAAGAAGCACGGGACUUCCCCUGACCGAGCUGACCUGGUGAGCUCGGUGUGCCGAUGGAAGAGCUGGUCCCAAUCCUGCAAAACAAACAAGGGUAAACUAGCAGUGGGGGCCCGAGGGUUGUCCCCGAGGGCGCUCCGACGGUCAAAUUAGUUCCUGGCCGGCGGACGGAGCGGUUUUUGAUAAUGUAUUGUACGAGCAAUCUGCUAAUAGCGAGCGUCCCUUGCACAGUUGGUAUGUGCUACCAUUUAUACCCGCUUAGGAGUCCGACCUCCGUACGUUUCGGGACUUGCCCUGAAUAGCUCCCAAUCCCGUUCCUGGGGGGAUCCUCCCGCCCUCUGCGGGGCAGCUCUUGGGAGCAUCCCGGAGCCCUAAUGGCCGAGCCCUCUUGGACUGGUUCCCAGUGGGCCCAAGGCGCGAGCCCAGCUCGGAUUGCCCCUGGGCUGACACGUGUACGGGCCCAGGAUGGGGCCUCUGCAGGGUUCAAAUUUUAUCUAUUAGAAACCAGCUUCCUUAAUUUCAAAGACAGAAGAUGAUUAGAGAUCCCCUACAUUAAUAAAGAAAAAAAAAACGCCAACCAAUCGUUCUUGAUUGCCCACUUGUUGCUAAAUCUUAUCGUCAGCAUUGGUUCUUAGUUGCCUGCAUACUUCUCAUCUUUUAAUUUUUCAAUUAAUUAGACUGGAAAUGAAUACGAGUUCCACUUCUUUGCUAAAAAAGUUAUUAGCAGAAGUAAAAUUUAUUAGCAGAAGUUAUUUUAUAGCCCAUGAUCCCGUGUGCAAUAUUGCAAUGCAACAUGGGCAAAUAGCUAAGCGAGAAGACAAAAGAGAUAGAGAUGCCGAGCCUUAGCACCUAGAAUGAGAAAUAGAUGUUUUAGUCAUUCAGUUAUAUCAGAUUGAUUAAUUAGAGUUAUCACGGGAAAAUUUGGCAUCUAAAAUACAAGUUUUUUGAACUUAUUUCACAUAUAAGUAGUAAUAUACUAGUAAUGAAGAAUGUAAACCUGUAAAGGGUUUGUCUAGUUGGUAGUGCACCAAAUAAGAGGUGGAUCCAAAGUAAUUUUUUCCUAUCAAAGUGUUGCAACUUAAGUGGUGAAUGAUAAUUUUAAAACUUUAAUAGUUCACCUACCUUCUUGUUUUAAUUAUAUUUAAAUCAUAUAUAUCUACCUUGUAUAUAAAAAGAAAGCCAAGUUACUGUAGCUAACCAUCUUUUUGACACAUGUAUUGUAUAUAUUUUUGACAAGUGGACCUUUGAUUAUUUUACCAAAAUUUUUUCCUUCCCCUUUCUUGAUUCAAUUGGACUAAAGGAUUAAAAUAUUUUUUCUCCUUGAGAAAAUCAACUCCAUCUCUUCUUUUUCUUCUUGCAGUAACUACUGUCAUCCCUCACCUUUUUUAUUUUUUAUUUUUUAAAACUAAUCUAACUAAGAUUGUUGCCAUGUUCUUUUUUUUUUUUUUUGUCAAGAUGAUAACUACUUAGCAAAAAGAAUUCUUUAUUAUUUUUUAUCCCAUUUUACAUUUUCUUUUCUUCCUUUUUUUCUUCAUCUCUAAUCUCUCAUGUUUGCUCUAUUUUUUUUUAUCAUAAUGUUAUAGCCAACUGGCAUUUGUUUGUUAAAUUUAUAGGAUGAUGUUUUACUUGGUAGUUCUUCAUGGAUAAAAGGUGAAAUAUUAAAAUAUGUAUAAAAAAAAUUUAGAAUUCAUUUUAUACCAAUGAUCAUUUUCUAUGAAUAAUAGAACAAAAAUUCAUUCUUUUAUUUUCUUCUCCUAUGAUUUGAUUUCUUACUUCACAUUUUGUUUCCUUUUCUUUGUUUUUUGGUUACAUUUUGUAAUUAUCUACAAUUUUCUGUAUUUGUUUAGGAGAAAGAUAUAUCAUAUGAUGUUUCCACCAAGAUAAAUCUAGCUAGGCAUUUUUGUUUGUUUUUUAAUUACUCAAGUGUUGUAGUAUGAAUUGGGUUGGUAUACAAGGAUUGCAGUCGGUGGUGGAAGUCACAAUUGAGGCUUUCGGCCUAGAGUGUGACUUGACAAAAAAUUGUUAGAAAUUUCAAUUUUGAUUAGGAAGAUGUUUUUGCAAUAAAAAAAUAGUUCAAUUCUAAUUUGUAUAUGUAGACCAGGAAACAUGGCAAUUCAUAUUUUUAUCUAACCUUGCUAUUUAUAUUCAGGAGCUGCAGGAUAAUGUUAUCACCUUUAGGCAGAAUUUAAAUAGAUGAACUGGAUUCUUCUAUCAAAAGAAAGAAAAAUAUGCAAGUUUAUAGUAAGCUAUAUUGAUGUUGAAGAUUGUGCCAUGUUUUAGUAGCUUCCUAAAUUUUUUCUCAUUAUUAAAGUACUAAAAGUAUUACGACUGCUUUUGAUUUAGUUUUAACUAAAACUAUACUACUAUUAAUACACCAAUGCACUUAUAGUCUAUUAAGUUUCUCUCCUUUUUGGGUAUCAUCAUAAUAGUGGUUCAAAAAUCUUUAUUCAAAUCACAAUAAAUAGAGAGGUUGACUUCAUAGAUGGAAUUUCUCUUCACAACAAAUUUUGAGAGAAAUUUUAUUUAUACUCCAUAUUGUGUUAAUUGUGUUCCUACAAAAAACAAAAACUAUACGAUAAAAAUAAUAGCGAAAGUAUGAUUAACAAAAAUGAGAGUUCAAAUAAUAUUUGUCAAAUUUAAUUGCUUUGAUGCUCAAUUUUUCUCAUAUAUUUCUAUUCAUUCAUCAUGUGUCAAAAUAAUUUGAUGCUAUGCAUUCGACGGGCAACGGGCAUUUUGGUCAUUUUACACAGCGCGUAACUUUGAUUGCACACGACGUAACUUUGUUUGCACAACGUGUAACUUUAGUACAAAAAAUUACGGGCCCCACACACGUGAAAAUCGAUGUACAACUUGUAAUCUGGACCGCACAUUUUUUUUGACCAAAAUCUAGCCGUUGACUGUUCAGGCAUUCAGGGACGGUCCCUGCCCCUUGUCCGCAUUCGACUAAAUUUCUAGGGGGCCCAAACUGUGCUUUGCACAGUUCAAGUACCUCUAGUAUAUAUAUAUAUAUUAAAUAUCCAAUAAUUCUGGCAUGUCCACGUGGAACAAGCUAAGAAUCUUCUGUUAGAAAUAUCUUCAUUGAACCACUUUUUACUCUUUUCUUGUUAUAUUCCUACAAUCAACAUCAAUUGCCAAAUAUGAGUUUAAUCAAUCCAAUAAUGCAAUAUUUAGCCAAAAUCACAAGAAAAUAUUAACAAUUUCAAUAACCACUAUGCACCCUAUAACAGUCUAACAGUUAUGUGAUUAAUGACCGGAAGAAUGAUUGGUGUAUGUUAAUUUGUCACAAAUAUUUGUAAAAUGAGCAAAACUUAGGAUCCAAUAGCUUGUAUACUUGCAAGAAACUACUACACAAACAAACGAUAAUUCUUUUGGCCGGAUUGUGAUCAAAGCAUCUUAGUAUAAGCUAGAAUCUUGUACUAAUUGAUGACAAACAUCUAUGAAAUAGUUAGAGACUUACUCUCAUCCUAGCAAAUCAAUUUCUUAACUUGAGGUGUAUAUGAUAAAAAAUUUGAGUUUCUGUUUAAAAAGUAUAAUUUGUGAAUUGCUAGGUUUUAUUUUUUAUUGGUUAAUAACUUUCAAAUAUUAGAUUCAUGGUUUCUUUUUAGAAAUUCCUAUAUUUUAUUUGAUAUAUUUACUUUAAUUUGACUAGAGCUGGCAAUUUGUCCCAAGUCCCAAUGGGCUACCCAUGCCCAAAGGAACUUUGGGCGGGAUGGGUAUUAUAAUUUGGUAUUGGGUUUAAGUUGGGAUACAUCCCAACUAUACCCAUUAAUGAAUGGGAAAGGGUGGGAAAUACUUGGGUAUCCAUUGGGCUCAAACAGCAAGGGCUCCGUUUGGAUUAGCUGUUUUUAGGGGGUGUUUUUGAAAUAUUUUAUUGUAGUAGUGUAUAUAAAAAAAUUUUACUAUAAAAUUUUUUUGAAAUAUUUGAUAUACUAAUAUGGAUGGGAUGUUUCUUGAGUUAUUGUAUAUUACUAUUUGAAAAACUUAUUUUUUGAAAAAAUACCCAAUCCAAACGGAGUCUUAGAUUCAAAAAUUAUCUUUAACAAUUUUUAUAGUCAUACCAGCGAAUAUAAUCUAGUAGUCUUUCUAAUCAUUAUCCACAAGAAUUUCCAGCAUUUUAAUCAAUUUAGACCUGUCAUCCUUGGACAAUGAUGAGGAUAAAUAUUCAACAUCUUAAGGAAUUUGGCCAUCUUGAUAUAUGUUGGAAUAUGGCUGUAUAUCUAUCUUUUUCUUUAUUUGUUAAUCCAAUUUUUGGUGGGAAUCUUGAGUAUAAAGCAUUUGCAUGUUUAUUUAAUAAAACUAAAAGAAAUUUAAUAAAUCAAAAAUAUUAAAAUUAUAUAAAAAUAAAAAAUGAAUUAAAGGAAAAAAAAUAUGUAGAAAAUGGAUUUGGGUAUUGGGCGGGAUCAAUCUAAACCCAUCCUAAAGUGAUCCCGCCCAAAUUAGUCCCAAAACAUAUAUGGGUAAGGUUGGGUCCAAACCCAUAUGACUCGGUUUCAUCUCAAACCCAAGCAAAUCCCGCAUAUCCCGCCCAUUUUGCCACCUCUAAAUUUGACAUAUAAGCAUUAUUCAAUGUAAUAUGCAGUAAGUUUUUUCCAGCUUCCGAUAUUGUCAAAAUUUUAUUUUCUUUUGCAAGUCAAAAUCAAAUUAGGAUUUGUUAUGCCUUAUGUUAUGUCCAGAACCUAGUAGAAUUAGAUUGAGUAGCAUUACCUUAUUUGGUAGAAACUAUGUUUCAUUAAGUAAUUUCCAUUCCAAAUCUAACUAUAUUUCAUAAGAAAAAUGUAAUAUACUUCUCUUCCUAAAAUAAAUACUUAACAAUGAUAUUACACAGUUACCCUCAACAAUAUCUAUAAGUCAUUCAAAUUUAGAGCUAGCCAUAAUUUGUUAUGGGAGGGUUAAUGUUGGAAAGAAAAAACUAAUUUUUACAAUAAUUAAUAAAGUAGAAAUAGUUCUUAAAUUUCCUUUUACAAUAUGGUUCCCUUUUUUUGGGUUUAACUUUGUUUUACAAUAUGGUAUAUGGUUUCGUUUUUUUUUUUUUUUGGUUUAACUUUGUUUGGAAUUCCUUUCUUUUUAGAAUACUAAAUUUUAGAAGACAAUAAUUACAUCAACACUAAUAUCCAUAAAUAUCCCCCCCCCACCAAUUCGUAUUUGAAAUUUAAGAUGUGCUUCAUUAUUUCAUUAUACAAGGGCAUUACUAGAAAGUGAAAACUAAAUUACUAAAACACCAAAUCACUUUGGUGCUUUUAAUAUAUAUGCAUAUAUGUAUGUAUGUAAGUAUAUAUGUAUGUGAUAGACAUUUGCACAGUGAGACUUAUUUGGCAUCUAGUCCAACAAAGCUAACAAGGCAAGCACAAAAUUAAAAACAUAAAAAUAAAACGCCUUGAAAAAUAUUAGAUAGAGAUUCAAGGGAUUGUCAACCAUGGCAUUCCAAAAGAAAAGGAAAACAACAAAUUAAAGAGGAGAAUCAUCGAGGACAUUGAAAAUUAAAACCCAAUAAAUUAACUUUCUGAUUUUGAAAUAAUGAUCAAGUGAAAGGCAUGAGCUACUAAUAACUUGGCACAUGUUUCAUUCUAUAAUUAUCAUGUCUGGAGGUUCAAUUUUUUCUUCUGAGGUUUGCCCUUUUUGGCUAGAUUAUUCUCACCUUUCACCGUCAAAUUGAAUUUUCAACGUACCAAGGUUUUCUCAAAUCGCUUCAUACAAGAUGCAUGGUAUUUGUUCUGAUUUACCAUAUCAUCUCAGCAUUUGGCAUGGGAUGAUUAGAAACCAGCUUCCUUAAUUUCAAAGACAAAAGAUGAUUAGAGAUCCCCUACAUUAAUAAAGAAAAAAAAAACGCCAACCAAUCGUUCUUGAUUGCCCACACGUUGCUAAAUCUAAUCAUCAGCAUUGGUUCUUGGUUGCCUGCAUAAUUCUCAUCUUUUGAUUUUUCAAUUAAUUACACUGCAAAAGAAUGUUAACGCAAAACUAUUAGUAUAAGUUAUUUGUUUUUUUCCCACCAAAAAAAAAAAGCAGAAUUAUAUAUAGCCCACAUCUCAUAUGGAACAACACGCAAUGCUGUAACGCCGCGAAUGCUGAGCCUUAGCACUCAGCUAUCGAGGGCUGUUAUGAGGUGAGAGGACAGGGAGCAGCAGGCCUUGAAAAAAUGAGCUAAGUUGUGCAAAGAGUGGGCUGGGAACAUUAACAUUACUUUUUGUACGUUUUCUCUUUGAGGUAAUUUUUGGUAAUAACUUUGUCCAGUGCUGAGGGAAACCCCGGUCGAUUUUGCAUUUCUAGUUUGAUAUACUAGGUGGUAGCCACUGCCCAGUUAAUGUUUAGCUAGUAAUGUUGGUAAGAAUGAAAGUACAAUCAAAUGGAACUAUAAAAUGGAACUAUAUUAUACAGGCAUAUUAAUGAAAAUUAUACGAGCCUCCCAAGUAAGAUAACCAUGAUGGCUCAGGGCUCCAUGAAGCCAUUGUUCUAGUCUUUGAAAUACAAAAGUGAAAUACAGACAGAUUCAGCAACAACUCAAGGCAUCAAUCAAGCAGUGAAUCCAGUCCUGUUCAUACAGGAGAAAAUAGAGCAGAGCAAGUAAUGCCUCCAAAGCAAAGAAAAAACUGCAACAAAAGCAAAGCAAGCAAACGCAAAAAUUAUGACAAAACGAAAGCAGACAGCUGUAUUAAUGCACAUAUAGCCUCACGAAAUGUGAAGCUAGGAUUGAGGUUUACAAAAUCGCGGAAAUGUGAAGCUACUUUUUCUAGUUGGAGAACAAGAAUCAUCUACAUCCAAUCUUGAUUGAACUACUGAUGUAUAACUACUUCUUCCCUGUUUACAUAAUGACAUCACAUCACGCAGCAAGAAAAGUAAAUAUUAGAGCACCCUGUGAGACAUUUUCAAAUCUGAAUUACCUUCAAAGGGAACGUCUGUGUAUACAAGUCAACUUUCUGGUCAUCGCCAGAUACUCUAGUAAUCUGCCUCACAAACUUUGUUUCCACAUUAUAUACAAGCUGCAAUUUUGAAUCAAUAAAUGUCAUACAUCUUGACGUGAUGUAGCACAAACUCCCAAAAAAUAAAACAUAAUCAAGUUUUGCUUUAAAGCAUAAUAUGAAACAUAAAUCAAAGUACCUGAACAACAUAUUCAAAUAAAUACAGGGUACACUGGGUAAGCAUGUACCUACCUUCCUUAUAUCAGGAUCAUUCCAAGGACUCAUAUUAGAUGAGAGGCAUCCUCCUUCAACUGGAUAUAAGCAAGCUAACAAAUCAAUUUCAAAUCAAGUAUUAAAUAAUCUGCAAUAAAUGAAAAUUUUCUUACUAAAAAAUUUAGAGACUACAAAAUUACAAGGAUCUCAUGGUAAAAGAAACAUUAAGUAAACAACAGUACAUCAAAAGACUAAACAUACCUAAUUAAGGAGAAAAAGGCUAAACAUAGAACAAACUUAAGUAGCGUUAAAGCUGGUGAGAAUAAUCCAAGCAGCUUCCCUCCUAUCACUACCAGCGAUCAGCUUAACACAAAAUACCUAUUAGAAACACCAUAUCAGUUUUGGAUACUCAAAAUACCCAUAACAAAAAACAAAAAAACAUUGCAAUCAUAGGUUCUGAACCAAGUACAAUCCCUGCAUGCAUAAAAAUCUUUCCUUCUUAUACAGGAUGAUGGCACAUAAACAUUAAGAAAUAAUAUCAUUUUCCAUUGAAUGCCUUCUGCACAGAAUAUUUGAGACAAAUAAAUGGAGCAAGAAGUAAAAAUCUGGAACCCAUACAACAAAUUGAACAAAAGGUGAGAUGGCAAAAAAAAAAAUCAGAGUUAAGAGAUUGGCUAAAUAAACACAGUUUUGGCAGGAACAAAAAGUAAAAACCACAGGUAAGAAGAGGGAGCAGGGAGCGUGGAAAAUAUGGAAAUGAGGGCCACAUAACGCUAACUGUACCUCGAGGAAGUACUGGUGGGGAGCAGGCUGGUGCAGGAGAAGGGACCGAAGCAACAUAUGUGGACUGGUUGAGAACCAAAUCAUUUGUGGCAAGAUUUAACAAGGUUGAAUCCAGGAGGGAACUAUCCACAGGAUCAGCCAAGAGAACGCCAGUCUGGGUAUAACCUAAGGCAGUUCUAGAGAAAUAGUCGUGCUAUUUUGGCUAGGCCUUUGAAACCGAGUUGCCUCAGCAGAACAAGGCACAGUUGUGCCUGUUUUUUUUGAGGCAUUGCGUUCACGGCGGCGACGAAGAAGUUCAACUUUCUGCUCAUGUGGCAUUUCUGCAUACCUUUUAUGCCUUCUAGCAUUUCUAUCCAGCCUUGGAUAACGUGCAUUCAAGAAAUAUUAAAACGGACAGCACGAAGAUAUACGUUUGGUAGGGAAUGCAAAAAAACAUCGGAGGAAACGCAAGAGUUAAAAGUGCAAGCUAAGUGCAGGAAAAGAAAGGAAGCAUACCAUAUGAUCGAACGAGGCAACUGAAAGAGCAAAAGAGGGAGGGAGGGGGGAGAGGCAGGAGAAGCAAAGCUAGCAAUAGCAACAACAGCAGGGCAAAACACACCAGUAUGAUACGAAAGUAAGCAGAAGACAAAUACUUCAAUCAGGAAACGGAACAGGGGGAGAAAAGCAUCUGAGGAGUGCAGAAAAGGAAACACAGUAGUAAGAAGCGCAAGGUUAUGCAGUAAAAGAAAGCAAGCAGAGCAUGUAAUCGAGCGAGGCAACUGAAAGAGUAAAUAUGAAAGCACACCAGCAUGAUAUGAAAGCAAGCAGAAGGCAAAAUACCUUAAGCAGUAAACGGAGGCUAAGAGAGGACACGGUAGAGGAGCGAGCCGAAGUUGGCCUGCAUAAGCAAAAGCGACAUAAAGGUUAAGAAAAUAGCGGAAAGCAGGGAACAUAACAAAAGGGAAGCAAUUAUAAGAAUCACAAACAGCUGCGAAUAAACUGAAAGGAAAGUGACCAAAAAGGAACACACGAGCAGCGCACUAAACGCAGUCCAGGGGGAAAAGAGAACAAAAGCUGGGAACAACACAGUGGCGGCAACAAAAUGCUAGGCAAGAAGGGGGUUUUGUUCAGCGGCAAUCCGAGGACAACCGUAGGCCUGGGAGGGGGUAUUAACGGUAGGGGGGAAAGAUCGAGCCCAAAUAUUGGCAAGCAAAGGGGUGUAAGCAGCAGAGGCAGCCGGGAAUUAUAAUGGACAACAAGGGGAGACAGAGGAAGAGGGAGAGGGAGGGGAAGGGCAGCGGGGCGAGGGUGGGGGGGGAGUGCAAGUAGAGCAACGAAAGAGCAGCGGAGAUAACCUAGUGCAGCAAAGAGGGCAAUGGCAAGGAGCAGCAACAACACCAAAACAGGAACAAAAGGGCAAAUAGCGGUCUUCGAUGAGCAGGCAAGAGGAGAAGCACCAUGGUUCAUGAUGGCAGUCAACUAAUAGGGCAGGUUGGAAGAGGUCAGAGCAGGUGGGAGAAGGCGUGCAAGAUAGCUAAAGGAACAGUUUUGUGUGAGGGGAAAGCAGAAGUGGGUGAAGAAGUAAGUGGGGGAAGAUGGAUGCAGGAUGGAGGCAGGAUGGAGUAGAUGGAGACAGGACUGAGGAGCAGAAAAAUAGUACAAAAUGAAAGACGGGGCAGCGGAGGGGGAAGGCGUACAAGAGUAGAAGGCAAACAGCAAGUUGGUAGUGGGAGCAGCUGGAGCACGUGGCAAGCUCAAGACAGCAACUCCAGAAGGCCACAACAGAGCUAAACAGUGGCAACGAAAAAGGAAGAAGAGAGAUGCAACGACCAUACACGGAAGGAAAGCUAAAGGCCAGAAAUUCAUUCAGACCAAUGACGUCGGGCCACGCGGAGGACGACCACGUCCAACGUGGAUACCGGGCGUUCGCCCUUAGUACUAUAUGGUUAACAAGGAGAUUGAUGUGAGCAUUUGUCUAUUUGAGAUUGUUAUGUAUUAGGUCCUGAAUCUUCUAUGGUUUUGUGCUUUAUCACAUAAUCCUCCAUAGUUUAGAAACCUAUAUAGAACCUCACCAUAAUUUGGGUUAGCGUGUCACUGUUAGUUUUUCGUUAAAAUUAACGGUCAACGGUAAAAAGUUAAAAUCAAACUAAUAAAUUGAUAAAUUCAUGCUUUCACUAAUUUUUUGCUUUUUUUUUCAUUCUCUCUCUCUCUCUCUGUGAGAACCCUCAUUUUUAAAAUACAAUUUUCCCAAACUACAUGCCUUGCACCAAGAUUUAAACCAUCUCUUAUAUGCCCUAGCAUUAUAUUUCACAAUGUGUUACAACAAAUCCCUUGUAUUGACCCUCACUUUAAAACACAAUUUUCUUAUUUACAUGCCUUAUUAUAAGAUCUAGACCAUUUAAUAUAUGUCCUUACAAAUUAUUUUCUAUGUGUUAUAAUAAUUUCCAUGCAUUUCAUUUCAAUUCAUUUUACUUGAAGUAAAAUAUUUCCUUGAGCUAGGUUGUAAAUAAUUCAUCACUUGUAAUUGUCCAAGUGUUCUUUUAUUAGUGGUAGAGACUUUAUGUGAGAGAUUAGAGGUGUUGAAUAAUUAUUGGUGCAUUUGGAAAGGUAAGAAUGGCAUUAAUCAAAGAUUAAGAAAGGUUAGGACAAUAAUGGAGCCAUGUGGCAAAACCCUAGCCAUGUAUCUUGUUUGACCAAAGGAUUAGAGAAAUUUUAAACCAACUUUGCUUCAUUUUCCUCCAAAAUUUCGUCCACCUUAAGGGCUUCCAAGGGAAGGAAGAAAACUCCAUCUUCUUGCUAUGACAACCUUAGUUUGAUCUUGAACAAAAACCAAAAGAGAAAGAUCUAGAGUUUGUGAGAAAAUUUCCUUCAAUCUUUGAGGUUGUUUCAAGUCUAAAGCUUCUAUUGUGGUGGUUUGUUUGGUGACCAAAACAACUUGUAAGUAAGGUAUGUAAUCUUUAAAAUUUGGGUUUAUGAUGUUAUAUCAUCUACUUGAGGUUGAAAUGGUGAAAACAACUUGUUAUGGUUGAAUUUGGGGUUAGUUUCUUGAGUUAAUCAAGUAAUGGUUAGGUUUACUAAUAUGCAUACCAAGUGUUUGAUGAAAUGUCUAACCCUUAUUCAUAUGUGUUUAUGAAGUAUUGAUAUGUUUUAAACCCCUAUUUAGUUGGAUCUAAUACUUGUUAUGUGCAAGGAAUGAAAAUAACAAGAAGAAUAGAAGUUAGAAAUUUUUAAAGUGUGCUGACCGAAACUUUUUAAGCUUGCUGCCUGGUUUUUCCUUGAUAUUUUGAUGCACAUUUUGGCUACAAAUGUGAGUGUUAUAUGUUGGGUUAUGUGUGUGGAGGUUGUCUACAAAAAAUUAGCCAAUUUGGUUGAAUAAAUUUUGAGUUAUAAACAAAGGAGGAAAACUGGACUAGGUCCAGAAAUUUUCUGUCCAGCAAUCUUGUUAAGGUCAUAACGUGUUACUCACUGAUCGGAAUUGAGUGAUGUUUGUGGCAAUUGAAAGUAGACUCUUUGAGCUUUAAAACGGUACAAAGCUCAUUUUCUGGUUCAUCCCGAGUGAUCCGUGGCGAGUCUGGAAAGUUGGCUGUCCGGGCAGUACUGUUCAUCCGAGACAGUCCAGAAAGUUCAUUUUGGUUUCUUAAUUUUGAGCUACUUAUGUUGAGAUUUUGGAAAUGGUUUAUUCUAGACAAAUUUAGCCUUAUGAACCUAGUUUCCAAUGCAAUUGACGGAACCUAAUUCUGACUUUUCCACAAUGAGCAAUGACCGUUUUCCCGAGGCUGGCCGGGCGAGACAGUUUAACCCGUAAUGAAGCCUUUGAGUUUUAGUGAAACUUUUCUUUUGCCAAACUUUCAUGUACAUACUAGACUUUUUUUCCAUGAACUUUCACCGUGGUUUAGACCCUAUUUGCAUGCCGGAUUAAGUAGUUUAAGCUACUCACUUGGCCUCUUAAUGAACCUAUACUUUAGUAGGGAACGAAUCCAAUUAUUAAUAUUUUCACUCGUUGACCUAGGUUUGGGCAACGACGGUGAUCAUAACUGAGACAUUUGACGUCGAUUAUUACUUUUGCUUGACAGGUGAGUGUUCCACUACCUGCUACUUGUUAUGUGAAAUAUUUGUGUACUUGAAAGUAUUGAAUUGUUAUUGUUUGAGCCAAACACUGUUUUAAUUAAAAUUGAGGCGAGUGUGUACUUUAUCGCACUCGACCUUCCUUGUUUUUUUUUUCUUUUCACUGAGGCUCUACUUACUGAAUGAAUUAACAUGAAAUGAGAUAUUGUUAUACAUGACUGUGCUUAAGUUGCGUGGAUGACAUUCCACCAACUACUGUUACUGUUUGGGUACCUAACCUCAUAGGUGAGUCGGUUGUAUCGAGCCAGCAAGGGUUUGGUCGAGAAGGCCGAUAAACCUUGAGGACUGUUUACUGUUCACUGGAAAUCGAAUCUUGCUUAGAGGUCCUUGGUGAAGCAUAGCCGUUGUGCUUGCUUGUUGUGUUGUCCAGCACCACCAGUGAUAAAAUCCUCGGCUUGAUACUGUUUCAUUGCAAUCCUUGAGCAUUGGAAACUCGGAUUCCUGGUAUACUCGAGUAUUACCAAACUACUGUUUAUGGAGUGCAGGCCCGGUGGGGGGUUGUUUAGUGGACGGAGACUGGUGAAAGUGGUGUUCUACGGACCUAUAUACUGUUACAAGUGUUGACGGAGUGUCAACAGGAGGCAAUUAUGAUCAAGCUCAAGUGGACCUUUGGCUUUUGAAAGCCACCCGUAUCCUUGAAUUGAACUGUGAUUAAACUGUUAUUUUAUUGUACGGUGUUUAGUUGGCUAUUUUGUGAUUUUAUGUGGCUAUGUAUUUACUUGUUUACCUGGAAUCUCACUGGGAUUUAACUCACCCCAUUCCCUUUGUUUUCCUUAACAGAUCGGGAAAGGAUUUGAUCGAGGGCUUUCUUAGCUUUAUUUUACCGUUCUUGCGUUUUGAGGUUGUAACUUUCGUUUAAGCAGACUUGUAAGCUUAAAUUCUUAAGGGUGAUUUAUAUUAUGUAAUUUUGAGUGAAACAUGGUAAGUUGGCAUGCGAUGAUAUAUGUACUAAGUUGAAUUGUUGAAUUAGUGAUUAUGUUUGAGUUAGUGUUUCAAUCCCCUGCAUUGUCAAAUGUUACAUUCGUUUCAUUGAUGAUAUUAGUACUUUGAACGACUGAGUCCUGUCGAGAGUUGGGCAGGCAGUCCGCUGAUACCCUAGGGUUUGCCCUAGGGAAAGGUGGGGCUGUCACUCUCUCUCUCUCUCUGGGAAGAGAAGAUGUGAUUUUGAAAACCUAUGCUUUGGCGUACAAAAUCUUAAUUUUCUCCAAAUAUAAAAGAGAUGGAAGAAAAUAAAAAAUAAAUAAAUAAGAAACAAAAAGAAUGGAAGGGAAAUAUAAAAAGGGUAAAUGAGAAACAAAAAUUAUCAAAUCUUUUUUUACUACAAAUAUCAUUAUAGGUUUCUAAACCAAAUCUUUAAUGGCAUUUUCUAUUUCUUAUUUAUCUAUUUUUUUAUUUAAAUUUCUUCAAGUAAUGAAAAGAUAAAUUUGUCAAUUUAUUAGUUUGAUUUUGACCUUUUGCUAUUGAUCGUUAGUUUUAAUGAAAAAAAUUAAAGGUGACACUUUAACUCAAACCAUGAGGGGAUUAUAUAUAUGUUUUUAAACUAUAGAGAGAUUAUGUGAUAAAUUACCUAAUCAUAGGGGAUAAAAUGUAAUUUAUCAAACAUAAUAUUAGCUAGCCCUUACAUUGCUAAAGCAAAUGGGUCAAUGGUUGCUCUUGAUUGCCAACAUACAUAUGCGUAGAUCAUCUGCAGUUUGGUUCCUAAUUGCCAGCGUAAACCACAUAUUUUGAUUUUCCAAUAAAUACUGCAAAAAAAAAAAGAGUAACGAGUCCAUCUAUACUACUUGAAGAUAAUUGAUUGUUCACCCAGAUUCGUCAAGUUUUGAAAAAAAAAUCUUUAGAGUGAAUUGAAUCAAAUUCAAAUUUUGUGUUUUGUGAUAAUUCCUAAAAGAGAACGAAAUGCAGAUUUUGAGUGUAAAAAUAUUUUAAGAGGUGAUACAAUCAAGACACAAAAAGAUAAAAACAUCGAAGAUGAUGAAAAAAAUUACUAAUAAAAAAUAAAAACAAAAGAAGAGAAAGCCGUGUUGUCCACAAACUAGACAAAGGGAAGCCACAGCGGCUGCUGCUAGGAAAGAUUAUAUGUUUUCUUCUUCUCUGCCCACAGGUUGCGGUGUCUCCAUUUCCUAUCAUCUGUAUAGUAACCAAUGAGAAUUUCAGGAAUGUGUGCGAUUCUUCUGUAAUCUUCACUUUCUUCCUUCUGAUUCUCUAACAGCUUCUCUCUCAAUUGAGAACUCAUCUCAUACAGAGACAGCCGUUGAAGAUGGAUCAAGUGCUGGAUACCCAAUGGUAACUCCUCUAGUAAUGGAAGUUGCUGCAGAAAUAGUUCCCGGAGACGAGGCAAUGCACCCUCCUCCACUCUCAUCCAUCUCAACCCUUCCAUUCUUUUUAAGUACAUCCACUUCAGCUUUAGGAACCCUCCAGCCUUGAAACACAACCCUUCUCCCUGGUAAGAUCCACGGAAAUUAAUUUUACUCAAAUUGGGCAAAUGUUGGAGGGAUUCAAGCGGAUCCUCCUCUCCCCUUAACCUGCUCCAGUCCAAAUCUAUUCUUACCAAGCCGUGAAGAUGAGCUACCCAUUGUGGCAUUUUUUCUAAGCGGCCACGCAAAACCAGCAUACGAAGAAAUUGAAGAAACAAAGAAGAAGAAGAAGAAGAAGGAUGAUGAUGAUUUAAAUCGAUUAUCUCAUGAUCAUCACCUUUUCCAAUUGAUUGAACACUUAAUUCCCGAAGACUGGUGAGGUUGGCAAGGGAGGAGCAGAGCACCUUUCCAUCUUCUCUUCUUAACUUUGUAAUACGUAGUUCUCUUAAUUGGGUCAGCUUUCCUAUCUCCUUAAGUAUUGCAGAUCCGCUACUUGCAUCUAUGCAGCUUAAUUUAUGUAGGGCAAGAAGCCGUCCCAUAUUUGAUGGAGCUUUAAAUCCAUGAGCUCCAUAAUCAUCAUCUGAAGAAUCAACUAGUUGAUAUACUUCGAGAAACCGAAGUUUUUGCAAGUUUAGAAUUUCCAUGGGCAAUUCCCUAACUCCAGUGUUACCCAAAUUCAGAUACUCCAAAUGUUGAAGCUUUCCAAUGGCUUUCGGGACUAUCUCCAUUCUUGUACCCCAUAGGUCCAGAUGCUUGAGAUGAAACAAAUUGAAAAUCUCAUUUGGUAUUUCCUCCACUCUGUUUUGACCACCGAAAUCCAAAACCUUUAACAGCUUACUACUCCUUGAAAUUUCAGAUAACAACAUUUUGGAUAGUAGCGGGUUCCGGGAUCCAACUGUAACGAACGACCGAAGGUGGUCAAAGCAAUAAUUUCGUCUUUGUUGGUGGUGCUGGGUGUUGUUACUGCUACCACUAUGGACUACUAGACGGCGUACCUUAUCAGACGGCCACGUCAUCAGCUGUCCAGUAGUAACUGUCACCAUGUUUUGUUCCCUUGACUUGAGAAGAAUAACUGCUCUCAAUAGGUCAUGGAUUCGACAAUAUUGAGGUAUUCCUUCAUAAAACACACGAGUCACUUGAAUUAGGCUUCUAUUGACGAGUUCACUAAAAUAACCCCAGGCUACAUCUUCAAUACUUAUUCCUUCUCUCCAUUCUACAUACCUUUCAGCAAUCCACAAAUUAAUUAGUCUAAUGCAUGCUAUUUCAUAAUCCUCUGGGAAGAUGCUUGUGUACAACAGACAUGUCUUUAAAUGCCCAGGCAAAUCAUUAUAACUGAGAGAAAGUAUCCUUUUAACUCUGUCCAGCUUACCAGUGCCUUCUAAUUCACCCCCAAGACUGCGUCGAACCAUCUCCCAUUCCUCUGUUCUGUUUACAUCUUUCAAAGCCAAAAGCCCGCUGAUUGCAAGAAUCGCAAGGGGCAAGCCCUCACAUUUGUCCAAUAUACCUUUGGCAACAUCCAUCAAGUGGCCAGGGCAACUAUUUCCCUUGAAGAUCUUGUUACAAAACAGGAUCCACGAAUUUUCAAAGGACAGUGGCUUCAUUCUGUAGACAAGACCCCGAGAUUCAAUGCAAGAGGCAGAGGCUACAUCAACUUUUCGAGUUGUUAGCAUGACGCGGCUGCCGCGACUGCUCUCUGGCAUUACAAAUUUGAUGGUAUUCCAAAAUUCCACGUCCCAUACAUCAUCGAAAACAAUUGCAUACCUUCCAGCUUGUUGAAGAAAAUCUUUGAUAAUUUCUUUCAGCUGAGUGGUAGUCAUGGACUCGAUCCAUCGCGGAACUGGUUUCUUCCCUGCCUCGUGUAACUGCCGAAUCAAGUCUUUCAGGAGGAACUGAAAGUCACAUGUUUCAGAGACAGUUACCCAAGCCCGGACUGGGAAAUGCCUUCUGACUUCAGGAUCCUCAUGGACUUUUUUCACUAGGGUAGUUUUGCCAAGUCCUCCCAUACCAACCACUGAAACAACUUUCAGUUGGUAAUCAUCCCCUUUGAGGAGCUCAGAAAUAAGAUGUUUCUUGGGCUGGUCAAUGCCAACUAAUUUAGCUUCUUCCACAAGCAGCGCAUCAUCUCUGCUAUAGCGCCAGGUUGUGUCGUUCACAGCAGAAAGUGAGUUGGACGCUUGGGCAGAGAUACCAUAUUCGGAUUGGUAUCUUUGAUGACCUGCAGAAAUACUUUCGAUUCUGGACUUGAUGCUUUGUAUUUCGCUGGCAACUCGAUGACGAGCUCUCAAAUUCUUGAUGGAGCUGAAAAUUCUCCGAACAGAGCCGUAGAAUCCUGUUGCGUCAUGCCGAGCAAAGCGAGCUACAAAUUCAUCAAGAAUGUCCUCAGUGUCAUAAGCAGCAUCCCGCACUUGCUUGAUCCAUUGUUGGAGCGUGGGUUGAGCAUCUUCUUCUCUUGCUUCUGCCUCUCGCAAGAAAGCUCUCAUUUGCUCCAACUCAUCCAUGAUGAAUUGGACCUCUGGCCGAAGCCCUCCCAAUAGUCGUCCCUCCUCGUGCAGAAAAGUUAAGAGUUGACGCAGCACAAAAGAGAGAACAGUUUCUGCCAUUUUUAGUCUUUCUUUUUAACCUAAGAAUGUCGGGGGAGGCGGCUUCUGGUUUAUAGGACAGUCCAGUUGUAGUAUCUUGAAAGGAAGAAGGAAGAGUAGGUUAUAGAUUCAUAAGCUGAUGAACUUUGAUACCAUAUGGUGCAGUAUAUAUUAAGGUGCUCUUUUUCUCCUUUACUCUAGUAAGCAUAUUAUUUUCGUUUUCUUCUUUUUAUUUUUUUAAAAAAUCAUGCUUAAUUAAGAAAAUUAGCGUUAUCCUACUCGUAACUUCAUAAGUCAAAAGAUCAUGUAAAGUAAAUUUCUGCUAACCAAUUAGUAUUUGUAAUAUCAAAGAAACCUUAGGAACAAACCACUCAAACUAAUUUUUACAAUAAUUAAUAAAGUAGAAAUACUAAAUUCAGUGUUAUUUUUUGUUAAUAGCAGCUCAUGAGUGUGAAAAUUGUGGAAGAUCGAAGCAUGCCAAGAAUAAAGUUUAAUUUAAACUUAGGAUCCAUGAGCGACUAAUAACUUGGCCAAAGUAUUUUAUCCACCUGAUUUAAUUAACUUCAAAAGUUUUAUUGAGCUGGCUAGCCUGGACUGACACAACAAUUGGGGUUCCAAUUAACUAUAAUAGUAACGUGACUUAGUUCAAAUUACAAAACUCGAUCACAAGUAAUCGUACGGAGUUGAACAAGUUAGUGUUAGUCCCUUGUGAUCACCAAUUUAAUCUAUUAUCUCACUUCUUUCUUUCUUUUGUUUUUUCUAUCCCUCCUUUUGCAGUUGUGGAAUUACUGCAUCUAGGACUAGAUAGGACGAAAGGCCGCUCAUUUUUCCAAUUAGAAACGUGGCUAUGUUCAUAAAAAAGAAAAAAAAAAGCCUUGAACUUCAAGAAAAGUAAACAAAUCUCAGCACUUACUUGAGAGAAAAUGAAACCUCUGGCAAUAGCUGAUCUGAACCUACCCUGUCAAAUCCAAGUUUGAUGAAAAAGAGAACACGGGCGAGGAAGAUGAUAAUUUGAACCAAAAUUAAAACAAUGCGGUAUGUGCCUUUAGCUAUUGAAGAUGGAGUAUUAUAGAGGAGAAGGUAGAGGAGCAGUACCGUUAUUGAUAAGAAAGUGGAGUGAAAUUGGCCCAUGACUUUCCUGGUUGGAUAGUAGAACAAUUACUCAACGUGGUGGACCUAAGAUUAGAUUGUGUAUCUCAUCCAUUGGCUGUCAGAGUGGCACAUGGCAAUAAAAAUCGAGACUUAAAUGAUAUGGGGUCAGAGUCCAUUGUUAGGUGAUCGGAGAAUGAGUAGUUUAGUCAUUUCACGAAAUAUUAAUUGUAUUCAAGUUAAGAUGGAUAGUACUUAAUUUUCCAUUUAUGAAUUAUGUCAAAUUACACAAUUCUUUUGAAUUUCCAAAUUUCCCACUUCCACGUUGAGAGUUUUCCAAUCAUAUUUAUUUAGAAUUUUAAGUUUGCAACUUCACUGCAUAGGUCCAGGUCUACUUUGAAAAAUUUUAUGUCGGUCCCAAUCAAUUACUUAACAUGCCUAACAGUUGGUAACACAUCUAAAAUUCAUCUAAUCUAUUUGUGCUCUUAUGGUACAUAAUAGCAAAAGCCUUAAUUUUAUUUGUCUGUGAACAUUAGGCUGUUGGCCGGCUGGUAUAUCAAUUUGAUUAAUCGAAUUAUAGUCUUGUUGGCUUGUCCUUCCAACCCACGAUGUGCUCAUAAAAUGUUGGACGUGAAGAAAGAAGUGGAAUUGAAAAUAUUGGAGAUGGCUAAAAUUGAAUGUUCAGCACAAGACAAUUGAGGUAAACCCUUAACCACGUAGCCAAAUCCGAUCACCACCAUCUUAUCAUGUCUAAUUUUUCUUUUUGUUUAUUGCAAUGAGUAAAAAAAAAAAAAAGAUACACUCGAAUACGUCAAAUCAUAAUUUCGUGUUUCUAUUUUUCUUCUUUGCUUCUUUGUAAAAUGAAUGACUUUGGAUCACCAGUGUAAUCUUUCAUCUCAGUUCUUUUUCUCCAGCUGUGAAAUUAUUACAACUAAGACUAGGUUAGGAGUAAGGGACAUGAAGUAACCGGAGGAUAAGGUGCAUCAUAUGAGCCACUAGGGAUGUAAUCGAGUCAAGUCAAACUCGAAUAUUGCUAUACUCGAGCUCGACUCGACUCAUAUAUAUCUAGGCUCGAGCUCGACCGAGUACACAAAAUCGAUAUUCGAAACUUGACUCGAGGAACUCGCUUUAAACUCGAGACUCGACUCGAUAAGACUCGACCUUUAGUCAAGCCUUAUCAAGUCGAGCCUAAUCAAGUUUUUUUACUCGACUCGAACAAUUAUGUUAUUACUUUUUUGCCAUUAUGAACUUUUUUUAUAGAGAAGAGUUUAUUGUAAAUUCUGUAAAACUUAUACCCAUAAUGGUCAUUUUAUAAUUAUAAUACAUAUAUAUUAUUUAAAUUAUAAAUAUAUUAUUUAAAUACCCUCGACUCGACUAGUAGCUCGACAAGUCUCGAGUCUCAAAAUAUUGGCUCGAAACUCGACUCGAAUGACAAUCGAGUAGCUCGAUAUUCGGCUCGAACUCGGUCAACUCGAGUUCAAACCAAACCGUUAACCGAGCUACUCGCGAGCUACUCGAUUGUGACUCGACUCGCGUACAUUCCUAUGAGCCACUCGAACACUGUAUGCUGAAAAAGCAGCUUUGAAACAAAAGAAGAAGCAGAGGCACAAAAUUUUCCUAUGGUUCCUAGAAACAGUAUAAGAAAGAAGAUAGAAAGACAUUAUUGACAUUAUAAAUUCUUGUCAAUUAAUGUUCGUCAUUUUUAUAUGGUAACUUACUGCAGAAAAAUUGUCAAAACCGUGUGAGAAAGUUAAGGACGAAAUACGAAGAAAAUUCUUACUCAUCAAGAAACUGCAGCGAAAAAAAAAUUGUAGAGAUGAUGGAAAUAAGAAGAAACUAACGCAAGAGAGAUGAUGGAAAUUGAAUGGAAAGAAGAUAGUUAGCAACGUGGUUUUGAAAGGCGAAGCUACACUACAAAAUCAUGGAAAUUGUUAGGGAGACAAAUGCAGUUGGUGGGGCGUUCACUCUUCAGCACCUUUCGGCUGUGUUUCUUCGAUCAAAUAAAGGAGUGGCUACCAGUGUACCACAGCAUCGUUCAAAAGCAAUGAUGUCUUAAGCUUAAAACGUGGUGGCUUGGACAUUGAUUUCAUUGACGUAGAAAUAAAGGGAAAAUACAGAUUUAGCCUCUAAUAUUUUGCCUUUCGGCAGUUUUAGUCAUUAAAAUUUUGAAAAAUGCAAAUUUGAUUCUCAAUGUUUAGCACAUGUGCAAUUUUAUCCCUAAAAUAUUGGAAGGAACAAAUUUGGUCCCCUAUGUUAUAGUCUUGAAGCAGAUUUAGGAUGAUUGACGAAUUUUUUCAAAUAUUGGUAGAAUCUGUUACGUGUGAUUACAUGCUUGUUAAUUUAAAUAUCUUAAAAAAGAAGUAAAAUAGCGAGUACUCUUCAAUAAUAAGACCAGUUUACAUGAUGCCAUGCCAGUAACUAAUUAAUCAAGAGAAAUAAAAAGAAAUAAAAUUUGUUAAUCUAUAUGAAAAAGUAAAUGUUACGAUUUUGUGCUUGGCAUAGUCAGGAUAGAGUGUAAAAAUGAGUUCUAUAUUGAUGAAUUGGGUGCUUCAAGAAGGCCUCUUUGGAACCUGAAUUUUUUGGGAGUUUGUCUAAAACUUUACUGUAGUGCACUGUAGAAGUUUUUGAAAAAAUUUUGUAGAAGUUUUUGUAAGGUGAAAAAUUUUUUUGUAGAAGUUUUUGUAAAGUGAAAAACUUUUUUUCUUUUUCUUUUUCUUUCUUUUCUUUUUCUUUUCUUUUCCUCUCUUCUUCUUCUUCCUUCUCCCCCCCGGUGACCUCUGCCUUCCCAGUUCCCAGCAGCUAGAGGUGUCAAAUCAACCCAUUUAACUAAAUUUACCCAUACCCGCCCAUGAAUAGAUGGGUAUGGGUAUCUUAAAUUUUUGUAUAUGGAUAUAAAUGGGUUACCCAAUAAUACCCAUUUAUUAAAUGGGUAUUAUUGGCUAACCCAUGAAACCCAAUUAACCCAUUUAAAAUUCUCUUCCCCCCAAGUCUCUUCUUUUCCCCCACCUUUUUUUUUUCAAAAUUUUCAUUUUGUCAUGAUGUUAACUACUUUUGUUUCAUUAUUAUUAUUAUUAUUAUUAUUAUUUGUUGGUUUUAUCUUAUUAUUUUAUUUUCUCUUAGUUUGUUAACUUGCUCAUUUUUUAGCAUUAUCAAUUUAUGAUAAAUUUUAGCCUAUUUUCUUAUCUUUAUAAAAUGAAAUUUUAAAUUUAUAUAUGAAAAAAUGUUAGGGGUUCAAAAUUUUUGGAUUAAGUUUUUAUAUUAAUUUUUAUAGUACUUAGUUCAAAUUUUUAUAUUCUUAUUAUUCAAUUAUUAAAUAAUAGGUAAUUUUGUGACAUAGAGUAUAAAUGAAAAAAAAUUGGUAAUUAAGUUUAUUGAACAUUAUAAGUAAAUAUUUAAAACUAAUGAUGGGUACAAAGAGUGGUAUAAAUUGAUAAUUUAGUUUGCAAAAAUGAAUUUAAAUAAGUUUACAAAAAGUUAAAAUAAAUGGGUUAUAAAUGGGUAAUUGGGUUACCCAAUUCAUUUUUUGACUUACCCAUUUAUACCUAUCUAAUUAAAUGGGUAUAAAUGAGUUGACUCACUUGUACCCAUUACCCAUUUUACCCAACCCAAACCCGCCCAAGUCACCCAUUUUGACACCUCUACCAGCAGCCAUGGCCCUGCCAUUUUUUUUCUUUUCUUUCUUUUUCUUUUUCUUUCUUUCUUUCCUUUUUCUUUUCUUUCCUCUCUUCUUCUUCUUUUUCUUCAUUCCCCUCCCCCCGUCACCUCUGCAUCUGAUUGUAAAAAGACCCAGUAGAUGGUCACCUCUGCAUCGACCGCCACCCCUUUUCUCCCGCUCCCUCCACCGCCACCCCUCUCCCCAUCCCCCUUCCAUCGCCCGCCUCUGCAAAAGAAGACUGGCACCUGAGUUUUGCAGUAACAGAAACAAUUUUUUUCCAAUUUUCCCUUUCCCUCUCCAAUCCUUCUCUUGCUGGCAGAAUAAGCCGCAACAGGAAUUCUUUUUUUUUUUGGCAAUUUUCCUUUUCCCCCUCUCUCCCGAUUGCAAAAAAAAAUCGAGCAAAGGGGGAGGAUGGCAGGUUGCAAAGGAUUCCGAUCCGGGACUGUGCCAUGUUUCUUGAACUGAAGCUUUUCUUGCCGCUGCACUUGAUUGAAGAUGACACCAAUGGCUUGUGAGCAGUUGCAGCAUUUGUAGUGUCAGCGGCUCUGUGGAGACGGCACCUGAACAAGCCAGCAUGGGUCGUUGGAGCACAAAGGCAAAGCUGCUGCUUCUGCUUGUUGGAUGAUUUGCCAUGACCACUUGUUUUUUUGUCUGACCCACUACCCUUCUUAUCAGGCUCAACAUCACAGUGAUUUGACCGAGUAAUUCCUUUGCAAGGGAGGAAGAGGGGGAGAGGGAGAAAAGGAAAAAAAAAAAAAGAAGAUGGGCAUUGGAACCGGCGGCAGAGGUAGUGGCCGGCGGCGGAGGUAGUGGCCGGCGACGGAAGUGGUGAUGGGUUGGGGUGAGGGAGGAAAAAGAAGAAAAGGGGUAGGGAAUUUUUUUGUUUUUGUGUUUUUGAUAUUUUAAAGUGUGUAAGUUAAAAAUUUUGAUAAGUUUUUAAGGUUCCUGUAGCAAAAGUUGUUAAAAAACUUGUAUCAUACAAACUUGGUUAAAAACCAAGGUUCCAAACAGGCCCUUAGUUUAAAAAUUUUCAAUUUUUACUAGUUAAUUAGUUAGCAUAUGAAUUAUCAGUUCUUAAUUUUGUUGUUUAAAGUUAGCUACUAAUAACUUGGCACAUGUUUCAUUCUAUAAUUAUCAUGUCUGGAGGUUCAAUUUUUUCUUCUGAGAUUUGUCCAUUUUGGCUAGAUUAUACUCACCUUUCACGAUCAAAUUGAAUUUUCAACGCACCAAGGUUUUCUCAAAUCGCUUCAUACAAGAUGCAUGAUAUUUGUUCUGAUUUACCAUAUCAUCUCCGCAUUUGGCAUGGGAUCUUACUGUUGACCUCAUUGUAAUGAUAUAUGGUCAAAAUGGAACUAAUAAGUGGGCGUAUGGUUCGCAGGUGCCGACCGUCCAAAUGAAUCUGUCCUUUUGCAGUUUUACUUGUGCAAGAAUAAUUAAUUUGUGGGAAAAACUCGCUACUUAUCUGCAAGGACUAAAUAAAUAUUGGCUAUGGUUAGCGAGAAUGUAUCCUUGUAGAGAAGAUUUUUAUGUAGGGAUAUUGUUACGAAAAAAAGAAUUUUGAAACAUAUAGUUGGAUUGGUUUUUCCUGAUUUUAAAGAGUCAUAGGCUAAAAAAGUAGCAGUGGUUCACAAAUUUUCCUUUUUUUUUUCUUUUUCAAAUCCUAGCUUGAUGCCCCUACUUGAGUUAAUAAAUUGAAAUUCACUAGUAAAAGUAACUAUUGUAGAGUCAUAAUUUGGACUCAAAUGUGAUAAGGUGUGUGAGAACCCUGAAAAAAUAUAUAUAAAUAUUAGUGCAUAUUUCAUUUGCAUUUAUAAUUCUUUAAUAGAUUUUAGCAUUAAAUCUAAUUGUUUUUAAAUAAGUGCGUAGAAAUAAAUUUUAUGUGCAAAAUAAAAGAAUUGUGCUAAACUAUUAAAUUUCCUAGUCUAGUUACAUUAAAUUCAUAUUCCGAAGGUAAAUUAUUUCAUUGAUUUAACAAUUAAUUUCUUUGAAUUCCGAUAGCUAGUUUUAAUCGUUAAUAAUGUUCAGUGUUAAUAGGAACCUUAGCAAUAAGAUGAAUUUGGUAAAUUCUAGAUAAAAUCGAUACAAGUAUACUAGGUUCGCCUAGAACGUAAAAACCUUGAAAUUAUAAAUAUACAUAUAUGUACGUGUUGCAUGUACAUUUUAGAUCUUUAAUAAACGUUGUUAUUAUCUGGUCUUAAAUAAGUGUGCAAAAAUAAUUUGUUUUAGAUUACAAAUAAUUCAAUUGUGCAAGAUAUUAGAUUAUUUGAAUUUUUGCCAAGUAAAGGUAAUUUUUCUUGAUGUUGAGUGUGCCAUUGUUUUUAUUUUAAUUCUUUGGUUCCAAUAACUAAUUUUAAGUAUUAACGACGAUAGGUGCUAAGGAAAACUAGAAUUAAGACGAAACGUUUAGGUUAAAGCUCUUUAUAAUUAUUUUAGGGACGUUGUAUCUCGAUAAUUGAAUUUUUCAAGGUUGGUAUAUUAGUAGGCAUUUGAUUUAUAUUUAGGAAAUCUUGGAGUUAGUUUAGGAUUGAAGGGCUUAAGUGGAAAUUUGGAUGAAAUGUAAAAAGACCAAAUUAGCCUUUUCCAAGUUAAAAUCACCAAGCAGCCGUGAAGAAAAAAAAAAAUGCUAGAAGCAACUCAUUUCCAAACAAUUCCAAUUUCUGUCGGUUCAUUCCAGCAUCUUCCAUUUCUUUUGCCGACCAACCCCACUCACGAUAACCUCAAUAUAUACACCCCAUUAACCAUACACUCCACACUAUACCAUUUCCAAUCCACUAUAAUAGUACACUUCCAUUUGCUUUCUGCCGUGAGCUGUGAGGAAACAACUACCUUGGAAGUAUCGACGAGAGAGAGAGCCGUGCGAGCUUCGGUUCUUGAACUGUCCGAGAGAGGGUGAGAGCAAGAGAUAAUCGUGUGAGCUUCAUUGCUUCCUUCAUCAUCUGAGAGCUGCCAUUUCAUUCUUCACCUCAACCAGCCGUGAUCACUUCAACCUCAAUCACCACAGCUGCAAUUACUGAACUCAGACCAACCAUCCCCGAGUGCGUGAGCAAAGCCGUGAGGGAGGAAAAUAUUUCUGCUGUGGGCCGAGUGUGUUAAGCUUCAGGCUGAGGUAAUUUCUAGACUUAAAUGAGUUGUUUAUGGGUUAAUGAAGCUGGUUAUAAGCAUGCAUGUGGGGUUGUGCGGUUGGAUGACAAAAUUAAGUUACAAGAAAACUGAUUUGGAAAGAAUUGGAGCUGCCGAGAGUUAGAGCUGGAAUUGCAGCUUUAGUUUGUUAACUUGUGAUGAUCUGAGCUUAACCUUGGGCCAAUUUGAUAGAUAGCCUUUUAUUUGGUGUUGCAUGUGAACCAUAUGGCCAGGAUUUCGGUUGCAUGGCUGGAAAUUUUCACUAGAAGUUGCUGGACUGCUUAAUCAAUUUUCCAGUUUGCCGAUGGAGUUGUUUUGGGAGUUGUAUGAAUAUUUUAGUAUGAGAUUUGCUGGAAAGUGUUUGAUUCUCACUUGGUGGUGUGUUUAGCUAACUAAAUGCUGGAUGAUUAAGCCCCGCAUGAGAUUAAUUAGCUGUGUGUAAAUCAGAAAAAUAAAAUGAAACCAAAAGUCUGCUGCAGGCAUGUCAUCCGUAGUUAGUUGAGCAGAUCCUAGAAUUUUGAAUGAAUGUUGUUGGUGACCGACCCUGUUUUGGACUAGAAUUAAUAGUAACUUCAUUUAUUAGUAAUACAUGUUAGCUGUGAGUACAUAAUUCAGUGAUUUGGCCAAGGAAAAUCCGGAUUAAUGAGUGACUAAGCUGCUGGAAUUUUUCCAGUGUAGCCGAAUGAAGAAGAAAAGAAUUUUCCAGUUUUCUUUUGCGAAUUUUGGGUUUUAAAAUUAUGUUACAAGCUGUAAAUUUUGUGUCGUUGAUUAAGAGACCCCGUAAGCAUAACAAUUACCAUUUACAUGAUAAGCUGGGAGUGUAAAAGAUCGAAGUCUUGUUGCUGGAAAAUUUGGUUAAUGGCCGAAUGAGAAAGGAGCUUGAAAUUCUUAUAUUGGCUUGAUAAUUGGCUACAAUCUCAAGUAAAAUGUCUUAUAACAUCUUGUGCUAGUUUCAUGAUUAUCUUAUUGAUUGUAACACUUGAAAAACUGGUGUAUUGGAACAUGAACUAAAAGAAUUUCUGAAGGAAAAUAUUUUUCCAGCAUGGCCGAAUGGGUUGGGACUUUUGGUGGAUUUAUUUGCUGGAUUUGUGCAUUAUUUAUUUUAGCUUGGUUUGGACAGAUUAUAGGCUAUACGUUUGGUGUUUCUAGCAAGUAAAAGUUGGACAUCUUGGAUUGAAAUUUACUGGAAUUUUCUUGACUAUCGAAACAAGAAAAGAAAAUCUGAGUUCCUAAGUGUAUUUGUGAGUAAGCUAACCGUGACUUUCUUCUAUGCUUGAGUUAAACUUUUAGUUGACUUGUUGUAAGAAAUAUUUGUUUGAUGCCAAGAGCUAAUGAUUGAUGAAGCUUUUGGCCAUUUGAGUAAUUUUUGCAAGGGUUAAAUUCUUGGUGGAAUUAUUUAAGUGGUUUGGCCAAAAUGCAUUUGGAAGGUCCACGAUUUGUGAUUUGGAAUUGUUUUAAUACUUUGGACUUCCUUUGGUUGAUUUUGAUUAGAAUUGAAUCUGUUGAGACCUAGGGCUAAUGAUUGAUGAAACCCUAGUGAAAUGGAUGUUCGAAUUGUGUUUUUGCUAUAUUGGCGACUUGGAAUAUAAUGUGCAAAUGAAUUGAAAUCGUGAAGUCCGUUCUAGUCUUUUGAAUUCAAGUAUCUUUAAAUCAAAUCUUGUGGGAAUAUUUUGCCUUAAUAUCAAGUUAUAUACAUUGAGUAUAGUACGUUAAUAUUAAAAUCUAGAUAUCGGGACUUUUAAAACCUUGCCGAUUUGUUAAUUCUUUUCUUUAUUUAAACUAGUGUUUGACCUUUAAUAAAUAAUUGCAUUAACUUCCAAACUUUAAGUUUUUCACAAAAUUAUCCUUGACCAAUUGUUUUAAAGGAAAUUUGUUAAAAACAUUAGAUUUGAAUAAUUUCAAAUAAAAGACAAAGGGAACUUGUUCGACAAGAAAACUUGUUUGAAUUAAUUUGGUUCUAGUUUGCCCUCUAGUAGGGAAAUACCUUUAAAGAAACCAUACGAGAUAUUUUAUUUCUUUACUAGCCUUAAUUCCAAGGGAAUGAUUGAUUUGUUUCGAGAAAUUAAAUUAGUUUUAUAGAAGAUAACCUUUUAUAUACAAAACAAAAGUUUGUUUAGUAAAACUUAUAGUUUUAAAAAUUGGAUUUCUAGGGUGUAGCGAGGACGUGGACUUCGAUUCCCAACUUGACUUUUGAGCUUCACUUUUGGUGAGUGUCCCUGCCUGAUUUAUGGCUAUUUGGUUAAAGUGCUUUAUCGACUCGUUAUGUGAUAAUUGCCAAAAAUGGUUGUUGAUCCAUCGAAGUGAGCAGUGUGUACUUUAUCGCACUAGCCUUUCGAGUGGUGACUUGCUUGAAGUGUUUUUCGUGAAUAUCUUGCUUGUGUUUGCUAAGUGCUAAAUUACUAGGCAGGAGAAUGUACCACACCAUAAAGGUGGGAGGGCCUCUUAUCCUGUCCUGGUAAUCAAGUGUUGGACGUAAAGUCGUUGAGUGAAUCCCUCGAUCAGUCUAUAAUAAUCAAGUGUUGGACGUAAAGUUGUUGGGUGAAUCCCUCGAUCAGUCUAUAAUAAUCAAGUGUUGGACGUAAAGUCGUUGGGUGAAUCCCUCGACCAGUCUAUAACAAUCAAGUGUUGGACGUAAAGUCGUUGGGUAAAUCCCUCGACCAGUCUAUAAAUAUAAGUGUUGGACGUAAUGUCGUUGGGUGAAUCUCUCGACCAGUCUAAGGUAUACUCGAAUAUUAUCGCUUCCCUAUUUAUUUACUUCAGUCGAAUCAAUACGUGUUAAUUGUUUCAAGUGAUUGCAUGAUUUUGGGGCACCACUGAGUUUUAGCUCACCCCACGUUCAUUUGUUUUCCUUACAGGUUGUGAAGUUUGAAAGAAUUUGAGCUGCUUAUAUUUCCUAUGAAUGUAAUUGAACAACUUGAAUUUGAAUUUCGGUUUGUAAUGAAUUCCAAGUUAAGCAUUUUAUCUUUCAUUUUGGAUUGCCACUUGAAGCUGGAAAAGUGUAAACCCUAAUUCUGAUAUGUGGCUUGAAUGUAUGUAUUUGUGUGGUAUGGCUUUAACCCUUGUAAGUAACGCGUGAAGUGUUUAAGAGCCGUCGAUUGGCUAACUUCGGAUGCUGUUAUCUUUGAAGUUAAUGUGGUGUUAGAAACCGAUUUUUUUUUUGGAAGAAUCUCUAUUGUAAUAGUUUAGGUUGAUCUCCGGAAGGAUUUGGGUUAGUGUGCCUGCGUGAGUCCUGGCGAGAGUUAGGCAGACGGCCUGCCAACCCUCUGGUUCGUCUUAGGGGGAAGUGGGGUCGUCACAAUGUGCAUUAUUUGACCUACUUGAAUAUUGUAUUUUGGAAAAUUAAUUUCAAAACAAAAGAAGAAACAGAGACACUAAGUUUUUCCGAUGACCAUAUGGUUCCUAGAAACAACAUAAGAAAGGAGAUAGAUAGAAACACAUUAUCGAUAUUAUAUAGCUCUGUCAAUGUUUCCCAAUUUUAUAUUGUGACUUAAAACCGAAGAAUUUUUCAAAGCCGUAAGAAAUUUAAGAACGAAAUACGAGAAAAUUUCUUACUCACAAAAAAAGAAGCUGCAGCAAAUAAAUGGAGUGGAGCCAUUGUAGUCAGAAAGAAAAAGAGAAACUAAAGCAAGAGAUGUGAUGGAAAUUGAAUAGAAAGAAGAUAGACAGCAACGUGAUUUUGAGAGAGAGAGCGACGAAGCUACCUUACUGCUACACAACAAAAUCAUGGGAAUUAUUAAGAGGACUAUGCACUUGGUGGGGUGUGGACAAGGGGCACGGACCAUCCCCAUCGGACGGUUUUGGCCAUUUUCAACAGCUCAUAACUUUGGUUGCACACGGCGUAACUUUAUUUGUACAACGUGUAACUUUAGUACAAAAUUUUGUGGGUCCCACACACGAUGUGAAAAUCGAUGCACAAUUUGUGAUCUGGACAGCACAAUUUAUUGAGGCCAAAUCAUGGCCAUUAAUAGCUCAGGAGCGCUCCUGCCCCGUUUCCGUGGGGUGUUCACUCUGUGGAUCAUUGUUAUGAGCUAAUAAUCCAACAGGAACGGAGAGAACUGUUUGUGCGACUUUCAGUUUUGUAGAUUACUAGUUUAUUUGGGCCUCACACGUUGCGUGACGGUGCCCGGAAAGAGUAUAAUCUAUGCAAGUAUACAUGGUCAAAAACUGUAAUAAUUCUCCAGGCAUUCUCAUCAAAUUCUUUGACCAAACAGAUAUGGUAUCUUGUCUCAAGAAACUACCCAAAACUCCAGCAUUUGUUCAUGCCGUCAACAUAUAAACAUCAGAUUUCAAACUCCAGCAUUUCUUUUAGUGCAUUAAAAGCAUAAAUGCACCAUUAUCACUUCAUGUAUUGCCACACCGACUGAUCUUGAAGAUGACAUGCUAAAAACGAUUGCAGUUGGUGCACAGGUAAAAUCAGUAUUAAUAUAUGCUGGCACCUGUACGAGCUUGUAGCAUAGAUGGCAGCAAAUUGGGGUCAUAAAGGAGCAAAACACGAACUUCAACAAAUUUUAAUCACAAAAAGUCACUUCAGAGAAUUAUAAUUACAAAAUUCGAGUAAUUGAUAAAUGACAUUUUGAACAUGCUUCACAUAUUUGGAGCAAAUGUAUUUCCAGUCACUUCAUUAUCUAAUCCAUAAAUAUCAUAGUGAUCAUUAUCUUCACAUAUCGUAUUAAGCAUUCUUGAAACUACAUUCGUUUGAGCUUCAACGGUGACAAGAGACCUUGGGGUAGGGGGUGAGACCACCCAAGUAAUAGCUUUCCAAUCAAGCCUUUUAAAACAUUUAGCAUGUAGUAAGUGGAUACAAAUCAAAGAGCUCCCUCUAUAUCAUCAAACAACAGGAACAUAGAGUAUAAAGAAAAUUCGUCCUUUGACUUGAACUAAGUCAUACAAAAUGACUAUUACCUAAGAGGUUCAGUCCCUUGGAAGAUGGGGAAUGAUGCAAUCCUUUUUAAGGAAAACUGGUUAAGAAUGAUAGUAUAUACCUGCAAAUUUUCAAACUACUAUCCAGCUUCUUUUGAUGGUUUAUCCUAAAUUUCGACUAAUAAGAAAGCACUAAAUGUGGGAGAAAGAGAAACAGCAAAUAAAUUGCAGAAUGCAAAUGAAAUGAAAUGCUGAAACAGAGACAAAAUUUCAAGUUUACCAAAAUGCAAUGGAAGAACUUCUUGGACUCAUCGUCAUGUCUGAAGGCCUCAAAAGCAGAAAUUCAGCAAAAAAAUUAAAAACAUAUUUGACUCUAAGGACAAGAAAUACUUGAGCCCAACCAACCAAAUAAGGCAGGCAAAGUGAAGAAGAAAGCAGCUUCCAAGGGUGGAUAAAAAUUUGACCGAAAAUAAUUAAGAACCUGACAUAAGAAUGAUCUUCCAGGAUCAAAUUUAGAGCAUAUAAACGAUCAACAAAUUUGUAAUAAAAACUAAUCAAAAAAUCCAAAAUAAUAGGUACUUGAAAAUAGUGUGUGCUGAAAACAAUACGCAUUGGGGAAUUGCCCCCAAAAUCACCCCAAUGGCCCUAUCUUCCCUACUAUCAGUAUUAGAGCAGUAAUUGGACCCAACAAUAAAUCAAAAAUAUGCAUGCAAAGAAUGCCAGAAGAAUCCAAUGAGCAUUUAAGAGCAUAAGAACAACUGGCAAAGCCUGAAACUUGGUAUAAUUUAAAUGCCAUAACAAAAGGAUAAACAUAAACGAAUCAAUUAGAAAGAAAAAAAAAAGUUUUACUGGAGGUGAAAGAAAACAAACUUGGCCAUCUCACAUUCAAUACGAUUCUGAGCUUGAAGAACACGGAAAUUUCAUGCUUCCUUAUCCCCUGACGCUUUAUUCUUCUGUCAAAGCACUCAUGUGCACAUUUGAAAUAAGCUUGUUGCAAUAUUAGAUACCCACAAUUUGAAAAAUUUAUAAUCUCAAUUACUUUUAUUAACUGAAUUGCCUCUAAAUUUUCUGCAUAAUUCGGUCGGUUUUAGAUUUCAUAGAAGAUGGAGAAGUUCUUGGACUAAUUUACGAUGGGUUGGAACAGAAGAUGGAGAAACCAAUCGCACUGAUGGAUCUCAAUCUACCGUCCAACUGUAUCAUUAUGAAAAGACCCAAUAACCAAGCCUACAAGCUCACAUCAAUAACUAAUUAAAGGGUAAAAUUGUGAGAUAAGGGUUAGCUAGUAAAAUCACAUUGCCACAUCACGUGCCAGCCGCACAUCCCAACUCAGUCCUAACUCCAACAAAUCAAAUGUUCAUCUGAUAUUCCAUAUUUAGCCACCUAGACAAGGUGUCCAUAGGGGACCAUAACUACUGUUCAUAAGCUAACUCUCCUUUUUAUUCCUUUUAGGAUUUAGCUCUCAACAUCAAACUUAAUCAAUUCAGAUUUUAAUAUAUUCAAACCGUUUGAUAACAAAAAAUUGAACUAAAUUAUUUAAACAAAACUUGUUCCCAAGAUUAAGUGAUAAGCUAUUUAUUUAUCACUGAAUAUGAUAUGCACUCAAAUGUAUUAGAUUUAAUAUUUAAUAAUUCAAUAAAUUCAGAUUUCAGUUUUCAGACUUCAGUUUUAUCAAACGCAACCUCAAUGAUAAGUGAAUAACUUAUCACUUAAUUUUAGGACUAAGUUUUACUUAGAAAAUUUAGUGCCACUUAAUUAAUUCAGAUGUUCAAUUUUUAAUUAUCAGACAGUUUGAAUAUGUUAAGAUCUGAAUUCAUUAAAUUUACGUGUUGAAGCGGGUUACCAAAUAGGGCCUUAAUAUAGGAUUCUUUUGCGCUGUGCCAAAGAAUAAGAGAUGGACUCGCUUUAACUAUGUGGACAUUAAUCAGUCGAGUCUAAUCAAACUCAAUGAAGCAUAGGUAAUAUAAAUUAAUAUUUUAUAUAAUUUUAAAUCAGGAUACAAUUGACAUUUCACACUAAUAAAUAUUAAAAAUUUUCAAAAGGAUAUAUUACAUUUAAAUCUCGAUUGAGUUCAACUGAACUUGACGAAUUUUCAAGUUUCAUAUAGUAGACUCGAACUUGAACUCUUCAAGCAAUUUGAGAUACUCGAACUAAUUAAAUAUUGAACUUGGUUAACCUAAGUUUUGACAAAACAUGCUGGUGAGUAAUUUGAUUGGGCACGACUUGUUUUGCACCCAUACGACAAAAUACUCUCAAUUAAGGGAGUAAGUGACUGUGUUGCAAUUUUAUGGUGGGCUCAUCUCUCUUUUUGUGCUCUUAUGGUACAUAAUAGAAAAUAUCUGACCAAAUUUCGGCAUAAAUAUACAUGUGUGUUUAAGUAGAAAUGAGGAAAGAUCACAAGAGAACGAGAAUCUACUGCCAUAGAUAAAGAAAAACCCAACUCAAAAUGAAUAUUCUAUCAAAGUUACAGGAGAGUAGGGUUGCAGCUGAGUUUUGAGCAUGUUGUGGGUUAAAGUUGGUUUUAGAUUUUUUUUUUCUCCUUUCUCGUCAAUUGAAGAAUGGACUGGGGAAAGUGAGAUUUCAAUUUCUGUAACUCGGCAGUCGGGGAUUGAUUUAAGAAGACAUUAGACAUUAAUGUUGGUAGUGCUACUAUGGUUGGACUAAGUCAUGGACGAAGUUAAGAAUAGAAAAUUAUGAAUGAAACUUUUAGGAAGCUACCGAGAAAUCUGUAAGCACAGUUUGUUUUCACCUACCAACGCCAAGAAGCCAUUUUUACACUAUUUGUAAACCUUGAAUUCCAUGAUAAUGUAGUUACUUUAGCCUAAGCUUUAAGUACCCCUACCCUUAAUUUAGGGUAAAUUAAACAUAACUUCCUAUGGUUUCACUCAUUGUCGUAUAACCCUAUAACAUAGUAAAAUAUAUAUUUCACUCGCUUAGGUUCAAUAUAACUUUACGAAAAAUAAUCUCUGCAACGUCGUUAGUUCAAAUAUUAAUAAUUUCCUUACUCUAAUACUAAAGCGAAUAAAUGCCUAACCAUCUUGGAUAAAACCGUAGGGGAAUUGUGUGGAUAAAUGCAUAAGGUAAGGUGGGUAUUUAUAUAAAGGGUUAAAAAUAAAAAAGCCCCCUGUGGUAAGCCUAAUACACAGAAAACCCCCCCAAUGGUUUCAAAAUAUACAAUACGGCCCCUCAUGCUUUGAACUAAAUUGUAAAUGUGACGGAAUCCGUUAAACUUAACGGAAAUGACUUAUUGGAACCUAAAAAAAAAAUUUUAUACCUAAUUUUUAUCAAAUAUACCUAUUCUACCCCUUAACCCUCAAUUUCUCUAUUUAGAAAAUAAAAUAAAUAAUUUUUUUGAGCUGUCUUUUGCUUAAUUAUAUGAGAAUAUUUUGGUCAUUUUGACCAUUUCCGUUAAGUUUAACAGAUUCCGUCACCUUUACAAUUUAGUUUAAAGCAUGAAGGGGCGUGUUGUAUAUUUUGAAACCAUGGGGGACUUUUCUGUGUAUUAGACUUACCGCAGAAGGCUUUUUUGUUUUUAACCCUUAUAUAAAUCAUAGAGGAUUAAGUGGAUUUUAUGAUUCCAUCACAUACGUCAUCUAGAAUGUGUUUGGUUCAAUCAUCUAAUUGAUGAUGCAUUCUUUCAUUUUCUAUUUUGCAUAAAACCACAUAAAGGUUAUAUUACUAUUGUGAAACUUUAGACGUGUUACGUGGCAUUGAAGAAAAUUAUAGGGGGAUUAUAUGUAAUUUAUCCUUUUUUUUACAUGAAUUGUAGUUAUAUAUAUUAUUUUAAUGCUUUUUGGGACUACAUGAUAUUGAACCCUUUUUUGGGGGUCAAAUGAUGUUGUAAUCAAUAGAGAGAAAUUUGAGAAGGAAUAUGAGGGUUCAAAUCUGAUCUAUCUAUUAGAAACUAGCCUCCUAAAUUUCAAAAAAGAAAGUUAAUUAGAGAUCCUCUCUUCAUAUUAUUAUUAUUUUUUUUGGCUAGCGAUAUACGUUAAUCAAACCAAUUGCAAAGCCAAUCGUUCAUGAUUGCCCACAUGUUGCUAAAUCUAAUCAUCAGCAUUGGUUCUUGGUUGCCUGCAUAAUUCUCAUCGUUUGAUUUUUCAAUUAAUUACACUGCAAAAGAAUACGAGUUCAACUUUACUACUAGCAGAAGUUAUUUGUCUUUUUCCCACACAAAAAAAAAAGUAAAGCAGAAGUUAUUUAUAGCCCAUCAUCUCAUAUGGAACAACAUGCAAUGCUGUAAUGCCGCGAAUGCUGAGCCUUCUUACUCAGCUGUCGCGGGCUGUUAUGAGCUGUGGGAAUAGUGAGAGGACAAGGAGAAGCACGCCUUGGAAAAAUGAGCUAAGUUGUGCAAGGAGUGGGCUGGGGACAGUAACAUUACUUAUUGUAUGUUUUCUCUUUGAGGUAAUUUUUGGUAAUAACUCUGUCCAGUGCUGAGGCAAACCCCGGUCGAUUUUGCAUUUCUAGUUUGAUAUACGAGGGCCUUUCCAUGUCUGAAGAUCAAAUAGUACAGUUUGGAAUUGCUGAUGGUUCUACGGCAAGCUCAAUAUCAAAGAACAAGGAGAUUGAUGUGAGCAUCUAUCUAGCUGAGAUUGUUAUGUAUUAGGUCUUGAAUUCUCUAUAGUUCCGUGCUUUUGUGAUUUUGUGCUUUACCACAUAACUCUCUCCAUAGUUUAAAAACAUAUAUGAAACCCGAUCAUAAUUUGGGUUAACGUGUCACUGUUAGUUUUUCCGUUAAAACUAACGGUUAAUAGUAAAAAGUCAAAAUCAAACUAAUAAUUUGAUAAAUUUACGCUUUCACUAUUCUCUCUCUCUUUCUCUCUCCCUGGGAAGAGAAGAGGUGAUUUUGAAAACCUAUGCUUUGGAUAGCAAAAUUUUUCAAAAAAAAUAUUUCGUUUACAUCAUAAACACAUUUUUCAAUCCACUUUUUUAUCUCACAUACAUUACAUCACAAAAAGCACUACAGUAAUCAUUUCAAGUAACUAUUUGGCAUAAUACUCUAUCCAAACAAAGCCUUAAUUUUCUCCAAAUAAAAAAAAUAUGGAAGGAAAAUAAAAAAUAAAAAUAAAUAAAUAAGAAACAAAAAGGAUGGAAGGGAAAUAUAAAAAAAGUAAAUGAGAAACAAAAAAUACCAAAUCUUUUUUGACUACAAAUAUCAUUAUAGGUUUUUAAACCAAAAUUUUAAUGGCAUUUUCUAUUUCUUAUUUAUCUAUUUUUUAUUUAAAUUUCUUCAAGUAAUGAAAAGAUAAAUUUGUCAAUUUAUUAGUUUGAUUUGACCUUUUACUAUUGAUCGUUAGUUUUAAUGAAAAAAAUUAAAGAUGGCACUUUAAUUCAAACUAUGAGCAAAUUAUAUAUAUUUUUUAAACUAUAGAGAGAUUAUGUGGUAAAGUACCUAAUCAUAGGGGAUAACAUGCAAUUUACCCAACUUAAUAUUAACUAGCCCUUACAUUGCUAGAGCAAAUGGGUCCGUUGUUGCUCUUGAUUGCCAACAUACACAUACGUAGAUCAUCUACACUUUUGUUCCUAAUUGACAACAUAAACCAUAUCUUUUGAUUUUCUAAUAAUACUUGCAAAAAAAAAGAAUGAAAAAGUGACGUGUCCUUCUAUACGACUAGAAGAUUAUUGAUUGUGCACCCCGAUUUGUCUAGUUUAGGGAAAAAAAAUUUUAGAGUGAAUUGAAUCGAAUUCAAAUUUUGUGUUUUGUGAUAAUUCCUAAUAGAGAACGAAAUGUAGAUUUUGAGUGUAAAAAUAUUUUAAGAAAUAGUAGUGAUAAACAUUGUAAGUUUAUUAGCACAAAGUAAUUAUAAUAGUCAAUGAUGAAUGAUCACAUAUGCAAUGCUAAUUGAAACACUGGCAAAUUUGGGAAGGAAAGAGCAGACUUGGAAAUGAUCAACAUAUGCUACAUUUACCAGACAAACCAUAUUAAUAUAGGUUUACAUAUUAUCUCUGACCAAAAUUUAAAUAAAGAUUAAGACACAAAAAGAUAAAGAGUAAUACUAUACAGUACAUUAACAACAUCAAGCAUUAUACACAAUACAUACAAUAAAUAAGGAGGUAAGACACAGAAGAUGUCGAAGGGGAAAAAAUUUACUAAUAAAAAAUAAAAAACAAGAGCAGUGUUGUCCACAGCAGAGAGGGUGCAAACCAGAGAAAGGGGAAUGAUUUAUGUUUUCUUCUUCUUCUUCCCCCAUAGCUGGCGCUGUCUCCAUUCCCCAUCUUCUGUAUAGCAACCAAUGACAAUUUCAGGAAUGUGUGCGAUUCUUGUGUAAUCUUCACUUUCUUCCUUCUGAUUCUCUACCUUUUCUAUCAUUUCAGAACUCAUCUCAUACAAAUACAGCCCUUGAAGAUGGCUCAAGUGCUGAAUACCCAAAGGUAGCUCCUCUAGUAAUGGAAGUUGAUCCAAAAUGAGUUGAUGGAGACGAGGCAAUGCACCCUCCUCCACUCUCAUCCAUCUCAACCCUUCCAUUCUCUUUAGGUGCAACUUCUUCAGAUUGAGGAACCCUCCAGCCUGGAAACACAACCCUUCUCCCUGGUAAGAUCCACAGAAAUUAAUUUUACCCAAAUUGGGCAAAUGUCGGAGGGAUUCAAGCGGAUCCUCAUCACCCCUUAACCUGCUCCAAUUCAAAUCUAUUCUUACCAAGCCGUGAAGAUGAGCUACCCAUUGUGGCAUCUUUUCUAAGCGGCCACACAAAAUCAGCAGAUGAAGAGAUUGAAGAAAAGAAGAAGAAGAAGAAGAAGAAGGAUGGUGAUUUAGAUCGAUUAUCUCAUGAUCAUCGUUACCUUCUCCAAUUGAUUCAAUGCUUAAUCUAUGAAGACUGGUGAGCUUGGCAAGGGAGGAGCAGAGCUCCUUUCCAUCUUCUCUUCUUAACUUUGUAAUACCUAAUUCUCUUAAUUGGGUCAGCUUUCCUAUCUCCUUGACUACUGUAGAUCCACUACUAGCAUCUAUGCAGUCUAAUACUUCUAGGGCAAGAAGCCCUCCCAUAUUCGAGGGAGCUUUAAAUCCAUGAAAUCCAUAAUCAUCAUCGAAAGAAUCAACUCGUUGAUAUACUUUGAGAACCCGAAGUUUUUGCAACUUUAGGAUUUCCAUGGGUAAUUCCCUAACUCUGGUGUUACUCAAAUCCAGAAAUUCCAAAUGUUGAAGCUUUCCAAUGGCUUUUGGAACUCUCUCCACUCUCGUACCCCCUAGGUACAGAUACUUGAGAUGAAACAUCUUGAAAACCUCAUUUGGUAUAUCCUCUUGGGUCUCUUGACCACCCAAAUGCAAAACCUUUAACAGCUUACUACUCCUUAAAACAUCAGAUAACAACAGUUUGAAUAGUAGUGGGCUCAUGGAUCCAAAUGUAACGAACGACUGAAGGUGGUCAAAGCAAUAACUUCUUCUUUGUUGGUGGUCCUGGGUGUUGUUACUACUACUAGUAUGGACUACCAGACGGCGUACCUUCUCGGACGGCCGCAUCAUUGGUUGUCCAGUAGUAAUUGUGACCAUGUUUUGUUCCCUUGACUUGAGAACAAUAACUUCUCUCAACAGGUCAUGGAUUCGACAAUAGUCGGGUAAUCCUUCAUAAUACACCUUAGUCACUUGAAUUAGGCUUCGAUUGACGAGUUCACUAAGCCAACCCCAGGCUACAUCUUCAAUACUCAUUCCUUCUCUCCAUUCUACAAACCUUUCAGCAAUCCACAAAUUAAUUAGGUCAGAGCAUUCUAUUUCAUAAUCCUCUGGAUAGAUGCUUGUGUACAGCAGACAUAUCUUGAGAUGCCAAGGCAGGUCGCUAUAACUGAGAGAGAGUAUCUUUUUAACUCUGUCCAACUUACCCGUGCCUUCUAAUUCACCCCCAAGACUGCGUCGAACCAUCUCCCAUUCGUCCAUCCUAUUUACAUCUUUCGAAGCCAAAAGCCCACUGAUUGCAAUGAUUGCAAGGGGCAAGCCCUCACAUUUUUCCAAUAUACCUUUGGCAACAUCCAUCAAAUGGCCAGGGCAAGUACCUCCAUUAAAGAUCUUGUUGCAAAACAGGGUCCACGAAUCCUCAAUAGACAGUGGCUCCAUUCUGUAGACAAGACCCCCAGAUUCACUGCAAGAGGCAGAGGCUACAUCAGCUUUUCGAGUUGUUAGCAUGACACGGUUGCCACAGCAGCUCUCAGGCAGUGCAAAUUUGAUGGUAUUCCAAAAUUCCACGUCCCAUACAUCGUCAAAAAC
rnacentral:lncRNA from 1 species